AAGGUUCCUCAACCUUGCUGACACUGACAUAAGAAGUUUACCUGAGUCAACAUGCAAAUUGCUGAACUUGGAAAUUUUGAUAUUAAGAAAUUGUUCCCGUUUGAUAAAGCUUCCGCAGAAAAUGAGGAAUUUGAUCAAUUUACGUCAUCUCGAUAUAAGAGGUGCAAAGCUGCUAAAGGAGAUGCCAUUUGGAAUGAAAGAGUUGAAGAAGCUUCAAACAUUGUCCAAUUUUAUUGUAGGCAAGGGUGAAUCCGCAUCUGGUUUGGAAGAUUUAAAAAGUUUAAACCUUCUUUGUGAUGAACUCUGCAUUGCUGGAUUAGAGAAUGUAAAUAGUCCACAGAAUGCAAGAGAAGCCACAUUAUGUGAGAAGCACAAUCUUGAAGCAUUGACUCUAGAAUGGGGGUCUCAAUCUGACAGUCCUCGGGAUGCAGUACUAGAAGAGAAUGUACUUGACACUCUACAACCUCAUGAACGUAUAAAAGAGCUGGCAAUCAGGCACUAUGGUGGUGCAGGAUUUCCACUUUGGAUCGGACAUCCUUUGUUCUCCGAGAUGAAGGUCCUUAAAUUGGAGAACUGUGACAAGUGUGUAUCUCUGCCAUCGCUUGGCCUGAUGAAUUCACUUAAGCACCUUGCUGUUAAAGGGCUGAAGAAACUAAAAAGCAUAGAGUCUGCGGUCUUUCCAUCAUUGGAGACUCUAAGUUUUGAGAAUUUGCCAGAAUGGCAGCAUUGGAACACCAAUAUCAAAGGAAAUGAGCCUGUUGAAAUAUUUCCUCGUCUCCAAGAACUUUCCAUUGCAGAAUGUCCCCAACUCUCUGGAGAACUGCCUGAGCUCCUGCCUUCUUUGGAGACACUUGUUGUUAGUAAAUGUGGAAAGUUGGUAGUUCCAUUGUCAAGCUAUCCGAUGCUCUGCAGAUUAGAAGUUGAUGAGUGCAAAGAGCUAGUGUGCAGGACUCCAAUUAAUUUUGAGUUGAUAAAGUCUGUGACUAUUUCAAAUAAUUCAUUACUCAUGAAUGGAUGCAAGGAGAUGCUAUGCCAUGGUCAAGCUGGCUCUUCACUGCAGAAACCCAAGACUAUUAUGAAUGUUUUGGAGUUCGGAAAAUUAUUGAAGCCUGGAUUUCAGAUAUUAGAAACUUUGGUAAUUGGCAAUUCUGAACGGCUCAAGUCAUGGAGUACUUUUAUUGAACCAGGGCUACAUUUGCUCGCUUCCCCUGAAGAGGUAGCAAUUGAAGAAAGUUGUGUACGUCUUGUUUUGUUUCCAGAGAUCAAUUUCUUUCCCAGAAAUCUGCGCUCUCUUCGAAUUUGCAACAGCACUGCUUUCAAAUCCUUACCCGAGGAAAUGAUGGAAAACAAUUCACAACUCGAAAGGUUGUAUAUCAGAGAUUGCGACUCUCUAACAUUCAUCGCAAGACGGAGGCUACCAGCAUCUCUUAAAAGGCUUGAGAUAGAAAAUUGUGAGAAAUUGCAACGUCUGUUCGAUGAUGAAGAGGAUGCUUCUUCUUCUUCUCCUUCAUCCUUGUCUUCCCCAGUGAUGCUGCAACACCUGAGAAUAGAGAAUUGCCCAGAGCUCACCAGUUUAUCAUCGGGUGUCCAAUUCCUUGAGGCGCUUGAAUACCUCAAGAUAGAGCAUUGUCCAAAGCUGGAGUCAAUACCGGAUGGCCUGCCCAAUCUUAAAUGUUUACAGAGCAUUUAUAUACGGAAAUGUCCAAGUCUUGUUUCCUUCUUAGAAAGAGGGCUUCCCAACGCCAUUUCAAGUUUUUACAUUUGCAGAUGUGACAAGCUCGAAGCCUUGCCCAAUGAUAUGCACAAACUCAACUCUCUUCGAGAUUUAAGCAUACAUGGGUGUCCAAGUCUUGUUUCCUUCCCAGAAAGAGGGCUUCCCAACGCCAUUUCAAGGGUUUACGUUUGCAGAUGUGAGAAGCUCGAAGCCUUGCCCAAUGAUUUGCACAAACUCAACUCUCUUCGAGGUUUAAGCAUACAGAUGUGUCCAAAUCUUGUAUCGUUUCCAGAAGAAGGUUUUCCUACCAAUCUAACAUCACUUACAAUUAGAUAUUUCAAAAUGUAUAAGACACUCGUCCAGUGGGGGUUGCACAGGCUUACCUCUCUUAAACGCCUCUGGAUUGCUGUACGUGAUGAUGAAGCAGAGUGUUUUCCAGACGAGGAGAUAGGAAUGACGCUGCCCACCUCUCUCACCGCUCUGCACCUUACUGGAUUCGAAAAUUUGAUAUUUCUGUCUUCAAUGGGUUUUCAAAACCUCACCUCUCUUCAAUCUUUGAGGAUCGAGAAUUGCCCGAAUCUCACAUCAUUUCCAGAGGUGGGCCUUCCAUCCUCACUUUUGGAAUUACACAUUAGAGAUUGUCUAAAGCUUAAAAAAGCGUGCAAAAGAGAUCAAGGAAAAGAGUGGCCCAAAAUUGCUCACAUCCCUCGCGUUGAGAUAGACGAUAAAUUCAUAUACGAUCCAGAAGCAGAGUAGAUUCUAUUAUUAAGGUCAGUUGAUUUGUAUUAUCCGCUAUAACAAGCUCCUCCUUUUUUUUUCAAAUAAUAAUUUUGCAGUCACUCAUAUGAUUCCGUUUUCACAAGUCAGAUUGUAUGUUGAGGCUAUUUGCCUUUUAAUUAUAACACUUAUUGGAGUAUAAUAUUUUGGAGCAAGCAUACUUGAAAUUUCUGUCUUCAAUAUUUUGAUGCUUUUUUAAUUUUUGAUCUAGUAAAAAUACAUAGCCUUCACCGGCAGGAUUCUAGUCUUGGCUUUCACCUCUCUAACUCAUCGUCCCCACUGGGAUUCCAGAAAUUGAAAUUUCUGUCUUCAAUGGGUUUUCAAAGCCUCGCCUCUCUUCGAUUUUUAUGGAUCGCUUCGAUUUUUGCACAAAUCUCACAUCAUUUCCCGAGGUCGAGGAAAAGAGCGGCCCAAACUUGCUCGCAUCCCUUGGGUUAUGAUAGAUGGAAAAUUCAUAUACGAUCCAGAGUCAGAGGUGUUGAUUCUCUUAUUAAGGUCAACUGAUUUCUAUUAUCCACUCUGACAAUCUCCUAUUAGUGUUUUUCCUUUUCUUUUUCAAAAUUUUGCAGUUCUGUAUAAUUGAAAAUGCCACUCACUUGUUUCCUUUUUCGCAGGUCAAAUAGUGCGUUGAGGCUAUUUGCUUUCUAUCGGUGUUUGUUAAGGUAAUUAGUGCUCCAUCAUAGGUAUGACUGGAUUUUUUUCACUUCCGUAAAUAUUGCAUUUCUAUCGGUGUUUGACUGGAUUUUUUUCACUUCCGAAAAUAUUGCAUUUUAGACUGGCAAAUUUAGCAGUAAUUUUAAUACAAUUUUGUUGGUGCCUUUUGUUCCAGAAGCUAGAAAAAUGUGUAGUUUUCAGAUAAGGAGGCUUGUCAGUUCUCUAAUAAGAAUCCAAUAAUUUGCUUUUGCACGUCCAUCUAAUUUGUGGAUCCUUGCAUCAGAAUUUGAUCAAUCCAAAAGGAAUUGCUUUUAGACAGAGGAAGAAUAGCAGUACCUAGCCUAUGUCAUAGUGUAUGGAACCGCAAACCUGAAACUAUUAGAUUGAGGUAAAAAAAUCAUUGACCCCCUCACAUGUUAACUUCUUCUAGUUACUUUCGUUGGAAAAAAAAACAUUUAAGGAAUUUGCAAUUUGUUGUUGGUUAUGGUAUCUGAUGUUCUUUUCUGUUUUAGUGUUUGUAGAAUCUACUGUAUUAUGUGUUGGCAGUUGCCGUAUCUGAGGUAACUUGCCUUUAUUUGACAAAGAUUUAGAGAAGCAUCUCAAAACACUUAGUAAACUUGACAAACUUCAAGAUGCACUUGCCCCCACGCCUUAUUCUCCACAACGCAAAACUUGUGAGUACACCUAUGCCUGCAAUUAUUGUGAAGUGUUUUCAAUUUUGAUGCAGAGAAAUGGUUUCUUGAUGCAAAAUAUUAAACUGUUAAGAUUUAUCCUGCAGGCUUGUUAGAUGCUGUAUGCUCGAAAAGCCAACAACAUCCAGAACUAGAACUCCAAGACCAGCUUUGCGUUAAUUCAGUCAACUGUAAUAAUAAUGCAAAUGACACUAUAUCAAGCUGGACUUAGAGACUAGUCAGAUCAAUCAUCCAUUUCAUCAACGGUUAAUGUCAUGAUGGUGGCUAUCAGAGGAAACAAAAGAUGUGUCGGAAUCUAUACGAACAUUGAGAAGCAUGAGAGGAGCUUUGAUUUUGAGUAGGGUCAAUGAACUCAUGUUGGUAAGUGGUAAUUAAAGAAAUUUGUAAGCUUAGUAGAGUUUCAGUAUUUUCUGUUUGGAGUAUAGUUGAUAAGUUGACUCUGUUUAAUAAGCCCGAUUAUAGUAGCUGACUGUAUUAACCUUUUUUUUUUUGGUCUACUGUUGUUUUUGGUUUCGAUUAUUUUUUCAACAUUGGGUUGAUCUGUUGAAGAACAAGCUUGGGUUCGAUUCUGCUUUAACUACAAGGAAGAGCCAGACUUGGAUGCAGGCGUUAAGAUUUUAAUGGGUAAGAACAAAUGAAUGCUUUAACCAUGUUUCUCACUAAUUAAAAUGCACGGAUUGAAGGCAUCUGGGUUGAUCCUGACAAUGUGAUGGAAAUACUUCUCUAUUUUGUUCCUGUGUUCACAUAAUGUUUGUGGGAUAUGCUUCGACGAAGACCAGCAAUGAUGAGCAGACACCUGGUAAUAGGGUUCCUCGAGCAGGUAUAUCUUGUAAGAGUAUGGUAUUCAGGGGAGCAGGAGCAGGAAUAUCCUGCUCAUCCGCGAGCACGUCAUCCACGAGGCCAAUCUCCUGUUGGAAGCAUAAAGCCAUUCCUGCUACAUUCCUGCUAAGGGUUGAGUCGAGGAGACCCGGUCAACGACAGUUGGCGAGGCGUGCUCUCCAGUCCGAGAAUCAAGGCAUGAAGGCCACGCAACCACCCACGACUACGGAAAUGGGGCAUCCACUUUCGAGAGGUGGGAGGAUAACGAGCGCGAAUGGAAGAAGGCCCGAGUUCAGAGAUGGCCUAUAAAAAAGUAGCCAACAAAGGUAAAAGGGUUAGAAUUUUUGACAUUGUAACAGAAAAAAAGAAAGCUCUAAAGAACUGAGACUAAAAAAGAAAAGCCAUAAGAUUUGUGGCUAGUGUUCCCAGAACCUUCAUAUCUAACUUGAGCGUCGGAGGGUUUACGCCGGGAAAACAACCGGCGUACUCUGACCUAGUUCUGUGUACGCAGGAACUUCUGGAGAAGAAGCCUUACGAGGAGAGAUCCUAAUCGAGGUGGAGUUGAUCGAGCAAAGAUCCUGGUCGUAACAAGAGAGCAACCAGAAUCUCGCAUCAACAUUUUGGCGCCAUCUGUGGGGACUUGAUCAAAAAGCUUCUGUUGAUAGCAAGAAGAGGAGUGAAGCAAGUGGAAAAGCAAUGGAGGCAAGAAGAAAUAGUGCACAAUGGGGUGAUAUGAGGCUUAACGAUUCCGUGACGCUGAGGGAGAUAGCCAGUGAAGCACGGGAAAAAGCCAUGUUUGACCGGAUGGAACGGAUGGAAAAGCAGAUGCAGACCCUGACAACCAUCCUACAUGAGCUGCGGAGUGAACGAAGGGGAACCCAGGAGGAAAGGGUGAGAGGUGGUGGAGUGGCACCAGGUCAUGAUAGUACGAGGAGAAGUCAAACCACCGAGAGAUUUGGUGGUGAGAGAGGUAACCUAUCUCUACGGGGAGAAAUUCAUAGAGAGGAAGAGCAAUCCCCGGCAAGACAGAUUUUUGACGAGGACGACGGGGUGGCGAAUGCAGAGGAAACAGAGUUGAGGUAACACUUGCAUGAUGUAGAGCAAGAGCGGGAUCAAGUUGCAGCACGUGACCUUGGUCGUGUAGUGCAGCUGGAGGAGGAAGUGCGCAGACUAGCGCAGAUAAUUGAUGACAUGUAAGGAAGGAGCAGAGCUCCUGGUUGGAGGAUAAUGCUGGACGGAGAAUCACCGCUCGCAGCAGAGAUCAUGAGGGCAGUUAUUCCAAGAGAUUUCCGCCUCCCAGACCUUAGAUAUUCGGGACGAACUGAUCCGCUGGUGCACAUAGAGCGCUUCAACGACAUAACCGGGGUACAAGGAUUAUCUCAAUCCCAAAGGUGCAGGGUGUUCCCACUAUCCCUUGAGGGACGUGCACGCAAGUGGUACAGGAAACUUCCUCGGUGGAGCAUUAAAACCUUCGAGCAGAUGUGACAGGAAUUUGUAGAGCAGUUUCGUGGGGCAAUAGCACCAGAAGAUGACAUGAUGGAGUUGAAAAGCAUGAAGCAGGGGGAACAAGAAACCCUUCGGGAAUUCAUCAAGAGGUUUCAUCGUGCUGUCCUCGAUUUGGGAGCCUUCAACCAUUCUCAGGCAUUAAGGGGAUUGAAAGAAGGGGUGAAGAUAGGAAGGCUGUGGCACAACUUGAGAAGCCCAGUUAUUCAGAUGUAUACAGCCGCAUACGAGCAGGCUAAGAGGGACAUUGAGAUUGAAGAAGAAAAGGCAGCACGGAUUAAGACAGACCAGCUAGAAGGGUUGGGAAAGAAAGAGAAGAAAGCAUUACCAGGGAAUGGGCCGAUCAGGAGGAAGGACCACCAGGCCUCAGGUAGUGGUGCAAGAGGUCGAGUAACCGCUUACCAGCCUCAUCAGAGACCACCACAGUAUUAGCACAGCAGAGCACAACCUCCUCGUUCCCCAGUUAGAGAGCUUUGGAGAAGGCAUGACUCGACAUAUGGUGGUCUUCAUCAACACUCCCACGGUAGUAGAGGGAGCAGACCAGAAGCGCUGCCACCGCCUCUAACUCAGAAUGGAACAAAUAGAGAAAGGGUAGUGCACAUGAUCGACCAGAACCAGGACUAUGGGCAGUAUACUUCCUUGAAGAUGUCCCUGGACGAGGUGUACGAGGCCAUAAAGGACCGGGGAUUGAUGUACCUCCCUGCCCCAAUAACAAAGCUACCCAGCAGGACGGAUAGGGGACGCUAUUGUAAGUUCCAUGGCACUUAUGGCCAUACCACUGCAGAAUGCAGAGAUCUCAAGACCCAAGUUGAAGAUUUGGUGAGAAAUCGGUACCUGGAUGAGUUUAUAGAUGAGACUUUCCCGAUGGUGGCCUCGACAUGUGAAGGGGAGCAGAGUGAUAGAAACUUUAGGCGCGAGCAGCCUGCAGUAAGGGUAAUAGCUGGGGGCCCAACAUUGGCCGGAGAUUUCAACAGAUCGAGGAAGAAUUAUGCUAGAUACGCCAUAACUAGUAAAGAGUUACUCUUCAACACCCCAGCAGCCAAAUGAGUAAGAGUCAGACAAGUGCCAAUCAUGUGGACGGAUGAAGAUGAAGAAGAGAUUCUAUACCCCCACGAGGAUGCUUUAGUCAUCAAGGCUACUGUUGCAAGUAAGAAGUUUGACCGGAUACUGGUUGAUACAGGGAGCUCAGUUGAUGUGUUAUUUAAGUCAACUCUGGAGGAGAUGGGAAUAGCAGGCCGGAAGUUGGAGUACACCAAUACCUCCUUGAAAGGGUUUGGAGGAGGAAAGCUGGUCCCUCUGGGCGUGGUCGAGCUGCCUAUCACGAUUGGGAGCUCCCCGACAAAAAGGACUAUGAUACUGGACUUUGUGGUGGUGGAUGAAGAAUGUCCUUACCAGAUGAUCUUAGGUCGGCCAUUUCUGAGGAUGAGCAAAGCGGUACUGUCCAACCAUUAUCUGGCUCUCAAGUACCGAGUGAAUGUGGUAGUUGGAGUGGUACGAGGAGACCAGAGAAUAGCACGAAGCUGCUACUCCUUGGCAGCAAGGGAAGCAAUGCAAAUAACAUCCCUUGAUACCCGAGUGGAAAACAUGAAUGGCAGACAAGAACCUGUAGAGGAGCUGGAGACAGUAAGCCUGGGACCAGAGAAUCCGGGAAAAACGAUCAGAAUCGAGUCGAGACUUAAGGAAGAGCAGAAGCAGGAGUUGGUGAAAUGCUUACAGGCUCAUGCAGAUGUGUUUGCUUGGACACAUGAAGACAUGCCAGAGAUUGAUCCUGAGGUAGCAUGUCAUAAGCUGGCAAUAAAGAAAGGUGCUCGGGCAGUAAGGCAGAAAAGGAGGUGCUUCAACCAGGAGAGGUAUGAGGCUAUAAAUGGCGAGGUGGAGAAGCUCUUGAUAGCAGGGUUCAUUUGCGAAGUCGAUUAUCCUGAGUGGAUAUCGAAUGUGGUGUUGGUAAAGAAGGCAAAUGGCAAGUGGAGGAUGUGUGUAGAUUUCACAGAUCUCAAUAAGGCGUGCCCGAAAGACAGCUUUCCUUUAUCAAAGAUCGACCAGCUAGUAGAUUCAACGGCUGGACACGGCCUGCUUAGCUUCAUGGACGCGUUUUCGGGAUACAACCAAAUUCCCAUGUAUGAGCAGGAUGAGGAGAGCACGGCUUUUAUUACUAACCAGGGUUUAUUUUGUUACAGGGUAAUGCCAUUUGGUCUUAAAAAUACUGGGGCCACGUACCAGAGGCUGGUGAAUAAAGUCUUUAAGCCAUUGAUUAGGAGAACCAUGGAGGUGUACGUGGACGACAUGAUAACCAAGUUGAACAUCCCGAAGGAACAUGUCAGAUACCUCGAGGAGACAUUCGGGCUUUUGAGGAAGUAUAAGAUGAAGCUCAACCCGGAAAAGUGUGCUUUUGGGGUCGAGUCAGGGAAAUUCCUUGGAUUCAUGGUGAGCCAUAGGGGGAUCGAAGCAAAUCCCGAGAAGAUCCACGCGAUCGUGUAAAUGAGGUCACCUCGUAGCCUGAAGGAGAUGCAGAGCCUCACGGGGAGGUUGGCGGCAUUGAGCCGAUUCAUAUCCAAGGCUACUGAUAAGUGUCAGCCAUUCUUUCAAGUGAUAAGGAGGGGAAAGAAAAUAGAAUGGACCCCAGAAUGUGAAGAAGCCUUCCAGAACUUGAAGCAGUACUUGCAGCAAGCACCUCUACUGUCCACACCGAGGGAUGGGGACAAGUUAUUUUUGUAUUUGGCGGUAUUAGAUCGGGCCGCAAGUUUUGUUCUGGUGAGAGAGGAAGAAGGGGUUCAGUAUCCGAUAUACUACACCAGCAAGGCUCUGCUCGACCCUGAGACCAGAUACCCACCGUUGGAGAAAUGGGCAUUUGCCCUUGUGGUUGCUGCUCAGAAGCUGAGGCCAUACUUUCAAGCAUUCCCAGUCUCGGUAAUAACAAACCAGCCAUUGCGUCAAACUCUGCACAAGCCAGAUGCUUCUGGUCGGCUCGUCAAGUGGACUAUAGAGCUGAGCGAGUUCGACAUAGACUACAAACCCCGAGCAGCGAUAAAGGCUCAGGCGAUGGCCGAUUUCAUAGCAGAAUUCACAGAGCCCGAAAUAUGUUUGGACCAGCGAGAUGUAGCUACAGACAGCAACGAAGCCCGAGUAUGGCAGAUGUCUGUAGAUGGAUCAUCCGGGGAGUAGGGAUCAGGAGCAGGAAUUGUUUUGGAAGGCCCAGAAGGGGAGGAGAUCUCUUAUGCUGUAAAGUUAGAAUUCGCAGCCACAAAUAACCAAGCAGAGUACGAAGCCUUGAUAGCAGGUUUGGAAUUGGCUAAGGCAGUGAAAGCGGAUAGAGUGAAGAUCAGAACUGAUUCCCAGCUGGUCGCAAAUCAUGUCAGUGAAAGAUUUCAACCGAGAGAGGAGAAGAUGGAGCAGUACCUGAAGAUAGUCAGGCAUAUGAUGGGGAAAUUUGAAGCGGUUUAGGUGAUACAAAUCCCCAGGGAGCAGAAUAGUCGAGCAGAUAUUUUGACGAGGAUGGCAGCGGUAGCAGACCCAAAAAUGCCAAAGUCGAUCCCUCUGGAGGUGAAGUCCAGCCCGAGCAUCGAGCAUAAUUUGGGGGUGCUGCGGAUAGAACAAAAAUGCUCGUGGAUGGACCCGAUAAUUUCAUACCUUAGAGACGGGGUAUUACCACCAGAGAAGCUGCGAGCUCGGAAGAUUAGAGCCCAGGCCUCGAGAUACACGAUGAUUGACGGGGUAUUAUAUCGGCGAGGAUAUACGCUACCUUUCCUUCGGUGUUUGGAUGAGGACGACGCGGACUACGUACUGAGAGAAGUACAUGAAGGAAUUUGCGAAAAUCACUAUGGUGGGAGGUCCCUGGCUCACAAGGUUCUAAGGCAGGGAUAUUUCUGGCCGACAAUGCACCAGGAUGCGCAAGAGAAGACCAGGAGCUGUGUAAGCUGCCAGAGUUUUGUGAGUUUCUCUAACCAACCACCAGAGAAGCUCACCUCUAUGGCCCCCCCCUGGCCAUUUGCUCAAUGGGGAAUUGAUCUGAUCGGCCCGUUGCCAAAGGGAUGAGGAGCAGCAACACAUGCAAUAGUUGCGAUAGACUACUUCACGAAGUGGAUAGAGGUAGAAGCCCUUAGUAGGAUCACAGAGAAGAAAACAACAGACUUUGUAUGGAGAAACCUGGUCUGUCGAUACGGGAUCCCUUAUGCCUUGGUAACGGAUAAUGGCAGGCAGUUUGAUAAUCACAGCUUCAGGGAUUUCUGCCAGAACCUCGAGAUAGAGUUGAAGUAUUGCUCGCCUGCUCACCCUCAAUCUAAUGGACAAGUAGAAGCAGCCAACAAGACCAUCAAGAGGCUUUUGAAAACCAGGCUUGGAGCAAAAAAGGGUGCAUGGGUUGAUGAGCUGUCAGGUGUCCUAUGGGUAUACAAGACAACCCACAAAACAGCAACUGGGGAGACACCGUUCGCCUUGGCUUUCGAACAUGAAGCGGUCGUACCAGCCGAGAUAGGAACGACCACGCACCGGACAGAUCAUUUCAAUGAGCAGGAGAACGACGAGCAGAUGUGUUUGAAUCUAGAUCUGCUAAUGGAAAAGAGGGAGCAAGCAGCCGAGCGAUCAACCAUUUGCCAGCAGAGGGUUGCUCGGUAUUAUAACCAGAAGGUGAAUGUACGGCAGUUCAAGGUCGGAGAUUGGGUGUUAAGAAGAGUGAAUCAGAAUACGAAAGACUCGGCUCAGGGAGUACUUGGACCAAAUUGGGAGGGGCCAUAUAGGGUCAAGCAGCUAGUUGGACCCGGAGCUUACAAGCUGGUUCGCUCGGAUGGCCACGAGGUGAAACGCCCAUGGAACGCAACACACCUCAGGAAAUAUUUCCAGUAAGAAUUGUCCAUGUUUUCAAGUUAUUUCUGUUCGUGUUUGUUGUUAUUUAUUUUAUGUCAAAACAAUUUCAUGUAAGUUGAAUCCUGCAAUUAAUGAAACGUCGAGGAAUUUCAUUCACUUGAAACUGUGAAAAAUCUACUAAGGCAUGCUAAGGCUCACUGAGUCUCAAAGCCUGUUUAUGGAAAGACCAGAAGCCAAGUGUGCCAGGAUCUGCUCGACCACGCGAAGGCCAGCAGAAUCCCAAAUCAUUGAAGAAUCUACCAAGGCAUGCAAAGGCUCGUCAAGUCUCAAAGCCUGUUUAUGGCGAGACCAGAAGCCAAGUGUGCCAGGAUCUGCUCAACCACGCGAAGGCGAGCAGAAUCCCAAUCAUUGAAGAAUCUACCAAGGCAUGCAAAGGCUCGUCAAGUCUCAAAGCCUGUUUAUGGCGAGACCAGAAGCCAAGUGUGCUAGGAUCUGCUCAACCACGCGAAGGCGAGCAGAAUCCCAAUCAUUGAAGAAUCUACUAAGGCAUGCUAAGGCUCACCGAGUCUCAAAGUCUGUUUAUGGCGAGACCAGAAGCCAAGUGUGCUAGGAUCUGCUCGACCACACGAAGGCGAGCAGAAUCCUAAAUCAUUGAAGAAUCUACCAAGGCAUGCAAAGGCUCGUCAAGUCUCAAAGCCUGUUUAUGGCGAGACCAGAAGCCAAGCAUGCCGGGAUCUGCUCGGCCAAGUAAAGGCCAGCAGACUCCCCAACAUCAAAAAAUUAUCCAAGGCAUGCAAAGGCUCGUCAAGUCUCAAAGCCUGUUUAUGGCGAUACCGGAAGCCAAGCAUGCCGGGAUCUGCUCGACCAAGUGAAGGCUAGCAGACUCCCCAACACUGGGAAAAUUAUCUAAGGCAUGAGAAAGCUCGUCAACUCUCAAGGCCUCCUCUGUGACGAGGUCAGAAGCCAAAUGGAUAAAUAAAUUAAAAUUCCAAUGCGAGGAAGCAAAUAAGAACAAUUUUAUUAAGCUCUUAAAAGUCUGCAAUUCUGUUACAUACAACGCUAAAAAAGCAAUUACAACGCAAGACAAGUUCAGGAGGACGGCGGAUCAGUAAACCGAGUAGCUUCGGUUGGCUGGUCCACUUCAGGGGUCGAGGGGGUGUCACCAGUUGCGUCCGGGGGGGUACUCGCCUCACCAACGUUAGCAGGGACUGCAUGAGGAGGAGAGUUUUCCUCCUCAACCACGAUUGGCUCCACCCCUUCGGCAUCCUCCUUUGCCGCCUCCUCGUCCAUGUGUUGAACAAUACUAGCCGCAAGGUCAUCCAUCUUCAGAUCAGGAUGCUGCUUCCCGAGGACGGCCAUGAUGCAACGAUAGGAAUGCCGAAGUCCCUGGUCGUACUGGUUGUCGGCUUCCUUCUCCAAGUUCUUGACCUGAACUCGGUGGGAAUCGCGGAGAGAUUCGAGCUGAGCCUCGUACAUAAUUUUCUGCCUUUGCAGAUCCUCCUUGACCUUAGUCAGCUCUUCCUCGAGAGUAACGGCCUAUGCUUGAGCAAGAGAUUCUUGCUCUAUCAGCUUCAGAUUCUCGAGAUUCAAGUCUCCCGCUUUCUUCUCGGCAGCAUCGGCUCUGGUCGUCGCCGAUUGAAUGUCCUCCUUCAUCUUCCGGUCGUAACGGCCAACCUUGGCCUUAUAGUAAGUGGUCAUGCAGCUGAGGUGGAAAGCGCUAUACUGCAUGGCCCCCACCAGCUCACCUAGGGUGCAGCCAUCAAAGUCCUCCAGGUCCUUCUUGCUCACGAGUUUAAAUAGCUCAUUGAGAUAGGGGACCAAGUGUUCUGCUCGGUGGUCAGAUAAACGAGAUCUAGGCCCGACAGGAGGAGAAGAGAAAGCAGGAUCAGUGGCAGCUCCACUAGUCUCUCUGACUUUGGCAGGAGGAGGAGGAGGUAGAGUCUGCAAGGGAGCAACCUGUUGCACGAUGUUCACCUGCUUUGCAGUAGGAGCAUCUUUAUUCUGGUCCUGCUUGGUCGUUGGAGGUCGAGAACGUUUCCUAGUCAGAGCCCCAAUCACAGCAUCCUCCAUCUUAUGGCCGGGAGGCACCAAACAAGACUCGAGCAGGUUAUAAGUAGUUAUCAGCUCUCGGCUCGAGCAGGAAUUGGCUAGUACAGCCUCGACCCGUUUGAGCUGGUCAGGUUUGAGCGGGAAGUAAACACCCCAAGAACCUGCAACACAAAUAGACACUUGGUUAGAGACAAACCAGUAUAGCGAGAACAAUUAUGGAUACAAGACAUCUAAAGCGAGCAGGCAACCUGAGAUCACGAAACGGGGUGGGACGCAAGAAUCCUUCCCGUCAAUUUGUGCAACUUGACCCCAGGAACCCCCAGCAAAAAAGAAUUUUUUCUUCCAAUUCCCACCACCACCAGUAAGAAGAUCGGUUAUGGGUUUCCUGGUCUUGGUACUAGAUUGGAAGUAGUACCAGCCGGCAUCUUUGGGGCUGCUCUUUAGCUGGUACAGGUGCUUCACCUCAUCAACUGUGGGCUUGCUUUGGCAACAUCUGUCCCACAAUAUGAACAGACCAGAGAGUACUUUCCACCCGUUGGGGUUCAGCUGACCAGGAGCUAGAUUUAGCCCGUUAAGCAUCCGGGCAAAGUAGGGUUGCAAGGGACACCUCAGCCCAUACUUAAAGCUCUCUAGAAACAGGGUAACGUAUCCCCUAGGAGGCCGGCUAGGGGUAUCCUUCUUUCCUGGGAUCUUAAGAGGUAUUUCACCAGGAAUACUAUACUUAAGCCGGAGGUCAGUGAGCUCGUCAAACGUGGUCGUGCACGUCAUGUAAUCAAUAGCGUAAUCCCGCGAUAGGGCUCUACCUCCUACUGUACUCUGCCCUUCUGGUCGCGAUGUUCAUAAUGGGGACACCUCACCAGAAUCACCUCUUCGAUCCUCACUCAGGGUGUUUUCCGAGCCAGAAAACCCCUCCUCACCGCUAUUUCUGCUCGAGGAGGUUGUUUGGGGGGACAUCCUCCUAGCGCUAGUACCAACACUAGGUCUAAUGGGUUCUAAGGGGAUCCCGGGGUCAAAAGCAGGAUCGGUGAGCAGACUAGGCAGGAAGUCCAACUCAUUGUCAUCAACCUCAAUGACCUUCUCUUUACCUUUCGACAUUCCCUAAGCUAUAACUAGAACACCACCACCAACUACUACCCAAGCAAAGCAAAGAGAAAAGAAAUUAUCUACAGCUAUCCGAGACUGAGGAGAUAGAAGUAAUACCUGAAAUAGUGGUUCAGUCGGAGAAGGACAGGGAUGGAGGCCUUUAUGCCGGAACUUCUUUGCCAGGGAGACAGGGACAGAGACGGGGUAAAUGACGAAUUUUCCUUUGGAGAGGUUUUAGGUUUUCCUAAUGGAGAAUAAACUCUUGGGUUGCCAGCAUUUAACAGCACCAAAUCCCGAGGGUCUCGUAACCGUUGGUUUGAAAUUCAAAUAGAGAGGUAGAUUUCUGUCACAUCACCUCGUCCGCAAUUAAAUGCGACACAACUCUUGGCAGCCUUUUUCCUAUCCCGCGCAAGCAAGAGCUGUCAAGUUUCUACUAUCGGCUUACUACGUUACCCAACACCAGAAACUGGGGGAUCGGUGUUUGUGGGAUAUGCUUCGACGAAGACCAGCAAUGAUGAGCAGACAUCUGGUAAUAGGGUUCCUCGAGCAGGUAUAUCUUGUAAGAGUCUAGUAUCCGGGGGAGCAGGAGCAGGAAUAUCCUGCUCAUCCGCGAGCACGUCAUCCACGAGGCCAAUCUCCUGUUGGAAGCAUAAAGUCAUUCAUGCUACAUUCCUGCUAAGGGUUGAGUCGAGGAGACCCGGUCAACGACAGUUGGCGAGAUGUGCUCUCCAGUCCGAGAAUCAAGGCACGAAGGCCACGCAACCACCCACGACUACGGAAAUGGGGCAUCCACUUUCGAGAGGUGGGAGGAUAACAAGCGCGAAUGGAGGGAAGGCCCGAGUUUAGAGGUGGCCUAUAAAAAGGUAGCCAACGAAGGUAAAAGGGUUAGAAUUUUUGACAUUGUAACAGAAAAAAAGAAAGCUCUAAAGAACUGAGACUAAAAAAGAAAAGCCAUAAGAUUUGUGGUUAGCGUUCCCAGAACCUUCAUAUCUGACUAGAGCGUCGGAGGGUUUACGCCGGGAAAAGAACCGGCAUACUCUGACCUGCUUCUGUAUACGCAGGAACUUCUGGAGAAGAAGCCUUACAAGGAGAGAUCCUGAUCGAGGUGGAGUUGAUCGAGCAGAGAUCCUGGUCGUAACAAGAGAGCAACCAGAAUCUCACAUCAACACAUAAUAUAAUAUAUAUAUAUAUAUAUAGAAAGCUGAAUUUAUUUAUUUACGCGCAUGUGCUAGUGCCCACUGGCAUCCACUUGAUUUGUAUCGGUUAAAUGUAUCAUACAAUACAAUAUUAGCUUGACUGUAGAAAAGAGGAGAACGAGUUGGUGUUGGUCUGAACUCUUAUCUUUGAAUCUCACGUGACUCCACUACUUUUUACUUGUUCUGUAGUCCAUUGUCGGCAGCUCAUACAAGGUCUUUUAGCUUUUUAAAAAGUUUUAGCUUUUUGGAUAAAUUACUGAUAAUUGUAAUCUAUAAAUAAUGAAAGGAAUUAAUUAAAUAUUUGGUAAAUUUUAUUUUUUAAAGUGUUAUGAGUUUUAAAAACGGUUGUAUGUAUAUAAAUUUAUUUACACAUAUAUUUAUAAAUAUGACUAUAUAAUAAUAUUUUAUGUGUACAUAUAAUAAUUGAUAACUAAAAUAAAUAUUUUUAUUUUAUUAAUGGUUUUUUCGUCUCAAUGUAGUUGGUAAUAAUAAUCUCUUGAGAUGUAACGAUUUUAUUUCCUAACUGAAUAAGGAAAAUUUUAGAUUUUUAUAAUAAAUGUUAAGAUAUAUUUAGAAUUACAUUAAGUAUGAAAUAAUCCUCAAAAUUAGAUUUUGAAAAGCAAUUCUUUUCUUGCCUUUAAAAAUAUGUCAUAUGAUGAGAUGAUUUUACUAAAAGUGAUUUUUUUUUAAAAAAUUACUAAACAUCAAAAUUAACUCUUAACUUUUUAAAAUCAUUUCUAAUCUUCUCAUCCUAAGUUCUCUAUUAUUUUGUACAAAAUCCAAGGUUUUGACUUUAAUAAAAUGCCCACUCAAAAAGAAAUUAUUUUCUAAUUAAGAUUUGUUGUUAAUGUAUAACUCGAAGUAAUAUUAGAUAUUUGUAAUUUUAUUUCAAAAAAUUUAUUCAAAUGAUAUGGCAAGCAAUGAACAAUAGUUGAUAGCAAUUUUUUUUUCUUUAACAAUGUUCAAAUCAAUCAGUUGCAUUAUCUCACCAUUUUUAUGAUGCCAUGUUAUUUUAAACGAUUUUUUUUUUAUAUAAAACAUACGACGUGUUAACAUCAUUUGCAUAACUUGACCUUUUUUUUUUUCCCUACAAAUAGUAAGUCAAAUUUACUCACCCUAUUUCUACCUAAAAUCUACCUAAAACUCAUGCAUCACUGCAAAACAAAUCCAAAGAUUGCGGUGCGUUUUUCUUGGUCAGAAAUCAAUAAUUAGGUCAAGUACUACUACUAAGCGUGCACAAUUAAUUCUAAAAUACGGUGAUCAAAAUCAUACUUUACGCAAGAGGAUCAGGGCUAAACUUCAAUUAGGCAUUAUUCAUCCAAAAAUCAUUGACUCGGCAUUCUUUGCAAGUUGUAGCAUGGGACAGCUAAGAUAAUUAGCAAAUGAUAUGGACCAUAUGCACCAAUACAUUUGUGACAUGUGAAUCUUGGCAUUAAAGGAAAGGCAAUGUGUCAAAAUUUAAUAGAGCCCAACUCUUCAUUGAAUGAUUAUCAGAUCCAAUACGCAUCCUUUGAUUGGAUUAUUUUAAGUCAAUUAUUGGUGGAUUGGGGCCCACUUGACUCUACCAAAUCGGGCUCGACCAUAUCACCUAUUAACGGCCACCUGUCCUUAUCAUAAAUAGCAAAUGUCACUUGUUUUAUUUUCUAUUUUACCAAAGUAAAGUCACUACGAACGCAAAAGAAAGUGACCUCAAUUUUGGGGGUCAUGAACUUUGGAUUAUUAUGGACACAAGAGACAAGCGCAAUGUUUCUCAUUUAUCACUGGAUAAGAUUUAAGUUAUCAACCCAAUAUUAAUAAAUUCUGCUUGAAAAGUAAAGUUUGAAGCUUCAUUUUGCGAAUAUUCAAUGGUUAACAUUUAAGUAAUUAACCUGAUAUUAAUCCAAUUAAACUUUUUAUGUAAUCCAAGUCAAAAAUAUAUUGAUAAACCUAAACUAAUCUAAUUGGACAUAUUAUUUCAACUUGAAAAGGUGAAUUUAUCAUUUUUCAAUUAAUUUUGAAUCAAGCUAUGUAAAAUAUAAGCUUAUUAAAGACAUAUUUGAAAAUUUCAAAUUGAAUUAUUUGACAAUUACAUUUCAACUAAGUUGUACUGCUAAUUAACUUCCUCAACUUAAAAUGUAUUUUUCUCAAUUAAUUCGUAACAAAGAAUGUUAGAUGUUUUGUUCGAAUGAUAACAUUCAACAUCCUUAUUCUUUAUGAUUAUUGCAUAAAAACAUAUUUUAUCCAUUUACGUCACAUAUGUUCCUAAAUUGUAUAAGAAAAUCACCAAAUUUACUCUUGUAAGUUACUAUAUCAAUGAACAUGAAACUAACUAAUCAUUAAAGUCUCGGAAUGACAUCAUGAGGGGGAUUCCGUUACAUUUAUUGAUAGGAUUAGAUAUAUGUCUUCCCAAAUAUUAGUAGGAGUAAUUAAACAGAUGCAGCUAUUAAAAAUAUGGAAUUACUUAUCUCGUCAAUAACUAACGAUAUUUUUUAUCUAUGCUCGAUAGGCGUCUGAGCUAUAUUAUAAAUUGUAAUAUUUGUAGAUUGUAACAAUUAUAAAAAAAAAAAAAAAAAGCUCCCUAAGACUAAACGACAACAGGACUGUUUUGAAAUAGAUAGAUAAAGUAUGCCCUUAUUUGAGAAAAGGUAAAACACUAGGGAUCUAAAUGUUAUUAUAAUCCCAUGCACAAAAAUGCUAGAAAAAACUAAUAACAACUAACCGAAAAUCCCAGGCGUCAUAUUCCUUUUUACCGCGUUUUAAAAUGCACAACAAUGAUAUUCUCACAAAAGUGGGUACAAAGGUUUGUACAACCAGGGUCUCUUUGUAAAUUAUUUCAAAGUUUUGUGUUAUUUUUUAAAUUUAUGAUUUUUAUUAAUUUUGAUUCAUUGGAGCAUUUCUCCUUCCAUCUCUUCUACAUCUAUUUUUAAAGUUUUUUAAAAUUUUGACUAUAUCUUUAUAGAGUUCUAAAUGAUUAUCUUUUUUCAUAAAAAUCUAUACUUAAAUUAAUCCUUGAAUUUAUAAUCAUUUAUCUUCUUUGAGUCAUAGACCAAAUUUUUUCUUCUAACAUAUCUAUGUAUACUCCUAAGCUAUCUUCAUGGCUUAGAUACAUUCUAUCAAAGCUUUCACAUAUAAAUUGUGAUUUGAGAUCUGCAUCUUGAAUCAACAUCUCUAUAUUAUCCAUUGUUUUACGCUCGAGGGUAGUUAAAAUUGAUUCUAUUAAUGCUAUCGUGUUUCUCCUUCAAAAGAAUCAAAUAUUUCUGGAUUAUUAAUUUCUUUUAUUUCUUCAUACAAGCAUUCGUUUGCCGUUAAUCUUGUUUUAAUCAAGGAAGCUGUAUAAGCAACUUGAUAUUCUUGACAAAAGUCUAAAUGAUCUAUUGCAUCUAGAAAUUUAUUAAUAGAUCUUUCCAUUUUUAAGAAAUUGAGUUACUCUUAUCACUUCCAAUCUUUUAACAUCUCAGAAAACAAACAAGGCCCAGCAUGCUUCCGUUUGUAGCUCAAAUAAAAGAAGAGUUCAGAUCACUAACCAAUGUACUAUCUCUCGGAAGUCUGAGAUAGACUCACUAAUUGCCUCUAACCAUAGAGAGGUCCAUGGUCAGCACCACCAUAGCUCCACACAUCAUACAAGAUCACUUCAACGACUGUUCCACAUGGCCUAAUGCAACACACAGCAGACUGGCCUAAUAGGAUAUGUCUAAGUGAUUUUCUUGCAGUUGUCUCUGGAAGAGUGCUUAGUAAUAGAAAAUCUUCUUCGUUUAGUACAAGUAUUGGUAUGUAAGGUUCUUGAUUAAUUUUCAAAAGAUGUAUAAGUGUUAGAGUGCAAUUUAUGCACUAGUUUUGCAUUAUUUACUUCCCUUAAUAUCAAUGUUUUGCACUUAAUAAUAGUGAUUUACUUGUGUUUUACUUUUGUAGGUCCAAUUCUAUUGAUUGAUGAUAAAAUUGAGCUAUAAGAUGAUGUUUAAGGAUGAUUGUUCUCUUGGAGAAAUUAUGAGCGUCAGAAGAACUUUGUUGAUAAGGCGUGGGCGCGUGCUGUCAAUUGCGGACCUGCAGUUUUUAGUUUAACGUGUUUUGUAUUUUUGGUUAUUUUUGUAAUUACGAAUUUAAUAUUUCAGAUAUUAAGAUUUUAUUUUAAAUAGAAUUCUAAAAGAGAAGAGAGAGAGAGUAUUUAAGGGAGGAAUCUAUUGUGAAAAAGGGGGAUUUUGGAUUGGAGAAAGAAAGAAACCCUAGAUCUAAUUUUUCUCUUCUCUCUAUGAAGAACUAAACUUAUUUUUCUAGUUGAAGGUUAACGAAGCUUUGAUUCAUCACUACUGUGAGAUCUUUCUUAUGCUUUAAUUGUUUUAUUACUUUUUGGAUAUUUGUUUAUUCUCUGAAUUUUUUUCAUGAUUAUGUUUGUUAAUUAGGUAAUUGGCCACUAUUUAAUUAUCAACUUAAUCUAUUGUCAAUUAAAGGAUUCAUCGUAUGAAGAAUUUAAUAUUUGUGACAAAUAACAUAGCAGAGAGUUGUGUUGUGAGAAUAAACAAUCUAAUUUAAAUGAAUCAUCAUAUGUGUUGAUUAGGAUUUGGGUCUCUCUGGUUUUUCAGGCUGUCAAUGAAUUAAAUCCUAUGAUCGUAUCUAGGGUUGUCCAUUGAUUAGGGAAAUAACCAACGGUCGUACCUUGGUUAUCGACUAGUAAAGGAGAGAUUGGCUAUUAGAGGGUCUCAAUAGCUAUAACCGGUCUAUUCAUAAGUAAUAAUAAUCUAUAUUUGAAUCAAUGAUCAGUAGUAGAAUCAAGCUGAGUUAAUUCCUUCAACCAGAGCUUUCUCCAAUUUGAAUUACAACUUUAAUUUGCAUUCUUGUUAUUUUGAUUUGAUUUUUAUUAUUGUCAACAAUUCCCCCAUUUUACGUUUUACGUUUCAAAAGGAUUUAAAUAAUUACCGAUCUCUGUGGACACGACCCUGCUCAAUCACUAUACACAAUUUAUUUAGAGUAGGAAUUUAUUUUUGUUCGCUUCGACACCACUGCUGCCUCGCCAACUAUUCCUUCUACAUCCGCACCACCUUUGAGCAUUCAGUUAGAGAAAAUAGAGCACAAGCUGAACAAGAUGGAGCAGAAUUUGGCCGCAUACUUCGAGAGUGUGGGUUUUACCCCACCAUUUCCGCCAAGCCCAUAGACGUUAUGUGGAUCAAAGCUCACAAUUCAGGGAAGUUUCUUUUUGCCCUUAAUCUUUUAUCCUUACGCUUUAAUUUUUAUGUGAGCUUUAAUUAUCUUACAUUGGGGACAAUGUAAGUUCUUGGUGUGGGGGAGGGAUUUUUGCAUUAUUGAUGUCUGGAAGUAUUAUUUUCACUCUACUCAUCUAUUUUCAUUCUACUCGUCCUUAAAUGAUUUUGGAGUUAGUAUGCUUCAUAUAUUAUUAUUUUUCUUUUCUUUUCUUUCUCACUACUUUUUUCCCAUCUAUCUCAAAUUAUUUACAUCUAUUUUUAUUCUAUCAUACUCUUUCAUCACUCACAUUUUAUCUUUCACUUUUCAUAUUACUACAUACAUCUUUCUCACUUCUUAUCAUUUUUACCUUUCCUUCACUCAUACCUUCUUCUCAUUCUACACCACUAUUGAUGGUUGAUUCAUUUGAAGAGUGUACAUGAUUUGAUGGCAAAUUUACCAACUUUGUGAGGAUUUGAGCCUAUGAGCAACCACUUUGCUCUAAUUAUUUUUAUUAUGUGAAUAUCAAUCUUAGUUUGUUUAUUCUAGAACUUGCUUUGUUAUGCAUGUUGAAGCCACAUUACGGGAUUUUUUGCAUUAAAAUGAUAAGGGCAAACCAUUUACCAUUUUUCUAUUCUCGCAUUUUCUUUUUUUUUUCUCUACCCGAAGACCUUGAUUUACUAUCUUUGUUUGAGCCUUAACCAUUACCCAUCUAAUUCUCUCCGUCUACUUAACCAUUUUUCUUCUUUUUUAGCCUCAAUUUAAGGAGAUUUUUGGACUCAUUGUGUGGAUAUAUUUUGUAUAUAUUUUGUUGCUUUUUCUACCUUGUAUUAAAGUUUCUCAAUUAGAUCAACAAGCAUUAUGCUUGAAUUAAAUUGUGCAAGGUUCAUUUCUUUUGUUUGAUUCAAAAAAAAAAAAGAAAGAAAAAGAAAAGGAAAAAGAAAAAAAAAGAAAAAAAAAGAAAAAUCGAAAAAAAAAGAAAAAGAAGAAAAAAAAAUGUUUACAUUCUUGGUGACUUGAGUAGAAAUAAGCGUUUCGAUAUCAUAAAGUUCGUUCAAUGAGUUCAUUCUUCUCAUUUUGAUCUCUUUUUCUUUCAUAAACCUUUCUUUUUCAUUUAACCCAUUUAACCCCGUUACAACCUUUUAAGACCCUUAGAUUUUUGUAUUUAAUUCAUGUUUUGUGGAUUGAAAUGUGAUAUAUAAGCAAGCUUAUGGUAAUAGCAUUCUUUGAUUUGAUUUGAGUGAAUAAAUGACACCCUAAACACUUUGAGUGCAUGGAGUGAAGUCAAUGAGAGGGCUAUUAAAUCUUGUUGCACUUGAAUUUUGAAUGGAUCUUCUUGGUGGUUGAAUGUUCUUAUUCUAUCUUAUGAGAUUCUAUGCUUUAAAAUCCUUGUCUCUCGAAUGUUGAUCGACUUAAUUUCUUGAGGUAUACUUGCUUAAAAUUGUUUUUGGAUGAGUUGAGAUGAGAAUUGAGUGGAGAUUUGGGAUUAGUCUUGAGUUAUAUGCUUGAGGACAAGCAUCAUCUUGGUGUGGGGGAAUUUGUUAGAGUGCAAUUUAAGCACUAGUUUUGCAUUGUUUACUUCCCUUAAUAUCGAUGUUUUGCACUUAAUAAUAGUGAUUUACUUGUGUUUUACUUUUGUAGGUGCAAUUCUAUUGAUUGGUGAUAAAUUAAGCUACAAGAUGAUAUUUAAUGAUGAUUGUUCUCUUGGAGAAAUUAUGAGCGUCAGAAGAACUUUGUUGAUAAGGUGUGGGCGCGUGCUGUCAACUACGGACCUGCAGUUUUUAGUUUAACGUGUUUUGUAUUUUUGGUUAUUUUUGUAAUUACGAAUUUAAUAUUUCAGAUAUUAGUAUUUUAUUUUAAAUAGAACUCUAAAAGAGAAGAGAGAGAGAGUAUUUAAGGGAGGAAUCUAUUGUGAAAAAGGGGGAUUUUAGAUUGGAGAAAAAGAAAGAAACCCUAGAUCUAAAUUUUUCUCUUCUCUCUAUGAAGAACUAAACCUAUUUUUCUGGUUGAAGGUUAAUGAAGCUUUGAUUCAUCACUACUGUGAGAUCUUUCUUGUGCUUUAAUUGUUUUAUUACUUUUUGGGUAUUUGUUUAUUCUCUGAAUUAUUUUCAUGAUUAUGUUUGUUAAUGAGGUAAUUGGCCACUAUUUAAUUAUCAACUUAAUCUAUUGUCAAUUAAGGGAUUCAUCGUAUGAAGAUUUUAAUGUUUGUGACAAAUAACAUAGCAGUGAGUUGUGUUAUGAGAAUAAAUAAUCUAAUUUAAAUGAAUCAUCAUAUGUGUUGAUUAGGAUUUGGGUCUCUCUGGUUUUUCAUGUAUAAGAUAUCUAGAAGAUGAUAAUUUCACUCAAAAGAGUUUUAUUUAUUUCAUUAUUGAAAUUGUUUACAGAGGAAGGUUACAGAGAAUACAGAGGUAAUUGAAGGUUAGACAUAUGAUAUCUUUCCUUUCUUACAUGCUUUCAUUUAUAUAUCUCUCUAGAGAUAAGAUUAUCUCUUUUACAUAACACAUGUUCGAUCCUUGUGGUGGAAUCUCGAUUUCCUUUUGAUAAGGUGACCCCUUCUUCAUCAUUGAAGCCAGUAGUUGUCUUCUUUUCAUGUUGCCAGACAACCUUUAUCUUGUUCUGGUGAGCUUUUUCUUUUUUGGAAUCUCUCUUUUUGAAUUAUUGAUACUUUUUGGAUAACACCUUUUAUCUUUUUCAGUAGUCCCCGUCACAUGCCAAUUAUCAUAUCUUCAUCUAUAGACAUGUCUUCCCCACUAGAAUCUCCUUUUUUUUUUAAUCCUUCGUAGUAGUAGCCACAUGAUGACUGAUGCUUUAGCACCUUAUAUAUCUCGUGGUGUGUCAGCAAGGUGGAUUCCACGAGAUUUUCGAAUAUGCCCUUUUUCUUUUUUAAUAUGGUAUGUCUGGCUAAAAUAUUUUCUUUUCUACUCAUAGAAAAGAUUAUAUGCUCUUUUGUGGCUUCAUGGAGCCAUAUUUUCUCCUUGUUUAUCCUCUCAAGAGAUUCAUAGAGGACUUUCAUUUCUAUGGCCCUUUUGUUGGUGAGAGCUUUUGGCUCGAAUAAUUCAGGAUCAUAAUCAUUGUAGACUUGAUGUAAAUCAAUGGUUGGACUAACUUUUCUACUGCUAAUUCCAACUUGAAUCAAGUGCUGUGCUGGAUACCACUUGUUACCAUAGUAUUCAGGGCAAGCAGUGAGGAUCUUGACAAAAAUCACUUCUUUUGUUUUAGACAUGAUUUUGAGAUCAUUAAUAGCCUCUGCAACUUUUGUGGGAAGCUCUUUUAUUUCUCUGCAAUCAUCACUUACAUAAACAAGGUUAAGAAAACCAUAUUCAAACAUGUCUUUUAUUAGUUUUAGAUUAGCUCCUGGCACAACGUUUAUCAUUGGAUAUAACCCUAAAUGAUCUAGUAUAAUAGUCUGGCUAGGACGAAUCCCAUAGGCUAUUUUACCAAUUCUUUUAUAAUCAUAAGCGUAGUCGCUUCCUAUUGGUAUUUUAACCAUAGGGACAGAUUGUCUGCUUUUAUCAUAUUGGGGUCUUAGGCUUACUGAAGAUCCCUGAGAUUCUUUUUUCUUUGUACAUUGAUCUUUAAGAUCAUUGAUUGUGAGAUAUCUCUCUGAAUGUGUGACCAUUGAUCUUUAAAAUACCAAUAGGAAGAGUAGUCGCUUCCUAUUGGUAUUUUAACCAUAGGGACAGACUGUCCGCUUUUAUCAUAUUGGGGUCUUAGGCUUACUGAAGAUCCCUGAGAUUCGUCUUUCUUUGUACAUUGAUCUUUAAGAUCAUUGAUUGUGAGAUAUCUCUCUGGAUGUGUGACCUUUAAGCUCUGCGAAGAACUCGAGGCAUUUUGACCCUCAAUUUGAUCUUUAAAAUGGACAUUUUUUUAGCAUAUUGCUAAUAUAUUGUUAUGAAGUUUGGAGUUCUGGAUGAUCUUGCAAACUUUUGUUUGGGCAAAGUUUGCUCAAUUCUUCAUGGGCAUCAUCUAUCAUGGCAAGCCCAUCAUAAAUCAUACUAUUGCCUUUGAGAAGUUAUUCUUGACCUUCAGAGCACAUUAUUAUGCCCUUAAUUAUUUUGGAAAUGCUCUGCUCCAUUGUAUUCUUGGCAAAGAUUAGAUCCUUUAAUAUAUUCAAUUUCAAAAUCAUAUUCAGCAAAAAACUGCUGCCAUCUAAUUAAUGUUUUCUAUUGAGGAAGAUUAGGCAAUUUAUUGAAUAUAAAUCCUUUGACUUGAGUGUUAUCGGAUCUUACCUUAAAUUUCUUUGGUAACAAAAAGAAAGUAAAUUUAGCUAUUCCUUUUUUAAUAGCUAAUAAUUCAUUUUCAUUACUAUGAUAAUUCUUUUCUAUGGGUUUGAAGGUCCCGCUAGAAUAUCUACAAAUUUUUUCUUGAUAUGUUUUUAAGACUGCUCGCCAGUGAUUAUCUGAAGCAGUAGUUUCAAGAAUUAAAUUAUCACUAGAGGUAGGGAAUCCUAACCUUAAGUAAAAAGCCAAAAAAAUUGACUUAUUUUAUUAAGUCAAUUUUUGAAAAUAUAAAUAAUGCAAAAUAUAAGAAUAUCAUCUACAUGAUCUAUCUUAUUAUUUGAAAAUAUAAGAAUAUCAUCUACAUAAAUAAUGCAAAAUUCAUGAAAUUUUUUUAAGAUGCUAAAUAUCUUUUUAUUUAUUAUAGAAGUAAUUAAUGUAUCUUUAUGAGGUAAAAAGUAUCCAUCGAAUUUGGUAUAUUUAUUUAAUUCUUUGUAGUUAAUGACCAUAUGAGCUUUUCCUCGUUUAAUUUCAGCAUGAUUUCUAACUGAUUAGUAUUAAAAAUUGUUUAAUUAUCAAGCGAUAAUAUGUUAUUUUAUGCUUAUGUUAUAAUUUAUAUUUGUGUUUAUGUAAUAUAUUAUGAAUUAUGAAUUAUGUUUUAAAUAUAUUUAAUUUUGUGUAUUUUUAUGUGUUUAUUAGGAAAAUUAUUAAUUUCACGUACUUUGAGGCUCCAAACAGAUAAACGGAGGUCAAAUUUGGAUUCCGGAGGUCCGAAAACCUUAAGAUCAGUCAAGAUCGGCUUAAAAUUGGGCUUGUGUAAAAAAAGUUGACUUUUCCUGUUGACCGAGCACUGAUUGGAUGAUGAAAUGAGCUUACAAUAGAUAUGAGUGCAUGGGAUAACUGGCAAUCUUGACUAAAUCUCAACCGUUCAUGAUUCAAUGGCCAUGAUUGUGCCACGUGGCAAUGGUUGGUGAAGCAAGUUGGAGGAUCCGAAUCUUUGUAUUCGGGUCGACCCGAUCCACCCAUUAACCCGCCAAAUCUCAACCGUUCUUUGGGCAAAUCGGACGAGUCAAAUGAUGCCAUGUGUGAUGUUGACUUUUGAAGUUUGACCAGCCAUUGGAUCUUGAUCUAAGGGUUGUGAGGAGCACAUGCAUGAAGCCUAUGAUGGACCGCAAAGCACUGGAUUAUGAAUUUAUUUUUCUAUAAAUAGGGCCUCAUUUUUAUGUUUUAAUCAUCUCUCUACAACUCUCUUCUUCUCAAAUUCUCUCCAUCUCCUUGUAAUCUUGAUUUCCAUAUGUGUUUUUAAUAUUUUGUAUAAUUAUUUUCAUUAAUAAAAUUAGUUUUAUUUCCAAUUUUAGUUGUUUUUAUUUCUUUUAAUUAUAAGUAAUUCAAUUUUACUACUUCUUUUUAUUUUAAUUAUGCUUAACUAAAUAAUAUUAGUUAGGGGAAGGUGAAACUCUUAAGAAAUAAAUAUGAUUUAAUCAAAUUCUAUGUUUAAUUUUAUAAAUUAAAUUAUUUUCUAUUUAAUUUUAUACAUGUUUUAUAUUUUGAAAAUUUAAUUUAUUGUAGACAAACAAAUGAAUUUGGCACAAUAAAUUCUUAAGAUCUUAAUAUAAGGCAUGGUGAAAUGGUAUUUUGACUUAUUGUAGACAAAUUAAAUUUUGGCACAAUAAAUACUUAAUCCAUCAUAAAAUUAAAGGGAAAAUAAUAAUAAUUUGUAUAAUUAAUCUUUUGAGUAAUAAAUCUAAAACAAAUUGGCAAAAAGAAUUUAUUAAGUUUUAUUUAUUUCUAAGAGUGGAUCCAUAACCCUAACUAGUUCAAUUCCAUAGUUUCAUUUAAAUUAAGUUGUUUAUAUUCAAGUUUUAAUUUCAAUUUUUAGAUAAAAUAAAAUAAACUAAUUAAAUCUUUUCUCUGUGGAUCGACCUCGGACUCACCGAGUUAUAAUACAACAAGACACUCUUAUACUUGGGAGUUAAAAUUUACUUUUAAGUUGUGUCAAGUUUUUGGCGCCGUUGCCGGGGAAAAGUUUUUUAUUUGGUUUGUUUUUCCGUUUUUUAUUUUUCUCUUAUAUGUAAAACUUCGUUUGCCCCCUUUUCCUUUUCUUAAAUUCUCCUUAGUCCCCAUGUCUUUCAUAUUUCUCGUUUCACCCCAACAAUUUCCUUUUCUAGCCCAAUCUUCUGGUAAUUACGUUCGGACCCCAACAUCUUUCAACUGUUUCACUUUCAUCCCAAAUUACUAAUUCUAAACUUCUAAAAAUUACAUUUUGACCAUAAAAUUAAAAAUAAUUUGCAAUAGAAUCCCUAGACGAAAUUCCUCAACAUAAUCAAGACUUGGACAUAUUUGGACAUACUUUGGACAUAUUUGGACAUAUUUGGACUUAUUUUGGACCAAACUAACUUUAACUACUAACUCUAAUUACUAACUCUUAACUUACUAACUGCUAACUGCUAACUGCUAACUUUUAUUUAAUUUCAGUUAUUUAAUUUUCUGCAUUUAUUUUAUUUCGUAUUUAUUUAUUUGUUUUUGCUUUAUUGGUGGGUUUAACCACCAAACUAACUACUAACUCUUAACUUUUAUUUUCAGUUAUUUAAUUUUCAGUAUUUAUUUAAUUUUGUAUUUUUUAUUUUUUUUAAUUGGUGGGUUCAACCACCAUUUUUUUUUAUUUUGCAUUUAUUUAUUUAUUUAUUUUUUACUUUGUUGGUGGGUUCAACCAUCAAAAUUGUUAUUUAAUUUUCUUUUGUAUACUUAUAUUAUUUAUUUAUUUAUUUUUUUAUUUUAUUUUGUUAUCAAUUUGUGUAAAUAUUAUCUUUAUAACAUAACCAUUGCAUGAGACGUUGGUCUCGAUCUUCAAGUGGCAGGUUAAUUCGUAGAUCUCAAUCUCCACCACCAAUCAUGGAUGAGAAUGAAGGCGAAAACGUUUUGGGCGAACUUAAUCCUCAAAUUGAUCAGGGAGACAACCAAUCUCAACAUGGGCAUGAUCAGAAUCAACCAAGGACUCUGAGAGACUACAUGAAUCCAACCAGAACCGGAGCACCGUCGUGUAUAGUAUUUCCUCCAGAAGCAUCUCGAUUCAACUUUAAACCAGGUAUUAUCCAACUUUUACCAACAUUUCAUGGUUUAGAAUCUGAGAAUCCGUACUUGCAUCUAAGAGAUUUUGAGGAAGUUUGUAAUACAUACACGGACCAAAAUUGUAGCAUGAACAUAAUUAGAUUAAAGCUUUUUCCUUUUUCAUUAAAAGAUAAAGCUAAAACUUGGCUACAAAACCUUAGAUCUGGAUCAGUAAGAACUUGGAAUAACAUGCAAGAACAGUUUUUUGAAAAAAUUCUUUCCACCUCAUAGAACAAAUUCUUUUAAAAGGCAAAUCACUUCUUUCACUCAAAAAAAUGGAGAAACAUUAUACCAAUGUUGGGAUAGGUUUACAGAGUUGCUUAACAUAUGCCCACAUCAUGGUUUUGAAACUUGGCGAUUGGUCACUUAUUUCUACGAGGGCUUAAUACCCCAAAGUAGACAGGUUGUUGAAAUGAUGUGUAAUGGUGAAUUUAGGGAUAAAAAUCCUGAAGAUGCACUAGAUUACCUUGACCAAUUAGCUGAAAAUGCACAACAUUGGGAUACUGUUGGAACUUUUGAAUUGACAAAUAAGCAACAAUCAUCUCCAUCUAGUGGAGGAAUCCAUAACCUUAGGGAAGAUCAUGAUUUACAAGCAAAAUUUGCAUCCCUAGUUAGGAAAGUUGAAGCUUUGGAGCAUAAAAAGAGUGAUCAAGUAAAAUCUGUUCAAGAAAUUGCAUGUAACAUAUGUAAUUCGAAUGAUCAUUUCACUCAAGAGUGUCCCACUUUGCCUGCACUUAAAGAAUGUCUAAAUGAUCAAGCUAAUGUCAUUAACACUUUCAAUAAACCAAACCCAUAUUCACAGACUUAUAAUCCUGGUUGGAGAAAUCAUCCGAAUUUCAGUUGGAGGAAUAAUAAUAAUGCACAAUCUUCACAAGCACCACCUCCACAAAAUUUUCAAAAUCCUCAGCCUUAUGCACCAUAUGUUCCACCACCCUGGAAAAAUCUGGAAGACACAAUGCAUUCAUUCAUCAGAAAGCAAGAUGUUAUUAACAAUCAAAAUGCACAAAAUUUUUCUGAUUUGAAAGAUACUCUUGCUAAAAUUGCUUCUGCACUCACCAUUCAAGAAAAAGGAAAAUUUCCAGCCCAACCACAACCAAAUCCUAAAAUUCAACAAAAUCCACCCACAGACCAAGUCAAGUCAGUUAUAACUCUUCGUAGUGGUAAGGUUGUUGAUAGACCUAUGCCUGAACCUUAUGAAAAUGAUGAAAAUUCAAAGGGUAAGGAAGGACUAAAUGAACUUACACCUAGUGAAGAAAUAACUAGUGUUCCACCUGAACCACCAUUUCCGCAUGCAUUGAAUAAACCAAAGAAAUCAAACCACUCUUCUGAAAUUUAUGAAAUCUUUAAGCAAGUGAAAGUUAACAUUCCUCUAUUAGAUGCAAUCAAGCAGGUUCCUUUAUAUGCCAAAUUUUUAAAGGACUUGUGCACUGUUAAGAGGAAAUUGAAGGUAAGAAAGAGUGCUUUCAUGGCCGAACAGGUAAGUACAAUUCUGUCUACUAAUAAUAAGUUGAAAUAUAAAGAUCCUGGUUGUCCUACCAUUUCUUGUAUUAUUGGUAACCACAGAAUUGAGCAUGCUUUACUAGAUCUUGGUGCUAGUGUUAAUUUGCUUCCAUAUUCAGUUUAUCUUCAACUUAAUCUUGGUGAGUUAAAAUCAACUUCAACUACACUUUUGCUUGUCGAUAGAUCAGUUAAAGUACCAAAAGGAAUAGUGGAAGAUGUUUUAGUACAAGUUGAUAAAUUUAUUUAUCCUGUGGAUUUUAUUGUCUUGGAAACUGAACCUGUUGUGAAUAAUUACAAACCAAUUCCUGUAAUUUUAGGUCGACCAUUUUUAGCAACUGCUAAUGCUUUGAUUAAUUGUAGGAAUGGUUUAAUGAAUUUAUCCUUUGGGAAUAUGACUUUGGAAUUGAAUGUUUUCAACAUGUGCAGGCAACCUAAUGAAGAAAAUGAGAAUGAAGAUGAUACUGAUGAACAAAAGGAAUUGUUUGAAUCUUGUAUCGAGGAAAAUAUUCAAAAAGGGGAUUUUUCUGAACUUUCAAAUGUUUGUUUAGUUAAUUCAAUUGAGUCAAAUAAGCAACUUGAACUUGAUAUUUCUAAUAUAAAUUCGUUGCUUGAUUCUGUGCAGACUUCACAAAAUUAUGAUGACGAGCCAAAAUUUGAGGAGCUUGGAAGUAUUGAAAAGACAGAACAACAAGAAGCACCUAAAAUGGAAUUGAAACCUUUGCCUGAAGGAUUGAAAUAUGCUUUUCUUGGAGAAGAACAAACUUAUCCUGUUGUGAUUUCUUCUACUUUAACAAGCGACCAAGAAGGUAAGUUACUUACUGUUCUUAAAAAGCAUAAAAAUGCAAUAGGAUGGACUUUAAAUGACAUUAAAGGCAUUAAUCCCUUAAUCUGCACACAUAGAAUUAAUUUGGAAGAAAAUGCUAAAAUAUGUCAACAACCUCAAAGAAGAUUAAACCCACACAUGAAAGAGGUAGUCAAAACAGAAGUCCUUAAAUUACUUGAUGUGGGAAUUAUCUACCCUGUUUCUGAUAGUAAGUGGGUAAGUCCUACACAAGUAGUGCCUAAAAAAUCUGAAAUCACUGUUGUUAAAAAUGAAAAAGGUGAAUUAAUUCCAACACGAAUUACAUCUAGUUGACGCAUGUGCAUUGAUUAUAGAAAAUUAAAUGAAGCCACUAGAAAAGAUCAUUUUCCAUUACCAUUCCUUGACCAAAUCUUAGAAAGAGUAGCAGGACAUCCCUACUACUGUUUUUUAGAUGGAUAUUCAGGUUAUUAUCAAAUUCCUAUAGCACUUGAGGACCAAGAAAAGACCACAUUCACAUGUCCUUUUGGAACAUUUGCAUUUAAAAGAAUGCCAUUCGGGCUUUGUAAUGCUCCUGCAACAUUUCAAAGAUGUAUGUUAAGCAUUUUUUGUGAUAUGGUUGAACAUUGUUUAGAGGUCUUUAUGGAUGAUUUGACUGUGUUUGGGAAUUCUUUUGAUGAUUGCCUUGAUAAUUUGGAGAAAGUUUUAAAAAGAUGUGUUGAAAAAGAACUCGUGUUGAAUUGGGAAAAAUGUCACUACAUGGUUACUUCUGGAAUUGUUUUGGGUCAUGUUGUUUCUAUUAAAGGAAUUGAAGUUGACAAAGCAAAAAUCGAAGUCAUAUCUAAAUUGCCACAACCAAAAACAGUUAGAGAUGUGCGAUCCUUUUUAGGACAUGCAGGAUUUUAUAGGAGGUUUAUAAAAAACUUUAGUGCCAUAUCUAAACCACUUUGUAACCUCUUAUUAAAAGAUGCACCGUUUGAAUGGAAUGAUGAUUGCCAAAAAUCUUUUGAAAAAAUAAUUUGUCUUUUAACAUCUGCACCUAUUAUGCAAUCUCCUGAUUGGUCUUUGCCAUUUGAAUUAAUGUGUGAUGCAAGUGAUUUUGCUGUUGGUGCUGUUUUAGGACAAAGAAGGGAUGGUAAGCCUUUUGUGAUUUAUUAUGCGAGUAAGACUUUAGAUAGUGCUCAAAUGAAUUAUUCUACAACUGAAAAAGAAUUACUUGCUGUGGUAUUUGCAUUAAACAAAUUCCGUUCAUAUUUGCUUGGCUCCAAAUCUGUUGUGUUUACUGACCACGCUGCUGUGAGAUAUUUGAUGAGUAAACAGGAUGCCAAACCGAGGAUAAUUCGUUGGAUUUUGUUACUACAAGAAUUUGACCUUACCAUCAAAGAUAAAAAGGGUGCUGAAAAUGUUGUUGCGGAUCAUCUAUCAAGACUCACAUCCGAAUUCUGCAAUGAUAUAACACCCAUAAAUGAUUCUUUCCCUGAUGAAUUUUUAUUUUCUGUUACUUCAAUGCCAUGGUAUGCUAACAUUGUUAAUUUCCUUGUUACAGGUAAAAUGCCUUUGCAAUGGAAUGCUCAAGAGAAGAAGAAAUUUUUUGUUGAAGUAAAGAAAUUUUAUUGGGAUGACCCUUAUUUGUUCAAAUAUUGCCCAGAUCAAAUUUUUCGGCGAUGUAUUCCUCAUAAUGAGGUAAGUAGUGUCAUUAAUUUUUGUCAUUCUGAAGCAUGUGGUGGUCAUUUUUCUUCAAGAAAAACUAUUGCUAAAAUUUUACAGUGUGGAUUUUAUUGGCCUACCAUGUUUAAAGACACAUAUGAAUUCUGCAAAAGUUGUGAAAAAUGUCAAAAAUUGGGAUCAAUUACAAAAAGAAACAUGAUGCCCUUAAAUCCCAUACUUGAAAUUGAAAUAUUUGACUGUUGGGGAAUUGAUUUCAUGGGUCCAUUUCCAUCAUCUUUUGGAUUUGUGUAUAUAUUAGUUGCAGUUGAUUAUGUCUCAAAAUGGAUUGAAGCAAUUUCUUGUCGAAAUAAUGACAGUAAAACUGUGAUUAAAUUUUUAAGAGAAAACAUUUUAAGUCGAUUUGGAAUCCCUCGAGCCAUUAUCAGUGAUGGAGGUAAGCAUUUUUGUAAUAAGUCAUUUGAGUCUUUAAUGAAGAAAUAUGGAAUUACACAUAAAAUUGCUACCCCUUAUCAUCCUCAAACAAAUGGUCAAGUUGAAUUAGCAAAUAGGGAGAUAAAACAAAUUUUGGAAAAAACGGUUAACCCAAACCGAAAAGAUUGGUCUCUUAGACUUAAUGAUGCACUUUGGGCUUACCGCACUGCAUUUAAAACAUCAUUAGGAAUGUCACCCUAUCGGUUAAUUUAUGGUAAACCUUGUCAUUUACCUGUUGAACUUGAACAUAAAUCACUUUGGGCUAUUAAAGCUUUUAAUUCAAAUUUGGAUGAUGCUGGUAAUGUGCGAAAAUUGCAAUUGAAUGAACUUGAGGAAUUAAGGAAUGAUGCAUAUGAAAAUUCAAGAAUUAUUAAGGCAAGAACAAAAGAAGAUUAAACCCACACAUGAAAGAGGUAGUCAAAACAGAAGUCCUUAAAUUACUUGAUGUGGGAAUUAUCUACCCUAUUUCUGAUAGUAAGUGGGUAAGUCCUACACAAGUAGUGCCUAAAAAAUCUGAAAUCACUGUUGUUAAAAAUGAAAAAGGUGAAUUAAUUCCAACACGAAUUACAUCUAGUUGACGCAUGUGCAUUGAUUAUAGAAAAUUAAAUGAAGCCACUAGAAAAGAUCAUUUUCCAUUACCAUUCCUUGACCAAAUCUUAGAAAGAGUAGCAGGACAUCCCUACUACUGUUUUUUAGAUGGAUAUUCAGGUUAUUAUCAAAUUCCUAUAGCACUUGAGGACCAAGAAAAGACCACAUUCACAUGUCCUUUUGGAACAUUUGCAUUUAAAAGAAUGCCAUUCGGGCUUUGUAAUGCUCCUGCAACAUUUCAAAGAUGUAUGUUAAGCAUUUUUUGUGAUAUGGUUGAACAUUGUUUAGAGGUCUUUAUGGAUGAUUUGACUGUGUUUGGGAAUUCUUUUGAUGAUUGCCUUGAUAAUUUGGAGAAAGUUUUAAAAAGAUGUGUUGAAAAAGAACUCGUGUUGAAUUGGGAAAAAUGUCACUACAUGGUUACUUCUGGAAUUGUUUUGGGUCAUGUUGUUUCUAUUAAAGGAAUUGAAGUUGACAAAGCAAAAAUCGAAGUCAUAUCUAAAUUGCCACAACCAAAAACGGUUAGAGAUGUGCGAUCCUUUUUAGGACAUGCAGGAUUUUAUAGGAGGUUUAUAAAAAACUUUAGUGCCAUAUCUAAACCACUUUGUAACCUCUUAUUAAAAGAUGCACCGUUUGAAUGGAAUGAUGAUUGCCAAAAAUCUUUUGAAAAAAUAAUUUGUCUUUUAACAUCUGCACCUAUUAUGCAAUCUCCUGAUUGGUCUUUGCCAUUUGAAUUAAUGUGUGAUGCAAGUGAUUUUGCUGUUGGUGCUGUUUUAGGACAAAGAAGGGAUGGUAAGCCUUUUGUGAUUUAUUAUGCGAGUAAGACUUUAGAUAGUGCUCAAAUGAAUUAUUCUACAACUGAAAAAGAAUUACUUGCUGUGGUAUUUGCAUUAAACAAAUUCCGUUCAUAUUUGCUUGGCUCCAAAUCUGUUGUGUUUACUGACCACGCUGCUGUGAGAUAUUUGAUGAGUAAACAGGAUGCCAAACCGAGGAUAAUUCGUUGGAUUUUGUUACUACAAGAAUUUGACCUUACCAUCAAAGAUAAAAAGGGUGCUGAAAAUGUUGUUGCGGAUCAUCUAUCAAGACUCACAUCCGAAUUCUGCAAUGAUAUAACACCCAUAAAUGAUUCUUUCCCUGAUGAAUUUUUAUUUUCUGUUACUUCAAUGCCAUGGUAUGCUAACAUUGUUAAUUUCCUUGUUACAGGUAAAAUGCCUUUGCAAUGGAAUGCUCAAGAGAAGAAGAAAUUUUUUGUUGAAGUAAAGAAAUUUUAUUGGGAUGACCCUUAUUUGUUCAAAUAUUGCCCAGAUCAAAUUUUUCGGCGAUGUAUUCCUCAUAAUGAGGUAAGUAGUGUCAUUAAUUUUUGUCAUUCUGAAGCAUGUGGUGGUCAUUUUUCUUCAAGAAAAACUAUUGCUAAAAUUUUACAGUGUGGAUUUUAUUGGCCUACCAUGUUUAAAGACACAUAUGAAUUCUGCAAAAGUUGUGAAAAAUGUCAAAAAUUGGGAUCAAUUACAAAAAGAAACAUGAUGCCCUUAAAUCCCAUACUUGAAAUUGAAAUAUUUGACUGUUGGGGAAUUGAUUUCAUGGGUCCAUUUCCAUCAUCUUUUGGAUUUGUGUAUAUAUUAGUUGCAGUUGAUUAUGUCUCAAAAUGGAUUGAAGCAAUUUCUUGUCGAAAUAAUGACAGUAAAACUGUGAUUAAAUUUUUAAGAGAAAACAUUUUAAGUCGAUUUGGAAUCCCUCGAGCCAUUAUCAGUGAUGGAGGUAAGCAUUUUUGUAAUAAGUCAUUUGAGUCUUUAAUGAAGAAAUAUGGAAUUACACAUAAAAUUGCUACCCCUUAUCAUCCUCAAACAAAUGGUCAAGUUGAAUUAGCAAAUAGGGAGAUAAAACAAAUUUUGGAAAAAACGGUUAACCCAAACCGAAAAGAUUGGUCUCUUAGACUUAAUGAUGCACUUUGGGCUUACCGCACUGCAUUUAAAACAUCAUUAGGAAUGUCACCCUAUCGGUUAAUUUAUGGUAAACCUUGUCAUUUACCUGUUGAACUUGAACAUAAAUCACUUUGGGCUAUUAAAGCUUUUAAUUCAAAUUUGGAUGAUGCUGGUAAUGUGCGAAAAUUGCAAUUGAAUGAACUUGAGGAAUUAAGGAAUGAUGCAUAUGAAAAUUCAAGAAUUAUUAAGGCAAGAACAAAAGCAUUUCAUGAUAAAAGAAUUUUUCGAAAAACAUUUGAGAUUGGUCAAAAAGUGUUGCUUUAUAAUUCUCGUCUUCAUUUAUUUCCAGGAAAGUUAAAGUCAAAAUAGAGUGGCCCAUUUGUUGUAAAAAAUGUAUAUUCAUAUGGGGCCAUAGAAAUUGAGAAUCCAAAUAACGGUGUCACAUUUAAAGUUAAUGGUCAAAGAUUAAAACCAUAUCUGGAACAUCACCCACGUGACGAGGACACCGAAAUUAAUUUGGAUGACCCACCAGUUCUUGAUUAAGUCUUUAAUGAUUUUUUUUUUUUUUACUAUUAUUUUACCGUUUCAUUGUUUGAUUUUUUUUCUUUAGAUUGAUGCACUGUACAUAGUUUUUUUUUAACAUUGUUUUUCUUGUGUAAGCGUGUUUGUUUGACAGUUGUACAUUCUCUCAUCAAUUUUCAUUUUACAUCAUGAGCACCUCAAUGAGAAAAUACCUAUUCGCACAUCUUAAAAGAUUUCGGCGUAUAAAAUUUCACUUAAGAGGCCUAAUACAAAGCUGUAAAUCACAUCCACUUUGGGAUCUGCAACCACCAGAAUUCGUGUCCUAUGUUGAGGAUCUAGAAGGACAACUCAGAACAGUAGAGAGUGGCAUAUAUGAAUUUCAAAUAGAGCUUGAGGUUAACUCAAUGAGAGGACGAAUGUAAGUUCAUUUUCCUUUUAUAUUGUGUGCUUUUUUUUUGCUCGCUUUCACGCUUGAUUUGAUUUUGCAGAUUUGAUUUUGGUGUGUUUUGAUUUAUUUUCCCGUAUAAAUGGCGGAUAACGGUACUCCGUGACUUCUUAAGUCGGUAUCUUCAGUUUCCCACAAUAACUGAAACCCCAAAAUCAAACAUGGAAGAAAUACAACAUAAACUCCAUAAGCAUUUUCCCUCUCUCCCUCAGAAUGCCCUCAGGAAAAUUUACAAAGCUCGUUGUGAACGACUGCGUUUGUUAAUGAUCAAUGGCAUUCUUUCUGACAUUCGUUGGUUAAUUGAAGCAAAGGUCUGAUUAGCAGGUGAGUUUUCUAGUCAAUUUGUUUCUUACAUGCCUGGUUUUGGUAAAAGUACGUUUGCUAAGAAAAGGAGAGCUAAACGACUUGGCUCAAAAUGUCAUAACUGUGUAAGACUUGGUUGCAAACGACCGGAUUGUAAAUCUUUAGGAAUGGUUUCUGAUACUCGUGAAGAUAAAAUUAAAUUCGUUAAAGAUGGCAUGAGUAAAGAAUCGUUGGAUGAUAUCUUACGAUCUCUUGAGACGCAUCGAAGCGGAAUUGUGCAAUGUGAGAUUUACAAUUUGUGGAUACUAUUCCAAAAACAAAGUGCACAGUUAAGUCUUGGGAAUCUGACUCAAAAAGACCCUGUUUGCCAGUUUAUAAGAAAACUGGAUGGGAAGCCGAUCCUCGACCCAUAGAGGGCGUUCAAGCCGUUACUGGACGUAAAACCAGAGGAAGAUGUGAGCCACAAUCACAACUACUAGUAAAUAUCCUUUCACUUCACUGUUAUUUUACUUUACUGUUAUUUUAUCAUUUGAAUUAUUGCAUUUAGCGAUGUGAUUUUGUAUUUAUUUGGUUUCUUUUACUGUUUGCUUUUUCUAAUCAUUACUUUUUUUUUUACUAUUUGUUUUUGAAUUAUUGAGCCACGAGCUUUCCUCGUCAUUUGACAAAUAUGCCAACCCAUUUACAGCUGUUUCUCUUUAUUUAUGUCACCAAGAUCUUUAAAUAUGAGCUCGUUUUUCAAACACUCACAACUUGUUUUUGAAAAAUUAGUCCAAUGGCAGCAUCUUCAAGUAAACAAUUCAAAAAUAUUUGUGUGCUUUCUGGGUUUCACUAUGGAAAGUACAAAGAGUUCGUUCAGGUAGCUGUAGAUCUUGGUCGUGUCAUAGCAGAGAGGAAACUGCAUCUUGUAUAUGGAGGAGGUGAACGAGGGUUAUCAAGACUUGUCUCAGAAGCUGUUUUUACCAGAGGAAGCCAAGUACUCGGCAUUAUCCCAAAACCCAUGAAACCGCUAGUGUGCAUGUCUGGCCCACCAAUUGGAGAAGAAUUAGUGGUAUCAAGUAUGCAAGAGAGAAUAUCUGAAAUGAUGAAUCAUGCUGAUGCUUUUAUUUUCUUGCCAGGAGAUCUUGCAACUUUUGAGGCACUAAUUACAUUUGCAUCUUGGGCCCACUUGAACAUUCAUCAAAAGCCCAUCGGUUUGUUAAAUGUUAAUAAUUUUUAUGACGGCUUGCUAACUUUUAUUAAUCAUGCAAUAAAGAAUCAUUUUGUUCCACAUUCUGUAAAAAAACUCUUUAUCUCUGCUUCUACUGCUAAUGAGUUACUUGAUCUUUUACAAGCUUAUACACCAGAGCCAGAUCCACAGACUGUUGCACUGAAUUGGUCGACUAAUGAUGGUAACGGUAACAGUAGCAGUAAUAAGAAGUGCGAUUUAGAUUUAACUCUCCGUUUGUAAAUAUUUGCUGUUGUAGUGUUCAUGUGAUGUCUUCUACACUCUUUCUAUUUCCUUUUAAAACAUUGAGGACAAUGUCUUUUUCAGGUUGGGGGGAGGGAAUAGUUGAUAAUUGUGGAAUGUCUUAGUCCUGGUUAUGUGUUUACAAAAAAAAAAAAAAAAAAAACAAUAACAAAAUUUUUUUUUUCUGUAAAGACUAACUUAGGACAAAUUUGAGUCGAAGAUGGCAGGAUAUAGAGAAUGUAGUCUCUCUAGAAACGCAUCUUCUUAAUCUUAAGGGUGUUGUUAAAAAAAAAAAAAAAUUGACUUUUUCUUCAUCUUUGUUAUCUACUUUUAAGCUUCUGCAUCAAGUUAAGGUGAGAUCUCCUAUUCUUCUUCUUUUAUUAUUCUCUUUUAUUUUUAUUUAUUAUUAUUAUUAUUUUUUUGCAUAUCUGUAAAAUUAUAAAAUGUUAGGAUAAUGUUUAGAUUAGGUUGUGGGGUGGGGAUAAUUGACGUAUGUUUUAAAUAUGUAUGUUGUUUUUUUCUCUUUUCUCUUUUCUUUUCUUUUCUUUGCCAAAAAAAAAAAAAAAUUGUUUUUUGUCUAGGAUGGCCGUGUAAAGAGUCACGACUUUUGAGACGCAUCCUAAUAGUCUUGUUGUAUUAUAUUUUGAUUUUGAGAUUCAUGGUAAGUUGUUUUUGUUCCCUUUUCUUUGAAUUACUCAAAUUUGUGAACUCUCCACUUGGUUAUUAAGUUAUUUAAUUGUUUACUCAUUUAACAGGUAUUAUUGAAUCAUUCUUCACACACACAUUAUGACACAUACUAGUGGGUUGUAAGUUAAAAUUUUACAGCAUUUAGUUCUUUUGAUUUAUUAGGAAAAGUAUCUAAGGUAGUAGAAAGUGUAUAGUUCCAAAAAAAAAAAAAAAAGUAGAAAAAAAAUUGUUUUUAAUUUUUCUAUAUCUAGAACCCGAGUAAUUAAGUCCGUAGGGGUGUUUCAACACCUAGUGCCCUAAGGUCAACUGGUCUGGGAGUCACUGGCCUAAAGCUCACUACAUGGGUAAUAGAUAUAUUGUUUGUUUAUUAGAAACCCGAGUAAUUAAGUCCGUAGGGGUGCUUUAACACCUAGUGCCCUAAGGGCAACUGGUCUGGGAGUCACUGACCCAAAGCUCGCUACACGGGUUAGAAAUGUAAUAUAUAAAAAAAAAAUGUGUGAAUAAUCUAUUGCCUAAAGAUAUAAUUUCUAAUGAAUUUUAGAACGAAAAUGUUGUUUUUCUUUUAAUGAAGCCCCAUAAGUAUUGUGUUAAUUACUUGAGCACAAAAGAAGGUUUGAUGAUAUUCUGGAUAAUGAGUGAACAUCAAUGUGGUAAAGGAAUUUGGGAGAGUUCAUUUAUUUGGUAAUUUAGAGGAUAGAUGAACAACUAUUAACUUGCAUGUGAAUUUUAUAAAUCUUAAUAUAACGCUUUAAUUGCUAGAGGGCUAGCAAUAAGCUGGUUGGGGGGUGUGAUUAGUAUUAAAAAUUGUUUAAUUAUCAAGCGAUAAUAUGUUAUUUUAUGCUUAUGUUAUAAUUUAUAUUUGUGUUUAUGUAAUAUAUUAUGAAUUAUUAAUUAUGUUUUAAAUAUAUUUAAUUUUGUGUAUUUUUAUGUGUUUAUUAGGAAAAUUAUUAAUUUCACGUACUUCGAGGCUCCAAACAGAUAAACGGAGGUCAAAUUUGGAUUCCGGAGGUCCGAAAACCUUAAGAUCAGUCAAGAUCGGCUUAAAAUUGGGCUUGUGUAAAAAAAGUUGACUUUUCCUGUUGACCGAGCACUGAUUGGAUGAUGAAAUGAGCUUACAAUAGAUAUGAGUGCAUGGGAUAACUGGCAAUCUUGACUAAAUCUCAACCGUUCAUGAUUCAAUGGCCAUGAUUGUGCCACGUGGCAAUGGUUGGUGAAGCAAGUUGGAGGAUCCGAAUCUUUGUAUUCGGGUCGACCCGAUCCACCCAUUAACCCGCCAAAUCUCAACCGUUCUUUGGGCAAAUCGGACGAGUCAAAUGAUGCCAUGUGUGAUGUUGACUUUUGAAGUUUGACCAGCCAUUGGAUCUUGAUCUAAGGGUUGUGAGGAGCACAUGCAUGAAGCCUAUGAUGGACCGCAAAGCACUGGAUUAUGAAUUUAUUUUUCUAUAAAUAGGGCCUCAUUUUUAUGUUUUAAUCAUCUCUCUACAACUCUCUUCUUCUCAAAUUCUCUCCAUCUCCUUGUAAUCUUGAUUUCCAGGUGUGUUUUUAAUAUUUUGUAUAAUUAUUUUCAUUAAUAAAAUUAGUUUUAUUUCCAAUUUUAGUUGUUUUUAUUUCUUUUAAUUAUAAGUAAUUCAAUUUUACUACUUCUUUUUAUUUUAAUUAUGCUUAACUAAAUAAUAUUAGUUAGGGGAAGGUGAAACUCUUAAGAAAUAAAUAUGAUUUAAUCAAAUUCUAUGUUUAAUUUUAUAAAUUAAUUUAUUUUCUAUUUAAUUUUAUACAUGUUUUAUAUUUUGAAAAUUUGAUUUAUUGUAGACAAACAAAUGAAUUUGGCACAAUAAAUUCUUAAGAUCUUAAUAUAAGGCAUGGUGAAAUGGUAUUUUGACUUAUUGUAGACAAAUUAAAUUUUGGCACAAUAAAUACUUAAUCCAUCAUAAAAUUAAAGGGAAAAUAAUAAUAAUUUGUAUAAUUAAUCUUUUGAGUAAUAAAUCUAAAACAAAUUGGCAAAAAGAAUUUAUUAAGUUUUAUUUAUUUCUAAGAGUGGAUCCAUAACCCUAACUAGUUCAAUUCCAUAGUUUCAUUUAAAUUAAGUUGUUUAUAUUCAAGUUUUAAUUUCAAUUUUUAGAUAAAAUAAAAUAAACUAAUUAAAUCUUUUCUCUGUGGAUCGACCUCGGACUCACCGAGUUAUAAUACAACAAGACACUCUUAUACUUGGGAGUUAAAAUUUACUUUUAAGUUGUGUCACUAACUAUAAAGGCUGGGUUACUUUGAGGACUUUUAGAUUCUCCAAAAUUUUUAUCAAGUUUUUCUAUUUUUUUUUUCAUAAUCUGAUAUAAUUUGAUUGAUUUUUAUAUUGUAUUCACCACGCUGGCUGCUUCGAAAAUGUAAUUUUCGAGUUGUUUACCUAAUAAGAUUAUAAAUUCUUGGUGUGGUGAUGGAAUGAUUACAUGGUGUUGUAAGAGUAAUUCUUUCGUUAGUCAUUAUAUAAAUGAACUGACAAAGGAAAUUGACUUCUAAAAGUAUAUAUGCUCCUAUAUGAUUAUAAGACCAUAAUAUAUGGAUACUUAAAAUGUAAUCUUCGAUUUGGAUUAAAGUUUUUAUCCUACAUGUUCCUAAAAUGAUUUGUUCACCAUUUAUUCCUUGUCCUGUUAAGGGUUUAUAAUCUUUCGAAUAUGAUUUUGGAUAAAUCCUUAAAUUAGGUAAGCUAACUCCUGAACCAGUGUCUAUUAAAGCAUGAAACCAUUCUGGCUUAUGCUUAUAAUAUGGUUUAAUCACUUUUAUAUAAACUAUAAAAAGAUUAGACAUAUCUUGAUAUGGUUUGCUUAAUUCCUUCAACUGUUAAGCUUAUUUUUCUAUCUCCUAUAGAAUAAGGAGUAAAAUUCUCAAGAAAGUUCAUCCCUAAUAAUAAAGGACUUAUUUAUGUUUCAUAAUCUGGUUCUAUGAAAAAAGAAAAGAUGAAUUCUAUCCCUUUUAUUCUUAAUAGUAUUUCACUAUAUUGACUUAAUGUCUUUCUUUCUCCAUUAAAUCCUACAUAAGUAUGAGGCUCAAUUAAAAUUUUUCUUUCUAAAUAUUUAAUAAUUUUAGAAUCUACAUAAGAUUUUGCAGCUCCUGUAUCAAGGAUAGCAAAAGUCUCGUGCCAUGAUUUUCCAUUAUUAUAUUCAAUCUUAAUUUUUAGAUUUUGAUUAUCCAGUAUUGCUAAAUUUACUGGACUAUUUGUCCUUUCUCGAAAAUGAGCUCUUAUCAUGACUUGAAUUCCUCCGAUAUGAACAUAUCCAAUUUUAAGUCUAUCACUAGAUUUUAUCUCAUUUAUCUUAUCUUUUAUAUCAGUUUUUAAUAAUAAUGGUAUAUUUGUAUUUCCUCUAGCAUACCUAAUUUCAAUAGGUUCUUCUCUUACAGUAGCACUAAGAUACAUUAUAUUUUUUCUUUUAAUCAUGUUAGCAAUGCCUUGUGCUAACUUAUUAACCGAAGUCAUAGAUGAUUCCAAUCCUUUUUUAUUAUUCUUGAGAUAUUGCUUUUUAUCAAAGAUUAAUUCUCUAUUAAAAGAACCUUGUUCUUCUAACUCUUCAUCUUGAUAUAAAUCUUUAUUUUCUAAUUCUUCUAUACUCAUUCUGAAUCAGAUUCUAAAUCAGAACUUCUCAAAGUUUCAUUAGAAAGAUAAUAUAUGCUAUCAUUUUCACUAAUAUCUUUGCUAUCGGUGAUUAAUUCUAAAUCAUUGAAAUCUUCAAAUAUUUUUAUAUUUGCUUUCUUCGUUUUAGGACAUUCAUUUGCAUAAUGUUCUUCUUCAUUACAUAACUAGCACUUGCAUUUUUUAGGUGCAUUGGUUUUGGAUCUUCUUUUAAAUUUAUUUUUCUUGUAGAAUUUCUUUUUAUAUUUAUUUUUCUUGUAAUAUUUCCUGUUGGCUUUAAAGAAUUUCUUCUUUUUGAAUUUUUUUUCUUGUGUUUAUAGAUUUUAUCUGAACAUCCAAAUCUUGGCGGAUCUUCUAAUUUAGAACAACAUAAUUCUCGAUUUUGCCUUUUCAUAAGUCUUCUAUCUCUUAUUUCAGAACACUAUUCAUUUAUUCUAUUUUGAGCAAAUCUAAUCCUAUUUCGUAAUGUAUAAGUUUCUGUAGUAUCUUUGUAUUCUUUGUUAUAUUCCAACAUAAUCCUUCUACCCCAUGGGUCUGGUAUCUUUACAAAAUAUAGAUCAUGGUAAUAGCAUAUGUUAUCCUCAUCUUUAUCAAAUUCACAUUUAUAAUAUAAUUCUUCGAAGCUACAUGUAUAUUCUUCUAAAUAACAUAUAUUACAUAUUUCAAGCCUUGUUAGCUUCAUUAAAUUUUCUAUCUGUUUUCUUUUUAUUUCUUGUUGAAAAUCAGUUUCCCAAUCUUCUCCCAAGAAUUUUUUUCUUAUUUCAUUUUCGAAUCUAUUUAAAACCUGAUCAACACUUUCGUUUCGAUUAUUAUUUUCUCCAUACAAUAUUCUAUUUUUAUGAUUAUCAUUUAAUCCCAUAAACCAAUGAGAAACAAUUCCUAUAAACGAAAUUUUAAGGAAUUCUAUACUAUUAUCCCUAUCAAUUUUGUGAAAUGCAAAAGCCAUUUUCAUAGAUUUAACCCAAGCGGUAAUCGUUUUAUCUCUAUCUUUGAUACAGUCUAAACCUAACCAUACACCAUCAUGGUUGAUUGGUCUUUCUCUAUAUUCUCCUGGAGUUUUAUGAUCUUUUUUAGGUUUGUUAAUCCUAAAAUAUUGACCUUGUGCUCUUUCCUGAGUUGGUAUUUCUUCCCUAACAUAGGAAGCUCUAUUACUAGUUUCUCCUUGUUAAAAACCGUUUAACUUUGGUUCAUUCAUUUUUAGAUGUUCUAUUCUAUUUUCAAUAUCCUGCAAAUUAAUGACUAUAUCAUCUUCUUCUUCGGAUUCAGAUUCUUUAUCAGAUAUCUCUUGAUUAGGUAAUUCUAUGUUUUCACUUAGCAUUCUUAGACUUAUUAAUUUUUUGUCUUUGUUUAUUUUGUUAAAUAUCGGUUUAGAUGUUGUUAUCAUUUCUUUAUCUUUAAGUUCAUUAUAGUAAAUUAUGGUAUCUUGUAAAAUUUUAUUUUGUUUAUUGAUCUUCUGUACUUCAAUCCUUUUGUAAUUUUCCAUUUAUGCUUAUAGCGAAUUUAUUACCAAUUUUUUCAUCGAUUUUUUCAAUUUUUUGUAGUUGAUUUCAAUCUUGUUGAAUUUAUUUUCAAUUGAACUUUUGUUCACAAUAUUAAAGAUUUCUUGUUUUAAUCUAUCUUGAUCUUCAAUAUUAAAGUCUUUUAUUAAUAGCUUAACAAAAUCAAAUUCUUCACUCAUUCGCUAUCCUAUCAUUUUGACUUGUCUUAUAUUUUCGGCAUCAAAGCUUUUAAUCUCAAGUAUCUUAUUUACACUUUCUAUAUCAUCUAUGGUUAAAUUAGGGUUUCCUAAUUUAUUUAAUAAAUAUAAUGAGAUCCAAUUUAAUUGAUUAUUUCCCCACAUAUCAGAAUCAUUUACUAAAUCAAAUGGUUGAAAUCUUCCAUAAGUAAAUCCUCUAUGCCUAUAGCUAGAAGGUGGUAAUAUGUUGGUUUCAAUAUUUCUAUAUACUUCUCUCCUGAUCCUAAAGAGAAGAAUAGGAUCAAUAUUUAAAUUUCUAAUUUUUAUUAUGAUGAGUUCUCCAAUUUUAAAUUCAUGAACUCUAACUAAAUAAAAUUGUAUUAAUUGUUUAUCAUCCAAUAUAUUAACUUCUGAAUAAUAAUAUUGUUUAUGUUUUGUUAUAUUAUCUUUAACUCCACACUUGUUUAAAAUUCAACACACAGAUGUGCCUCUUUCUUACUAUACUGGAAUCCUCGGUAAACUUUUUGUUUGCGCAAUUUAUGUGAGCAAAUUGUGUCUUCUUUUUCAUAUGUAAAUGUUUUUGAUAUCUUGAUGUGAAGGUAGAAAAUUGCAUGUUUUGAGUUUUUGCAUAUUUGAUGGAAACACAGAACUGUACCUGAAUCUUUCAGAACCCCCUUUUCUUUGAAGUUUGAACACUUUUCUUGAAUGUAUCAACUUUAUUUAUGGGAUAUGUUGCCAAAUUGGCAAAUCUAUUCGUUAUAAAACUUUCCUUUGACAGUUUAAUCUAAGCAGAUGUUAAUUAUGCAAAUAGAGUGUGCCUAAGAUUAGUUUCAUAGAUUUGUCUCCUUCUGUACAGUAAAAACUUUGAGCAUUUUCGCCAUAUUCUGAUCAAUACACUCCAACUAGUUAGUUCUUGAGGCGUUUUAUGGUUUCGUGGAGUGAGGCAAGAUGUAUACGUUUGCAAAUUGGCAAUGUCUUUUGCUUGAUGGGUUGAGAGUUGUGAGUGUCAACAGGAAACAAGACCUCUGUUUUAUGAACUCCAAAAAGUUAUUCUGUUAAAAAGAUCGAGACAGAGGCCAUACUAUAUUUAUUAUUGCUAUAAAAGUGUGAAAAAAUAUUCUUUGUUUAAUAUUCUAAACGAUUGAGCCAUUUAGUUAUGAUACUCUGCUGUAUUGGGGCUAAUAAUCUAAGUCGGUUCAAAGUGGUAAAUUUAUAAAUUGAUAGGUAUGCCUGGUAUGACCGCUUACGUUGGAUUUUAUGAGGUCUGCUCUCCUAAGCAAGGAGAGUGUGUCUUCAUAUCCGCAGCAUCUGGUGCAGUUGGACAGCUUGUGGGGCAGUUUGCAAAGUUAUUGGAUUGCUAUGUCGUCGGAAGUGCUGGAAGCAAAGACAAGGUAUGUAAUCUGUGUGAAGUACUUGAUUGUUUCCAUGUUACUUUCAAACAUUUAAAUUAAAAAGGAAAUUUUCAUAAUCUUGCCUUUUCUAUGAUUUUCAAAACCAAGGUUGAUCUACUGAAGAACAAGUUUGGGUUCGACGAGGCAUUUAACUAUAAAGAAGAAGCUGAUUUGAAUGCAGCAUUGAAAAGGUUAGCAUCAAUAAAUGCCUUAGCUUGAUGCAGCUUGAUGAAGUAUGAUACACAUUUCUGACCAAUAUACUGCGUUCCCUGAUCUCUUACUUGAAAUAUCUUGGUUUGAGAAUCUCAUGCCAAUGCCUUUAACAUUUUGGCAGGUACUUUCCUGAAGGAAUUGAUAUAUAUUUUGAAAACGUUGGUGGAAAAUUGCUUGACGCAGUGCUACCCAACAUGAAAAUCCGUGGUCGAAUUGAUGCAUGCGGUAUGAUCUCACAGUACAAUCUUGACAAGCCUGAAGGUGUGCACAACUUGAUGUAUCUUGUUUCGAAACGGCUUCGAAUGGAAGGAUUCAUUGUUCUCGAUCACUAUCACCUCUAUCCAAAGUUUCUGGAAAUGAUCAUUCCUCACAUCAAAGAAGGGAAGCUUGUAUACGUCGAAGACAUGGCUGAAGGUCUUGAGAGUGCUCCGGCAGCUCUCAUCGGUCUAUUCUCUGGCCAGAAUAUUGGGAAACAAGUGGUUGCUGUUGCUCCUUAAUGAAGAACAAGUUAGUGUUGUCUGUCCUUUUACCCUUUGACACAAAACUUCAAUGUUAAAGAGAGAAUGCUGUUCAUAUAUACUGCUUUAUAAAAUAAUCAAGUGAGUGCAAGUUUCAUGAUAUUUGCUGAAUAAAAUAUUGGAAAUUAAGCAGCUAGCCUAGCUCCUUCUUGUAGUUGCAGUUUGAAUGAUGCUGCUGCACAACUGCUGCCGAAAAAAUCCUUAAUAGAUGAUUAGCAAGGUUUCAAAAAUAAAAAUAAAUGUUUGUGCAAUGUGUCGAAUAUGACAGCCACAAAGAAAGAGCACACAAAUUGAUUGGUUUUAUGUCUUCUCUAGGAGAAAGCUACAAUACAAGAAAUUGUACUGAUGGAGCCAUGGACCAAAUUUCUUAUUUAAACUUUUAAUUUUUUUAUUAAAUUACUUAUGUUAUUAUGGUUUAUAAUUUUAGAAAUUCUUUAGAAAUUAAUACAGAACUAGUAGCAAGUUGAGAAAUCUAUUGAAUGGUCAAGAUAUGAUCAUGUUUAUUGAAUUAAAUUGACAAUCAUCAUUUUGAUAAAUUAUUGUCAGGAUGUUUGAUUCAUGACACGUGUAAGCAACUAAAUGUGCUAAAAAAAAGUUAAUGAGUUGGGCGUGUUUGAGUUAAUGAGUUGGGCUUGUUUGAUAUUCAUUUGUUGUAAUUCUUUUAAUAAUUAUUGGGGAAAAAAAGUUAUAAUAAAAAAAAUUAUAAUUAUAAAAUAAAAAUUAAUAAUAUAUAAUAAAUAAGAUUUUAAAUAAUAAUUUUAAUAAAAUAAUAAAUAUAUUAUAAAUUUUUUAUGAUUAAUUUUUAAAUUACAACAAUAAAUAUUUAACAAACACCUUAAUACCACAACUAACACCACAACUUUUGAAUUAUGAUAGUACAAUCUAAAUGCCACAGGCCUUAAAAAAUAAAAUUACAGUCAAGUUUUAAAACUGUUAAUGAUAUUCACAAAGACUCUGGAACAAUAUUACAGAAGGUGCUCGUCGUGUAAGCAACACAUGGGACCCAACCAAUAAAUGUUUCUGAUCCUCAACUUUCCUCAUCACUGUCCCUGGAAACAAUUCUGAUUUUCUUGUCUGAUUAAACAACUGAGAAACAAUGGCGGCCGACCAAGAAGCUGGGAGCAAUAAGCGGGUGAUUCUAAGCAACUAUGUGACAGGUUUUCCAAAAGAAUCAGACAUGAAGAUAACAAGUUGAUCAAUAAAGCUGAAGGUAGCAGAGGGUGUUUGGGAGAAAUACGUCGACGAGACCAGGCAUGGUGAGCAGAUAUCUGAUGGCAGAGUUCUGCGAACCGGUGUGUUCCGUAAAAGCCUGGUGCGCGGGGGAACAGGAGCAGAAGUAUCCUGCUCGUCCACGAGCACGUCAUCCGCGAGGCCAAUUUCCUGUAAGAGGCAUAAGGUCAUUCCGGCUAGAGGUCGAGAGGCGAGGAGACCCGGUCGACGGCAGUUGGCAAGACAUGCUCCCCAGCCCGAGAAUCUAGGCACGACAGCCACGCUUUCCCCAGAACCGUGGCGUAACACGCAAGAUCUCACAGAACCACGACAGCCACGCUUUCCCCAGAACCGUGGCGUAACACGCAAGAUCUCACAGAACCACGACAGCCACGCUUUCCCCAGAACCGUGGCGUAACACGCAAGAUCCCACGUUUGCCCAUAACGCAGCAGUCAGAGUCCCAUACCGUCUCGAAAAAAGCGGAAAACUGGGAUUCAGGGGAAGCCUAUAAAAAGGUAGCCAACGAAGGUAAAAGGGUUAGCAUUUUUGAGAUUAGAAAAGAAAUGAAAAAAGAAGAGAAAACCACGAAAAAGCCAUAAGAUAUGUGGCAAGCGUUCCCCGAACCUUCAUAUCUGACUUGAGCGUCGGAGGGUUUGCGCCGGGAAAACAACCGGCGUACUCUGACUUGUCUGUGUGCGCAGGAACCUCUGGAGAAGAAGCCUCACGUGGAGACCUCCUGGUCGUGAAGAAGUUGAUCGGGCAGAGAUCCUGGUCGUAGAACGAGGAGAACCGGAAUCCCGCAUCAACAUUUUGGCGCCGUCUGUGGGGACCGGAGCAAAAAGCUUCUGUUGAUAGCAAGAAGAGGGGUGAAGCAAGUGAAAAACAAUGGAGACAGGAGGAAGUAGUGCACAAGGGGGUGAUAGGAAGCUUAACGAUUCCGUGACGCUGAGGGAGAUAGUCAGUGAAGCACGGGAAAAAGUCAUGUUCGACCGGAUGGAACGGAUGGAAAAGCAGAUGGAGACCUUGACAACCAUCCUGCAUGAGCUGCGGAGCGAGCGAAGUAUAAUCCAAGAGGGAAGGGUGAGAGGCGGUGGAGUGGCACCAGGUCCCGAUAGUGCGGGGAGAAGUCAAACCACCGGGAGAUUUGGUGGUGAGAGAGGUAACGUACCUCUGCGGGGAGAAUUUCAUAGAGAAAGAGAGCAGUCCCCGGCAAGACAGACUGGCGACGAGGACGACGGGGUGGUGAAUGCAGAGGAAACAGAGUUGAGGCAACACUUGCAUGAUGUAGAGCAAGAGCGGGAUCAAGUUGCAGCACGUGACCCUGGUUGUGCAGUGCAGCUGGAGGAGGAAGUGCGCAGACUAGCACAGAUAAUCGACGACAUGCAAGGAAGGAACAGAGCCCCUGGUUGGAGGAUAAUGCUGGACGGAGAAUCACCGCUCGCAGCAGAGAUCAUGAGGGCAGUUAUUCCGAGAGAUUUCCGCCUCCCAGACCUCAGAUACUCGGGAAGAACUGAUCCGUUGGUGCACAUAGAGCGCUUCAACGACAUAACUGGGGUACAAGGAUUAUCUCAAUCCCAAAGGUGCAGAGUGUUCCCACUAUCCCUUGAGGGACGUGCACGAGAAUGGUACAGGAAACUUCCUCGGGGCAGCAUUAAAACCUUCGAGCAGAUGUGCCAGGAAUUCGCGGAGCAGUUUAGUGGGGCAAUGGCGCCGGAAGAUGACAUGAUGGAGCUGAAAAGCAUGAAACAGGGGGAGCAAGAAACCCUUCGGGAAUUCAUCAAGAGGUUUCAUCGGGCUGUCCUUGACUUGGGAGCCUUCAACCACCCUCAGGCGUUAAGGGGAUUGAAAGAAGGGGUGAAGAUAGGAAGGCUGUGGUACAAUUUGAGAAGCCCAGCUAUUCAAACGUAUGCAGCCGCAUACGAACAGGCUAAGAGAGACAUCGAGAUUGAAGAGGAGAAGGCUGCACGGAUUAAGACAGACCAGUUAGAAGGGUUGGGGAGGAAAGAGAAGAAAGCAUUACCGGGGAAUGGGCCGAUCAGGAGGAGGGACCACCAGGCCUCCGGUAGUGGAGCAGGAGGUCGGGUAGCCGCUUACCAGCCUCAUCAAAGGCCACCACAGUAUCAGCGCAGCAGGGCGCAACCUCCUCGUUCCCCAGCUAGGGAGCCUUGGAGAAGGCAUGAGUCGGCAUCUGGUGGUCUCCAACAACACCCCCACGGUAUCAGAGCGAGCAGACCAGAAGUACUUCCACCGCCCCCAACUCAGAGCGGGGCAAACAGAGAAAGAGCAGUGCACCUGAUCGACCAGAACCCGGACUAUGGGCGGUACACUUCCUUGAAGAUGUCCCUGGAUGAGGUGUACGAGGCCAUAAAGGAUCGAGGGCUGCUGCACCUCCCUACACCAAUAACAAAGCUACCCAACAGGAGGGAUAGAGGACGUUAUUGUAAGUUCCAUGGCACCCAUGGCCAUACCACAGCAGAGUGUAGAGAUCUCAAGACCCAAGUCGAAGAUUUGGUGAGAAAUCGGUACCUGGACGAGUUUAUGGAUGGGACUUUCCCGAUGGGGGCCACAACAGGUGAAGGGGAGCAGAGUGGCGGAAACGUUAGGCGCGAGCAGCCCGCAGUAAGGGUGAUAGCUGGGGGCCCGACAUUGGCCGGAGAUUCCAACAGAUCGAGAAAAAAUUAUGCUAGGUACGCCAUGACCAGUAAAGAGGUACUCCUCAACACCCCAGCAGCCAAACGAGCAAGGGUCAGGCAAGUGCCAAUCAUGUGGACGGAUGAGGAUGAGGAAGGGAUUCUAUACCCCCACGAGGAUGCUUUAGUCAUCAAGGCUACUGUCGCUAGCAAGAAGUUUGACCGGAUACUGAUUGAUACAGGGAGCUCAGUUGAUGUGUUAUUUAAGUCAACCCUGGAAGAGAUGGGAAUAGCCGACCGGAAGUUGGAAUACACCAAUACCUCCUUGAAGGGGUUCGGAGGAGGGAAGCUGGUCCCUCUGGGCGUGGUCGAGCUGCCUAUCACAAUUGGGAGCUCUCCGACAGAAAGAACAAUGAUACUGGACUUUGUCGUAGUGGAUGAGGAAGGUCCUUACCAGAUGAUCCUAGGUCGGCCAUUUUUAAGGAUGAGCAAAGCGGUGUUGUCCAACCAUUAUCUGGCUCUGAAGUACCGGGUGAACGGGGUAGUAGGAGUGGUACGAGGAGACCAGAGGAUCGCAAGAAGCUGCUACUCCUCGGCAGCAAGGGAAGCAAUGCAGAUAACAUCCCUCGAUACCCGAGUGGAAAACAAGAAGGGCAGACAAGAACCUGUAGAGGAUCUGGAAACAGUAAGCCUGGGACCAGAGAACCCGGGAAAGACGAUCAGAAUCGGGUCGAGACUUAAGGGAGAGCAAAAGCAGGAGUUGGUGAAAUGCUUACAGGCUCAUGCUGAUGUGUUUGCUUGGACACAUGAAGACAUGCCAGGAAUUGACCCUGAGGUAGCAUGUCAUAAGCUGGCAAUAAAGAAAAGUGCUCGGGCAGUAAGGCAGAAGAGGAGGUGCUUCAACCAGGAGAGGUAUGAGGCUAUAAAUGGCGAGGUGGAGAAGCUCUUGAGAGCAGGGUUCAUUCGGGAAGUCAGUUACCCUGAGUGGAUAUCGAAUGUGGUGUUGGUAAAGAAGGCAAACGGCAAGUGGAGGAUGUGUGUGGAUUUCACAGACCUCAAUAAGGCGUGCCCAAAAGACAGCUUCCCUUUACCAAAGAUCGAUCAGCUAGUAGAUUCAACGGCUGGACAUGGUCUGCUUAGCUUCAUGGACGCGUUCUCGGGAUACAACCAGAUCCCCAUGUACGAGCAGGAUGAGGAGAGCACGGCUUUCAUCACUAACCAAGGUUUGUUCUGUUACAGGGUAAUGCCAUUCGGUCUCAAAAAUGCCGGGGCCACCUAUCAAAGGCUGGUGAACAAAGUCUUUAAGCCGUUGAUUGGGAAAACCAUGGAGGUGUACGUGGAUGACAUGAUCACCAAGUCCAAAAUCCCGGAGGAACAUGUCAGACACCUCGAGGAGACAUUCGAGCUUUUGAGGAAGUAUAAGAUGAAGCUCAACCCGGAGAAGUGUGCUUUUGGGGUCGAGUCAGGGAAAUUCCUUGGAUUCAUGGUGAGCCAUAGGGGGAUUGAAGCACAUCCCGAGAAAAUCCAGGCGAUUGUGCAAAUGACGUCUCCCCAUAACCUGAAGGAGAUGCAAAGCCUCACGGGGAGGUUGGCGGCGUUGAGCAGAUUCAUAUCCAAGGCUACAGAUAAGUGUAAGCCAUUCUUUCAAGUGAUGAGGAGGGGAAAGAAAACAGAAUGGACCUCAGAAUGCGAGGAAGCCUUCCGGAACUUGAAGCAAUACUUGCAGCAAGCUCCGCUGCUGUCCACACCGAGGGAUGGGGACAAGUUAUAUCUGUAUUUGGCGGUAUCGGAUCGGGCCGUCAGUUCUGUUCUGGUGAGAGAGGAAGAAGGAGUUCAGUAUCCGAUAUAUUACACCAGCAAGGCCCUGCUCGACGCUGAGACCAGAUACCCACCGUUGGAGAAAUGGGCACUUGCCCUUGUGGUUGCUGCUCGGAAGUUGAGGCCAUAUUUUCAAGCAUUCCCGGUCUUGGUAAUAACAAACCAGCCAUUGCGUCAAACUCUGCACAAGCCAGAUGCCUCUGGUCGGCUCGUCAAGUGGGCUGUAGAGCUGAGCGAGUUCGACAUAGACUAUAAACCCCGCGCAGCGAUAAAAGCCCAGGCAAUGGCCGAUUUCGUAGCUGAAUUCACAGAGCCCGAAGUAUGCUUAGAUCAACAAGAUGCAGAUAUAGGCAAUGACGAAACUCAAGUAUGGCAGAUGUCUGUGGAUGGGUCAUCAGGGGAGCGGGGUUCAGGAGCAGGGAUUGUCUUGGAAGGCCCAGAGGGGGAGGAGAUCUCUUAUACUGUAAAAUUGGAAUUUGCAGCCACGAAUAACCAGGCAGAGUAUGAAGCCUUGAUAGCAGGUCUGGAAUUGGCUAAGGCCGUGAAAGCAGACAGAGUUAAGAUCAGAACUGAUUCCCAGCUGGUUGCGAAUCAUGUCAGUGAAAGAUUCCAACCAAGAGAGGAGAAGAUGGGGCAGUACCUGAAGAUAGUCAGGCAGAUGAUGGGGAAGUUCGAAGCAGUGGAGGUGAUACAAAUCCCCAGGGAGCAGAAUAGUCGAGCAGACAUUUUGGCUAGGAUGGCAGCAGUAGCCGACCCAAAAAUGCCAAAGUCGGUCCCUCUGGAGGUGAAGUCCAGCCCAAGUAUCGAUCAGAAUUUGGGGGUGUUGCAGAUAGAACAAAAAUGCUCGUGGAGGGACCCGAUAAUUUCAUACCUUAGAGACGGGGUAUUACCACCAGAUAAGAUGCGAGCUCGCAAGCUUAGAGCCCAGGCCUCGAGAUACACGAUGAUUGAUGGGGUACUGUAUCGGCGAGGAUAUACACUACCGUUCCUUCAGUGUUUGGAUGAGGACGACGCGGAUUACGUACUGAGAGAAGUACACGAAGGAAUUUGCGGAAAUCAUUCUGGCGGGAGGUCCCUGGCCCAUAAGGUUCUAAGGCAGGGAUAUUUCUGGCCGACAAUGCACCAGGAUGCGCAAGAGAAGACCAGGAGUUGUGUAAGCUGCCAGAGUUUUGUAAAUUUCUCUAACCAACCACCAGAGAAGCUCACCUCCAUGACCUCCCCCUGGCCAUUUGCUCAAUGGGGAAUUGAUCUGAUCGGCCCAUUGCCAAAGGCACGGGGAGCAGCAACAUAUGCAAUAGUUGCUAUAGAUUACUUCACGAAGUGGAUAGAGGUAAAAGCCCUUAGCAGGAUCACAGAGAAGAAAACAACAGACUUCGUAUGGAGAAACCUGGUCUGUCGAUACGGGAUCCCUUAUGCCUUGGUAACGGAUAAUGGCAGGCAGUUCGAUAAUCACAGCUUCAGGGAUUUCUGCCAGAACCUCGGGAUAGAGCUGAAGUAUUGCUCGCCUGCUCACCCUCAAUCGAAUGGACAAGUAGAAGCAGCCAACAAGACCAUCAAGAGGCUUUUGAAAACCAGGCUUGGAGCAAAAAAGGGUGCGUGGGUUGACGAGCUGGCAGGUGUGCUAUGGGCAUCCAGAACAACAAAACCGCAACUGGGGAGACACCGUUCGCUUUGGCUUUCGGACAUGAAGCGGUCGUGCCGGCUGAGAUAGGAACGACCACACACCGGACAAAUCAUUUCAAUGAGCAGGAGAACGACGAGCAGAUAUGUUUGAAUCUUGAUCUGCUAACGGAAAGGAGGGAGCAAGCAGCCGAGCGAUCAGUCAUUUACCAAUAGAGGGUUGCUCGGUAUUAUAACCAGAAGGUGAACAUACGGCAAUUCAGGGUCGGAGACUGGGUACUGAGAAGAGUGAAUCAGAGCACCAAAGAUUCGACUCAAGGAGUGCUGGGACCGAAUUGGGAAGGGCCAUAUAGAGUCAAGCAGAUAGCGGGACCCGGAGCUUACAGGCUGGUUCGCACGGACGGCCACGAGGUGAAACGCCCAUGGAACGCAGCACACCUCCGAAAAUACUUCCAGUAAGACUUGUUCACAUGUGAAAACUAUUUUUGCUCAUGUUCAUUACCGUUUAUCUUUCACGCUUAUUGUCCAAACAAUUUCAUGUAAGUCGAAUCCUGCCAUUAAUGGAACGUCGAGGAAUUUCUUUCACUUGAAACCGAGAAAAUUUCCCAAGGCAUGCAAAGGCUCACCAAGUCUCAAAGCCUGUCUUAUGGUGAGACAGAAGCCAAGCAUGCCAGGAUCUGCUCGGCCACGAGAAGGCAAGCAGAAUCCCAAUCCUCGAAGAAUCCAAGGCACGCAAAGGCUCACUAAGUCUCAAAGCCUGUCUUAUGGCGAGACAGAAGCCAAGCAUGCCAGGAUCUGCUCGGCCACGAGAAGGCAAGCAGAAUCCCAAUCCUCGAAGAAUCCAAGGCAUGCAAAGGCUCACCAAGUCUCAAAGCCUGUCUUAUGGCGAGACAGAAGCCAAGCAUGCCAGGAUCUGCUCGGCCACGAGAAGGCAAGCAGAAUCCCAAUCCUCGAAGAAUCCAAGGCACGCAAAGGCUCACCAAGUCUCAAAGCCUGUCUUAUGGCGAGACAGAAGCCAAGCAUGCCAGGAUCUGCUCGGCCACGAGAAGGCAAGCAGAAUCCCAAUCCUCGAAGAAUCCAAGGCAUGCAAAGGCUCACCAAGUCUCAAAGCCUGUCUUAUGGCGAGGCAGAAGCCAAGCAUGCCAGGAUCUGCUCGGCCACGAGAAGGCAAGCAGAAUCCCAAUCCUCGAAGAAUCCAAGGCAUGCAAAGGCUCGACAAAGUCUCAAAGCCUGUUUUAUGGCGAGACAGAAGCCAAGCAUGCCAGGAUCUGCUCGACCACUAGAAGGCGAGCAGACUCCAAAGCAUUCGAAGAAAUGCCCAAGGCAUGCAAAGGCUCGACAAAGUCUCAAAGCCUGUUUUAUGGCAAGGCAGAAGCCAAGCAUACCAGGAUCUGCUCGACCACGAGAAGGCGAGCAGACUCCAAAGCAUUCGAAGAAAUGCCCAAGGCAUGCAAAGGCUCGACAAAGUUUCAAAGCCUGUUUUAUGGCGAGACAGAAGCCAAGCAUGCCAGGAUCUGCUCGACCACGAGAAGGCGAGCAGACUCCAAAGCAUUCGAAGAAAUGCCCAAGGCAUGCAAAGGCUCGACAAAGUCUCAAAGCCUGUUUUAUGGCGAGACAGAAGCCAAGCAUGCCAGGAUCUGCUCGACCACUAGAAGGCGAGCAGACUCCAAAGCAUUCGAAGAAAUGCCCAAGGCAUGCAAAGGCUCGACAAAGUCUCAAAGCCUAUUUUAUGGCGAGGCAGAAGCCAAGCAUGCCAGGAUCUGCUCGACCACUAGAAGGCGAGCAGACUCCAAAGCAUUCGAAGAAAUGCCCAAGGCAUGCAAAGGCUCGACAAAGUCUCAAAGCCUGUUUUAUGGCGAGACAGAAGCCAAGCAUGCCAGGAUCUGCUCGACCACUAGAAGGCGAGCAGACUCCAAAGCAUUCGAAGAAAUGCCCAAGGCAUGCAAAGGCUCGACAAAGUCUCAAAGCCUGUUUUAUGGCGAGGCAGAAGCCAAGCAUGCCAGGAUCUGCUCGACCACUAGAAGGCGAGCAGACUCCAAAGCAUUCGAAGAAAUGCCUAAGGCAUGCAAAGACUCACCAAGUCUCAAAGCCUGUUUUAUGGCGAGACAGAAGCCAAGCGUGCUAGGAUCUGCUCGACCGCGCGAAGGUGAGUCGAAUCCCAGGCAUUGAAGAAUCUCCAAAGGCAUGUGGCAAAACCAUGAGCCAAGCCGGAACCUGCUCGUCUAGACAGAGACAAGCAGAUUCUCAACCGAAAAUUAAUUCAUAAUUACAACACAAGAAAGUAAUCAAAAACCAUUUUUAUUAAUUUGUUAAUAAUUAACAGAGGGGAUAAUCUUUAUGAACAUUGUUCAUUACAAUACAAGAAAUAUAUCAGGAAGAUGGUGGACCAGUAAGCCCGGCAGCAUCGGUUGGCUGGACCUCCUCAGGUGCAGGAGGGGUAUCACCAGUUGCGUCCGGGGGGGUGCUCGCCUCGCCAACAUCAGCAGGGACUGCAUGAGCAGGAGAGUCUUCCUCCUCAAUCACGAUCGGCUCUACCCCAUCGGCAUCUUCCUUGGCCGCCUCCUCGUCCAUAUGUUGAGCAACACCAGCUGCAAGGUCAUCCAUCUUCAGAUCAGGGUGUUGCUUCCCGAGGACGGCCAUGAUGCAACGAUAGGAAUGCCGAAGUCCCUGGUCGUACUGGUUGUCAGCCUCCCUCUCUAAGUUCUCGACCUGAGCUCGGUGGGAGUCGCGGAGAGAUUCGAGCUGAGCCUCAUACAUAGCCUUCUGCCUUUGCAGAUCCUCCUUGACCGUGGUAAGCUCCUCCUCGAGGGAAAUGGCUUUUGCUUGAGCAAGUGAUUCUUGCUCUAUUAGCUUCAGAUUCUCGAGAUUCAGGUCCUUCUUGCUCACGAGUUUAGUUAACUCAUUGAGGUAGGGGACCAGGUGUUCUGCUCGGCUGUCAGGUAAGCGAGAUCGAGGCCCGACAGGAGGAAAAGAGGAAGCAGGAUCUGUGGCUGCUCCACUAGCUUCCCCGACUUUUACAGGAGCAGGAGGUAAAAUCUUCAAGGGUGGGACCUGCUGCAUGAUGUUGGCCCGCUUUGCAGCAGGGGCAUCCUUACUCUGGUCCCUCUUCGUGGUUGGAGGUCGGGAACGUUUUCGGGUCAGAGCCCCAAUCACAGCGUCCUCCAUCCUAUGGCCAGGAAGUAUCAAGCGAGACUCGAGCAAGUUGUAUGUAGUUAGCAGUUCUCGGCUCGAGCAGGAAUUGGCUAGUACAGCCUCGACCCGUUUGAGCUGGUCAGGUUCAAGCGGGAAGUGGACACCCCAAGAAACUACAACACAAACAGACACUUGGUUAGAGACAAGCCAAUAAAGCAAGAACAAUUAUGGAUGCAAGACAUCUAGAGUGAGCAGGCAACCUGGGACCGUGAAACGGGGUGGGACGUGACAAUCCUUCCCGCCUAUUUGUGCAACUUGACCCCAAGGACCCCCAGCAAAAAAGAAUUUCCUCUUCCAAGCCCCACCACCACCGGUUGGAAGAUCGGUUAUGGGUUUCCGGCUCUUGGUGCUAGAUUGGAAGUAGUACCAGCCGGCAUCUUUGGGGCUGCUCUUUAGCUGGUACAAGUGCUUCACCUCAUCAACCGUGGGCUCGCUUUGGCAACAUUUGUCCCACAAUAUGAACAGACCAGAGAGCACUCUCCACCCAUUGGGAUUCAGCUGACCAGGAGCUAGAUUUAGCCCGUUAAGUAUCUGGGCAAAGUAGGGUUGCAAGGGACACCUCAGCCCGUACUUAAAGCUCUCUAGAAACAGGGUAACGUAUCCCCUAGGAGGCCGGCUGGGAGCAUCCUUCUUUCCUGGGACCUUGAGAGGUAUCUCACCAGGAAUGCUAUACCUAAGCCGGAGGUCAUUGAGCUCGUCAAACAAGGUCGUGCACGUCAUGUAAUCAAUGGCAUAAUCGCGCGACAAGGCUCUGCCUCCUACUGUACCCCGUUCCUCUGGUCGUGAUGUUCCAGAUGGAGACACCUCACCAGAGUCACCUUCCCCAUUCUCACUUAAGGUGUCCUCAGAGCCAGAAGGUCUCUCUUCACCAUUGCUUCCACUCGUGGAGGUUGUUUGGGGGGACAUCCUCCUAGCACUAGUCCCGACACUAAACCUAAUGGGUUCUAAGGGGAUCCCGGGGUCAAAAGCAGAAUCAGUGAGCAGACCAGGCAGGAAACUUAGUUCGUCGUCAUCAAUCUCAACGACUUUCUCCUUACCUUUCGACAUUCCCUAAGCCCUAACCACAACACCACCAACUACUACCCAAACAGAAGAGAAGAGAAAUUAUCUACAACUAUCCGAGACCAAGGAGAUAGAAGAAAUACCUGAAGUAAUGGUUCAGUCGGUGAAAGUCAGAGAUGGAGGCCUUUUAUGCCGGAACUUCUUUGCCGGAGAAACAGAGACGGAGACGGAGUGAAUGAUGAAUAUGCCGUUCGAGAGGAUUUGGUUUUCCUAAUGAGGACGGACUCUUGGGUUGCCAGCAUUUAACGGCGCCGAAUCCCGAGGGUCUCAUAACCGUCGGUUUGAAAUUCAAAUGGAGGGGGGGAUUUCUGCCACGUCACCUCGUCCGCAAUUAAAUGCGACAUGACUCUUGGCAGCCUUUUCCAAUCCCACGCGGGCGAGUACUAACGAGUUUCUACUGCUGGUCCACUACAUUACCCAACACCAGAAACUGGGGGACCGGUGUUUGGGAGAAAUACGUCGACGAGACCAGGCAUGGUGAGCAGAUAUCUGAUGGCAGAGUUCUGCGAACCGGUGUGUUCCGUAAAAGCCUGGUGCGCGGGGGAACAGGAGCAGAAGUAUCCUGCUCGUCCACGAGCACGUCAUCCGCGAGGCCAAUUUCCUGUAAGAGGCAUAAGGUCAUUCCGGCUAGAGGUCGAGAGGCGAGGAGACCCGGUCGACGGCAGUUGGCAAGACAUGCUCCCCAGCCCGAGAAUCUAGGCACGACAGCCACGCUUUCCCCAGAACCGUGGCGUAACACGCAAGAUCUCACAGAACCACGACAGCCACGCUUUCCCCAGAACCGUGGCGUAACACGCAAGAUCUCACAGAACCACGACAGCCACGCUUUCCCCAGAACCGUGGCGUAACACGCAAGAUUCCACAUUUGCCCAUAACGCAGCAGUCAGAGUCCCAUACCGUCUCGAAAAAAGUGGAAAACUGGGAUUCAGGGGAAGCCUAUAAAAAGGUAGCCAACGAAGGUAAAAGGGUUAGCAUUUUUGAGAUUAGAAAAGAAAUGAAAAAAGAAGAGAAAACCACGAAAAAGCCAUAAGAUCUGUGGCAAGCGUUCCCCGAACCUUCAUAUCUGACUUGAGCGUCGGAGGGUUUGCGCCGGGAAAACAACCGGCGUACUCUGACUUGUCUGUGUGCGCAGGAACCUCUGGAGAAGAAGCCUCACUUGGAGACCUCCUGGUCGUGAAGAAGUUGAUCGGGCAGAGAUCCUGGUCGUAGAACGAGGAGAACCGGAAUCCCGCAUCAACAGAGGGUUCAAAAGACACGGUGCUUUUGAAGAAUCUUUAUCUUUAUUGUGAUCCUUACAUGCGAGAGCGUAUGAGCAAGCUUGAUAGACCUUCUUUUGUUGAUUCAUUCCAUUCUGGUGAGGUUAGUUCAUCACGACCUCAACUUAGAUUUUGGGAUGGUUUACGAUUCACUCUCAGUUUAUGCAGAAAAACAAUCUAGUUUUAAUUUGGCAGGGUUUUUCCUUCUCUCUCCUUUUCUUCCUUUUCUUCAUUGGUUUCUUCCUCUUUUAUAGCCGCUAUCCCACGUUUUCGUUCAUCCUUCAUCCCCAUUUUUCGGGUAGUGGCAGCCCCUCAUGGGACUCCAACUGCUACAUUAUGGGUAAAUGUGGGACACCGUAUCUCCCUCAAUGGUUUUAGAAAAAGCGCAACUGUCGUGAUUUCGUGAGAUUGUGUUCCCGUUCUUUGGGGAAUGGAUAUCUGCUCGGUAUAUGUCUCUGGUCGGCCUAUAUUUAUAGAAGGCUCAUUAUCAGUAUUCUACUUAUACCAUUCAGCUGAGGUGAUCUACCUCGAAAUGAGAAUGAUAACAUGACUGACCUGAUGCUCUUAUUUACUUAACAGUAAAUUUUCUAUGACCCUACAGGUGACUAAUUAAUGAGAACUUGACAAUGACAAAAGAAAGUGUAUGAGCUUUGCAGGCUGGCAUGCCAAUAUUGACUGUGUGGCACCAUCCACCAUCUGCAAUUGAAUAUCAUUAUUGUUUAAUCAAUGUGGUGGAGUCCACUGGAACCACACCACAUGGUCAGUCUUAUCUCUAUUCCUCAAUUUUCAGUAUUCCAUACAUCAAACCAAUUUCAUGUUUGUUAGCAAUUAUAAUUUCAUUGUUGGUGACGAUUCUGAUUCCUUUUGUUGAGAAUCAAAUAAAACGGCAUUGAAUGAAGCUUUCAAAGACAGAAUCUGCACUUGUCAAAGGGGUAAUCUGCACUUGUCAAAGACAAGAUCCGCGCCGAACGGAUUGACACAUUUCCUUCCGUAUUCACAUAUGUAAUCUUUGAAAAAAUGUAGCCUCUGCAUCUAUAAAUAACUCUCAAUGUAUAAUGCUUUAUUUAAGAAAUGAAAACACGUUUCUUCAUGGUAUCAGAGCCAUGAAUACGCUCAAGUUUCUUCAAGUUCCGCUGCUCUGUUUGUAACAAAAAUAGAGGAAACCAAAUUCCUCCCACAACCAUUUUUCCCACCAUUUUCUUUCUUAAACCCAUUCCUACCAUUACAGAUAUCCAUGCCGAUCAAGAAACAAGCCACCCAUACGUAAAAAACUUGAGUUUACAAAUUUAUCAACAAUCCCAUCAAUUUUCUGAGAGUGUGUUCCUAAAAAACCAAGAACACCAUCAAAUUUCUCAGUUUUCAGUGAGGAAACUGUAAAAAUUUCGCAUUUAAACACAUUCCCACGCGCUCCCACGCGCCACCCGAAGCCACGGCCAGUCAACCACGCGCCUCUGUCAUCAUUCACGCGCUCUCACGCGCUCCAGAGGUUGAAGAAGACGCCAGCCGACAUGUCGUUCUUAUCUCAGAAGUUCAGCAGUCACAAAACGACGUGUCGUUUUUUGUUAUAUUAAAAUCGACAUGUCGUUUUGUAAAUUAGAGAUAAAACGACGUGAUGCUUAGUCUCCAGAAGUGCAGCAGGAUUAAAACGACAUGUCGUUUAUAUUCCACCAUAAUCGACAUGUCGGUUUGGCAAGCAGUGGCCAAACGACCUGGCGUUUUGUUACCUAAAAAGGUUAUUUUUUUUCUUCUUCCAAUCUAGAUGGAAAAAAAAAAAACAAACAAAAAAAAGAAAAAAAAGAAAAAAAAGAAAAAAAAGAGAAAAAAAAAAAAACAAAAAAAAAUGGAGAAAACUCCAACUGAAUCUAGUCCUGUUGUCAUUCAAUCUGUUCAAUCUGAUGGAGUAUUUAAUGCUGGAAUUAUCCUCACUGAGACAAACUACGAUGUUUGGUCUCAAAUAAUGGAGAUGCAUCUUGUAGAAAGAGAAAAACUCUCAUAUAUUCGUAGCAGCACAAAGCCAUUUGAGGAAUCUUCAAAGGAAUAUGAGAAAUGGUAUAGUGAGAACCAAAAAGUAAAAAGAUGGUUACUCAUAUCCAUGUCUCCGGAGAUCAUGAAGCGAUAUUUACGAAUUCCUACAGCCUACGAAAUCUGGGAUGCAUUAUCAAAAGCCUUCUAUGAUGGAAGCGAUGAAUUACAAGUUUUCACUCUAAACCAGAAGGCAUUCUCUACCAAGCAAAAUGGACAACCACUCUCUAAAUUCUAUGGAGAAUUGGUCGAAAUAUUUCGAGAACUUGAUCACCGAGAUAAAGUGGUCAUGAAGGAUCCAGAAGAUAUUGUAAUAUACAGAAGGUCUGUUGAAAGAUUGAGAGUGCACAUUUUUCUUGCUGGGCUAGAUGAAGAAUUUGACCAAGUUCGUGGAGAAAUUCUACGAAAAGACAUUAUCCCAGACUUAGAAGAAUGUUAUUCUUUGAUCCGAAGAGAAGAUAUACGGCAAAGCAAACUAAACAAGAAGGUCGACUCAGAAACGUUUGCAAUGAUAGCACGACAGCAGCCUCAAAGGAAGUUUGUUGACAAGUCAUCACUCCAUUGCACUCAUUGUAGAAAGAAGGGUCAUACGAAAGAACAAUGUUUUGAAAUCAUUGGAUAUCCUGACUGGUGGGAUACUCGAAAGAAGAACACCAAGCAUGGAUCAAAAACUGCAGUAGCUGAAUCCACAUCCACUACAGAUCUUAGAAAAGAAUCUUCAGUGCAAAUCGCAACCUCUGUCAGUCCAGGUAAGGCCCUUAAAACUCUUACACCUGUUAUUAAUAGUACAUGGAUAAUUGAUUCUGGGGCAACUGAUCAUAUGACUUUUGAUUCUCGACAAGUUUCUCAAUUGAAACCAUCUUCACAAAAAUAUAUUUCCACUGCAAAUGGAACCACAACCUCAGUUAUUGGGGAAUGAUCUUUACGACUCACAAAUGAAUUAAAUUUAGACGCUGUGUUAAUUGUUCCAUCUUUAGAUUAUAAUCUUUUAUCUGUGUCUCAAUUAACCACUUACUUAUCAUGUGUUGUAAUUUUUUGGCCUGAUCAUUGUGUGUUUAAGGACAUCCAAACGAAGCAAACGAUUGGUUAUGGUAUUAGACGAGGCAGCUUGUACUACUUGGAGAUGUCAUCAACAAACACUGGAAAGCUAAGCCCCGCACUAGUUGCAGAUAGUUCCAUAAAAAAAGGGAAAUCAGAAAUUUGGUUAUGGCAUAGACGUUUAGGGCAUGUGUCAUUUAGUUACUUAAAAAAAUUAUUUCCUAGUUUGUUUCUGAAAUUUGAUGUUUGUAACUUUAAAUGUGAUGUUUGUGAACUUUCAAAAAGCCAUCGAACUACUUUUCCAUUGUCCUUAAAUAAAAAUCCAGUUCCUUUUAUGGUAGUACAUUCUGAUGUAUGGGGGCCAUCUAAAGUUUCUACAAUUGGAGGUGCUCGUUGGUUUGUUACAUUUAUUGAUGAUUGUAGCAGAAUGACAUGGAUUUUUCUGAUGAAAUCGAAAGACGAAGUAAACUCUUUAUUUCAAAGAUUUCAUAAGAUGGUGACAACUCAAUUUCAGACACAAAUUCGAGUUCUACAUACUGAUAAUGGAGGUGAGUAUAUGAGCACAGCAAUUCAACAGUUUCUGAAAUCACAAGGAUCUGUCCAUCAAACCACUUGUGUGGGGACACCCCAACAAAAUGGCGUUGCUGAACGAAAGAACAGACAUUUACUAGAAGUUGUUCGAGCAUCACUAAUCCAAGCCCACAUGCCAUUAUCUUAUUGGGGAGAAGCAUUGACAUCCGCAGCAUACUUGAUCAAUCGAACACCUUCAAGCUCCCUUGGAUUCCAGACUCCUUUCCAAGUUCUGAAUGAUGCAAUUAUGUCACCAAAUGUGCCGAAUCUGCCCCCACAUGUGUUUGGCUGUGUUGCCUUCGUUCAUUUGCCGCAACAAGACAAAUUAUCUCCUCGAGCACUACGUUGUGUGUUUGUAGGGUAUGCCUUACAUCAAAAGGGAUACCGAUGCUAUCAUCCACCAUCAAGAAAAAUAUACAUCACCAUGGAUGUCGUUUUUCAUGAAGAUAUCAUGUACUACUUGUCAGAGUCUGAAUUUCAGGGGGAGUAUAAUGAAGAGGAAAUUCAUACUCUUACAUAUCUUCCACCUGAAGAAAGUCAAUCUUCCAUUGAGAUAGUAAACCUUCAAGAUACUGGAAAAGCAAAUGGUGAUGAUUCGCAAGCUGAGAUAUGUGAAAACACAUUUGGGGAGCACAAUACUCAGACACAACUGCAAUCGAGAAUGAGUCACAUGAAGAAAUACCUAACCAAUCGUCUGCAGAGGAUGUUCCUACCACAAGUCCAAUCAGAAGAAUUCUUCCCCAGCGUCAAAAUAGAGGUAUCCCUAAACCCACAUAUGAGCCUGACUUCUCUAGUAGAGUCAAAUACCCUAUGAGUCAUUUUGUGUCUAACCAUCGCUUGUCAGAAUCAAAUCAGUCAUUUGUGAAUCAAUUAUCUGCUGUAUCUAUUCCUAACAGUGUGCAGGAAGCUUUAAAAGAUCCAAAGUGGAAAGCGGCUAUGAAUGAUGAAAUGAGAUCUCUUCAGAAAAAUCAAACAUGGGAACUAGUUGAUCUUCCACCAGGAAAGAAACCAAUGGGUUGUCGAUGGAUCUACACUAUAAAAUACAAAGCAGAUGGCUCUAUUGAACGAUACAAAGCAAGACUCGUAGCUAAGGGUUACACCCAAACCUACGGGAUUGAUUAUACUGAUACGUUUGCACCGGUAGCAAAAAUUAAUACUAUUCGUAUCUUAUUAUCAUUAGCAGUCAACUUGGAUUGGCCAGUGCAACAGUUCGAUGUAAAGAAUGCUUUCCUCCAUGGAGACCUGUCUGAAGAAAUUUAUAUGGAUCUGCCACCAGGAUGCAGUGGACCAGAACGACUCAAUCAGAAAGUAUGCAAAUUGAAGAAAUCAUUGUAUGGGUUGAAGCAAUCCCCAAGAGCAUGGUUCGGGAAAUUCACGAAGGCUAUGGUUCGUUUUGGGUAUAACCAAAGCAAUUCAGAUCAUACCUUAUUCAUUAAAAAACGACAAGGUAAAAUCACUGCCCUUAUUGUCUAUGUGGAUGAUAUGGUAGUUACAGGCAACGACGAGGAAGAAACAAAGGCUCUUCAGAAGUACUUGUCAAGAGAGUUUGAGAUGAAGGAUUUAGGUGCCUUAAAAUACUUUCUUGGAAUUGAGGUUUCUCGAUCUAAGGGAGGAAUCUUUCUGUCUCAAAGGAAAUAUGCCUUAGAUCUAUUGCACGAAACGGGAAUGACAGCUUGUCAGCCUAUUGACACCCCAAUAGAAGAAGGACUGAAGUUUUGUAUUACUUCAGACCAAGUUCCAGUAGACAAAGGAAGAUAUCAAAGGCUGAUUGGAAGAUUGAUGUACUUGUCCCACACAAGGCCAGAUCUUGCUUAUGCAUUGAGUGUUGUAAGCCAGUUUAUGCAUAAUCUCGGAGAACAACACAUGAAAGCAGUAAUGCGGAUCCUGAGGUACCUGAAGACAAAUCUAGGAAAAGGAAUCUUAUUUUCCAAAAAUGAAGAUUACAGCAACAUAGAAGUUUAUACUGAUGCAGAUUGGGCCGGGUCAGUUAGUGAUAGACGCUCUACUUCAGGAUACUUUACCUUUGUGGGAGGAAACCUUGUCACAUGGAGAAGCAAGAAACAACAUGUCGUUGCCCGUUCGAGCGCUGAAGCAGAAUAUCGAGGCAUGGCCCUUGGGAUAUGUGAAGGGCUAUGGAUAAGUUUUAUCUUAAACGAUUUGGGCUAUCCAUCACAACAACCAAUACAACUAUACUGUGACAACAAAGCUGCACGAGAUAUUGCUCAUAACCCAGUUCAACACGAUCGAACAAAACAUGUGGAGGUAGAUAGAUUUUUCAUCAAGGAGAAAUUAGAUGAAAAAAUCUUAGAAUUGCCGAAAAUUCGAUCAGAAGAUCAACUUGCAGAUAUUUUAACGAAGGCCAUUUCAAGCAGGGCAUUUACAAAAUUCCUAGACAAGUUGGGUAUGCAAGACAUCUAUGCACCAGCUUGAGGGGGAGUGUUGAGAAUCAAAUAAAACGGCAUUGAAUGAAGCUUUCAAAGACAGAAUCUGCACUUGUCAAAGGGGUAAUCUGCACUUGUCAAAGACAAGAUCCGCGCCGAACGGAUUGACACAUUUCCUUCCGUAUUCACAUAUGUAAUCUUUGAAAAAAUGUAGCUUCUGCAUCUAUAAAUAACUCUCAAUGUAUAAUGCUUUAUUUAAGAAAUGAAAACACGUUUCUUCACCUUUCUUUCUCACAAAACGGAACCAUGGUUGCUAUUGGAGAGAUCUUACUCAACGCCUUCUUUCAGGUGUUGUUUGAUAGGUUGGCUUCUUGUAAUUUUCUCAGCUUUGUGCGUCAACUCCAAGGCGGGGUUGAUUUGGAACUCAAAAAGUGGGAGAAAAAGCUGAAGAUGAUUCAGGCUGUGCUCUACGAUGCAGAGGAGAAGCAACUGAUCGACGAGGCUGUGAAGACGUGGCUGGACGAACUCCAAGACUUGGCUUAUGACGCUGAGGACAUUCUUGAUGAGUUUGCUACUCAAGCUUUGGAAAGCGAGUUGAUGGAGCAAAAUCAGGAUAGCUCUGGCCAGCUUCUUAGUUUCAUCCCAGCUAGUUUGAGUCCGAAUGCUAUUAUGUUCAAUUAUAGCAUGGGGUCCAAGAUUAAAGAUAUUACUAGCCGGUUGGAGCACCUCGGCCAAGAAAGAAUUGAACUUGGUCUGCAACGGAUUACUGGAGGGGCAUCAUCAUCUACUGCUGCCGCACACCAGAGGCCACCCAGUUCGAGUGUCCCAACAGAACGUGAAGUAUUUGGAAGAGAAGAAGAUAAGGCCAAAAUUCUUGAUAUGGUUUUGGCCGAUACCCCAAGUGAUCAUGCCAAAUUUGUUGUAAUACCCAUUGUUGGCAUGGGCGGAAUAGGAAAAACAACUCUUGCUCGGGAGGUCUACAAUGACAAGGCGUUGAAGAUUCCAAGUUUGAUGUAAAAGCAUGGGUUUGUGUCUCUGAUGUCUUUGAUGUUUUGGUCAUCUCAAAGGCACUUCUGGAGUCAAUCACCCGCAGGCCUUGUGUUCUAAGCAAUUUAAAUGAAGUGCAGGUUGAGCUGAAAAUAGUUGUGGAUAAAAAAAGAUUUCUACUGGUCUUAGAUGAUGUUUGGAACGAGGACUACAGCUUGUGGGUAGACUUAAAAGCUCCUUUCAUGGCUGCUGCACCAAACGGUAAAAUGAUCAUCACCACACGCAAUUCAAAUGUUGCAUCAAUAAUGGGACCAAUUGAACAUUACAAUCUCAAGAGUCUGUUAGAUGAUGAUUGCUGGUCCAUUUUCAUACAACAUGCACUUGAAUCUAGAGAUCUUAACGCAAAUCAAAUUUCAGAAUCAUUCCGCAAGAAAGUUGUUGGCAAGUGUGGGGGCUUGCCCCUGGCAGCAAAAACACUAGGGGGCCUUCUGCGUACUACGAGGCAUGAUGCAUGGGACGAUAUAUUAGAUAGCAAAAUAUGGGAUUUACCUCAACAAAGUGGCGUUCUCCCUGUGUUAAGAUUGAGUUACCACCAUCUUCCGUCUCAUUUGAAAAGAUGUUUCGCUUAUUGUGCAAUCUUUCCAAAAGAUUAUGAAUUCAAUGAGAAGGAGCUGACUUUCUUAUGGAUGGCUGGAGGAAUUAUUCGACAGUCAAGAAAGAAUGAGCAGCUGGAAGAUUUGGGCGGCAAGUGCUUUCAUGAUCUAGUGUCAAGGUCAAUUUUUCCACAAACCAGCUCGGGUAGUUCUAAAUUUGUAAUGCAUGACCUUAUCCAUGAUCUUGCUGAACUGGUUUCUAGAGAAACCAUUUUCAGAUUAGAGGAGGCCAACUUGUCAUCAAGAAGAUUUGAAAGGAUCCGCCAUGCUUCCUAUACCCGUGGUUGGUAUGAUGGUAAAAAUAAGUUCAAGGUUUUCAAUGAAAUUGAACAUCUACGAACAUUCCUACCAUUACACGAAAGACGAGGAUAUUACAUACCUCGAACGGUUCUAUCUGAUUUGCUGCCAAAGUUCAGAAGGUUGAGAACGCUAUCUUUACAAGGAUACUGUAUUGGUGAGUUACCAAUGUCAUUUGAAGAUCUGAGACUUUUAAGGCUCCUCAACCUUGCUGACACUGACAUAAGAAGUUUACCUGAGUCAACAUGCACAUUGUUGAACUUGGAAAUUUUGAUAUUAAGAAAUUGUUCCCGUUUGAUAAAGCUUCCGCCCAAAAUGAGGAAUUUGAUCAAUUUACGCCAUCUCGAUAUAAGAGGUGCGAAGUUGCUGAAGGAGAUGCCGUUCGGAAUGAAGGAGUUGAAGAAUCUUUUACAAGUUUGGAAGAUUUAAAAUGUUUAAACUUUCUUUGUGAUGAACUCUGCAUGAGUGGAUUAGAGAAUGUGAAUAAUCCACAGAAUGCAAGAGAAGCCACAGUAUGCGAGAAGCACAAUCUUGAAGCAUUGACUCUAGAUUGGGGGUCUCAAUUUGACAAUUCUCGAGAUGGAGUAGUAGAAGAGCAUGUACUGGAAAUUCUACAGCCCCAUAAAUGUAUAAAAAAGGUGGCAAUCAGGAACUAUGGUGGUGCAAGAUUUCCGCAUUGGAUCGGAGAUCCUUCGUUCUCCAAGAUGAAGGUCCUUAAAUUGGAGAACUGUCACAAUUGUGUAUCGUUGCCGUCGCUUGGCCUGUUGAGUUCACUUAAGCACCUUGCUGUUAAAGGGCUGAAGAAACUAAAAAGCAUAGAGUCUGAGGUUUAUGGGGAGGGUUUCUCAAUGCCUUUUCCAUCACUGGAGAUUCUAAGUUGCGAGAAUUUGCCAGAAUGGGAGCAUUGGGAUACCGAGAUCAAAGGAAAUGUGCCUGUUGAUAUAUUUCCUCGUCUCCAAGAACUUUCCAUUGCAGAAUGUCCCAAACUCUCUGGACAACUGCCUGAGCUCCUGCCUUCCUUGGAGACACUUGUUGUUAGUAAAUGUAAAAAGUUGGUAGUUCCAUUGUCUUGCUAUCCGAUGCUCUGCAGAUUAGAAGUUGAUGAGUGCAAAGAACUAGUCUGCCGGACUCCGAUUGAUGUUAAGUUGAUAAAGUCCAUGACUAUUUCAAAUAGUUCAUUAGACCUGAAUGGAUGUAAGGGGAUGCUAUACGAUGGUCCAGCUGGCUCUUCACUGCCAAAGCCCAUGACUACUACAAAUGUUUUGGAGUUUGGAAAAUUAUUGAAGCCUGGAUUUCAGAUAUUCGAAACUUUGGUAAUUGGCAAUUCUGAACAGCUCAAGUCAUGGAGGCAGCAUGGGGAUUUUCCUAAAAAAUACAUGGUCACUGACCAUAGGUUUAAGAAACCAGUACCAGGGCUGAAUAUGCUCGCUUCCCCUGAAGAGGUAAAAAUUGAAGAAAGCUGCGUAAGUCUUGUUUUGUUUCCAGAGAUCAAUUUUUUUCCCAGAAAUCUACGCUCUCUUCUAAUUAAAAACAGCACAACUUUAAAAUCCUUACCCGAGGAAAUGAUGGCAACAAUUCACAACUCGAAAGGUUGUAUAUCAGAGAUCGCGACUGUCUAACAUUCAUCGCAAGACGGAGGCUACCGGCAUCUCUUAAAAGGCUUGAGAUAGAAAAUUGUGAGAAAUUGCAACGUCUGUUCGAUGAUGAAGAGGAUGCUUCUUCUUCUUCUCCUGCAUCCUCGUCGUCCCCAGUGAUGCUGCAACACCUGAGUAUAGAGAACUGCCCAGAGCUCACCAGUUUAUCAUCGGGUGUCCAAUUCCUUGAGGCGCUUGAAUUCCUCGAGAUACGGGAUUGCCCAAAGCUGGAGUCAAUACCGGAUGGCCUGCCCAAUCUUAAAUGUUUACAGAGCAUUUAUAUAUGGAAAUGUCCAAGUCUUGUUCCUUCCCAGAAAGAGGGCUUCCCAACACGAUUUCAAGGGUUGGCAUUGGCGAAUGUGACAAGCUCGAAGCCUUGCCCAAUGAUUUGCACAAAAUCAACUCUCUUCGAUAUUUAAGCAUACAGCUGUGUCGAAAUCUUGUAUCGUUUCCAGAAGAAGGUUUUCCUACCAGUCUAACAUCACUUAGAAUUGGAGAUUUCAAAAUGUAUAAGACCCUCGUCCAGUGGGGGUUGCACAGGCUUACCUCUCUUAGACGCCUCUAUAUCGUUGAUUGUGAUGACGAAGCAGAGUGUUUUCCAGACGAGGAGAUAGGAAUGACGCUGCCCACCUCUCUCACUGAUCUGUACUUAUCGGGAUUCCAAAAAUUGAUAUCCCUGUCUUCGACGGGUUUUCAGAGCCUCAACUCUCUUCAAUAUUUGUUGAUCGCGGGUUGCCCAAAUCUCACAUCAUUUCCAGAGGUGGGCCUUCCAUCCUCACUUUUGGGAUUAUUCAUUUUCAAAUGUCCAAAGCUUAAAAGAGCGUGCAAAAGAGAUCAAGGAAAAGAGUGGCCCAAAAUUGCUCACAUCCCUUGCGUUGAGAUAGACGAAAAAUUCAUAUACGAUCCCGAAUCAGAGGAGUAGAUUUCUGUUAUCCAUUAAAAACGAUCUCCUAUUAGUUUUAUUUUUUAAAUAAUAAUUUUGCAGUUCUGUUUUCUGUAUAAUUAUAAAUCCUCUGCCGUUAAUUAUUGACAAUGUCACUCACGUGAUUCCGUCUUCACUAAUCAGACUGUAUGUUGAGGCUAUUUGCUUUUUAAUCAAAGAUUAAAUUAUAACAUUUAUCUUAAAAUUGAAUAUCAUAGACAGAUAGACGAUUUUUAAAUCCAAAGUUUUUUGAUCCACUUCAAUUAGCAUUUAUUUUUUCCCCCAAAACAGGCAAGCCGAGAGUUUCAAUCAAGAAUUGGAGGAUGUGAAUGGGAUUUUUGUGAAAACAUAAUGGAUGAACGAACAUUUCAUCUGUGAUCUCAAAGUCAACAGAAUUUUAUUUACUCAUUGACUUUUCAACUCCUGUGGUUAUUUAUGGGUGAAAGAUAAGGGCAAUUACAAGAAAUUUGCAAACUUUGUCAACUUCUUUUAAUUGUACCAAUUUGUCGUUUAUGUUUUAGUUUUAUUUUUUCAGUUUUGUUUAUUGCUUAGAUGGUAGAUAUAUCGACAUUUUAGAUUUCAGAUAUUUGUCACCAGUUUCAUUCCCUUUUUUUUCGUUUUUUUAAGCUAGUUUGACUAAUUUUAACCAGAAUUAGAGCAGAAUAUUUUGGAGCGAGCAUACUUGAAAUGAUGCUUUUUAAUUUUGAUCUAGUAAAAAUACAUAGCCCUCACCGGCAGAAUUCUAGUCCCUACCGGGAUUCAAGAAAUUGAAAUUUCUGUCUUCAACGGGUUUUCGAAGCCUGACCUCUCUUCGAUUUUUGUGGAUCGGGAAUUAUAAAUUUACAGUUGUCAGAAGCUUGAAAAAGUGCGCAAAAGAGAUCGAGGAAAAGAAUAUUUCUCUGUUUAGUGAAGGAUGAAUGCUUGGAGUGGAGUAUUUGGUAACAUUUCUGUUUAGUUAAGGAUUUUGAAAUUAAUGAUGGUAAGAUGUGUACUUAUUCUUUCUUCCAGACAACCUUGCCUUCUUUCUUCGGUAGCAUAUCUAAUGAAUAUUUCUCUGUUUAGUUAAGGAUGAAUGCUUGCAGUGGAGUAUUUGGUAACAUUUCUGCCGUAGAUGAAUCCUUGAAGAAAUGCCUGCACUUCCUGAGACCAAAUACAGGUCUGAUUCAAAACAACACCUGUCCCAGAAAAUAUGAUACAAGGCAAAGCCAUGUUCUGAUAAUGUUUCCUUAAGUACAAAGUUGCAAGGAAACUUGAUUCAUUAACUACAAAUUUUUAUUUUUAGGACCUUGCAUCUGAAAGGUUCAGUGUAAUUUUUUUUUUUCAAUUUAUUGCUCAGAUCUCAGACGAGUAUAUGGUUUAGAUUACAAAACACUUACGAUUAAUUUCAUUUUUUUUUAUUUCAGGGAGAAGAAGUGGUCAGUUUCAAUCCAGAAUUGGAAUAUGGCAAUUUGGUGCAAGCACAAAUACCUGGUCACUUCGUCAGUGAACCUGAACUUUACUGAACUUUACACAGUUUUUUCAACUCAGUGAUUUUUGGAACGCAUAUUGGUGUAAGGAAAUCAAACGAAAUUUAUGCAUAGUCAAAUUCUGAUAUUUGCUAUAUUUUAUACAUUCUAAAGUUUCUCCAGUUUGUUCUCAGAUUACCAUCACUUUUUGCCUUCACCAAAAAAAAAUAUAUAUAUAUUUGAGUGGCUUUCCGGUGGAUAUUUAAUCGGAGGCAUGACUGGAUUUUUUUUCACUUCUGUAGAUCUUGCAUUUUAAACUGGCAAAUUUAACUUUAAUUUCAAUACGACUUUGUUGGUGCCUUCUGUUCCAGGAGCUAGAAAGAUGUGUAGUUUUCAGAUAAAGGGGCUUGUGAAUUCUCUAGUAAGAAUCCAAUAAUUUGCUUUUGCACGUUCAUUUUAUUUGUAGAUCCUUGCAUCUGAAUUUGAUCAAUCCAAAAGGAACUGCUUUUAGAGGGAAGAAGAAUAGCAGUACCUAUUCGAUGACAUAGUGUAUGGACCCUCACAUGUUAACUUUCAUGAAAAACACAUUUAAGAAAUUUGCAACUUUUUGGUUAGUUAUGUAUCCAAUGUUGUUUUCUGUUUUAGCAUUUGUAGAAUCUACUGUAUUAUAUUUUGGCAGCUACAGUAUCUGAGGUAUCUUUUGCAUUUAACUUGCUUUAUAUGUUUUGUCUGUGACUUAAGAACACCAAUAUUUGCCAGAGAUUUAGAGAAGCAUAUCAAGAUGCUUGGCUAACUUGACAAACUUCAAGAUCCUUCAUUCUUCACAAUGCAAAACUUGUGAGUACACUUAUGCCCGCAAUUAUUGUGAAAUGCUUGCAAUUUUGAUGCAGCGAAAUGGUUUGUUGAUGCAAAGGUUUGAACUUUUAAGGUUUACCCUGCAGGGUAGUUGGAUGCUGUAUACUCGAAAAGCCACCAACAUCAAGAACUAUACCUCCAAGACUGGGUUUGCAUUAAUUCAAUCAGCUGAAAUAAUGAUGCAAAGGACACUAUCAGCUGGACUUAGAGACCAGUCAGAUCAAUUAUCCAUUUUAUCAACAGUUAAUGUCAUCAUGGUGGCUAUUAGAGGAAACAGAGGAUGUGUCGGAAUCAAUAUGAACAGUGAGAAGAAUGAGAGGAGCUUUGAUUAUAAAUUGGCUCAAUGAACUCAUGCUGGUAAGUGGUAAUUAAAGAAAUUUGUGCGCUUAGCAGAGUUUCAAUAUUUUCUGUUUGGGAUAUAGUUGAUAAGUUGAUACUCUGAUUAAUAAGCCUGAUUAUAGUAGCUGACUGUAUUAACCAGGUUCUUUUCUUUCUUUUUUUUUUGGUGGUUUGCUGUUGUUUUGAUUAUGCUGUAACUACAAGGAAGAGCCGGACUUGGAUGCAGGCGUUCAGCUUUUAAUGGUUAAGAACAAAUGUAUGCUUUAACCAUGUUUCUCACUUAUUACAAUGUACGCAUUGAAGGCAUCUGAGCUGAUCCUGAAAAUGUCAUGGAAAUACUUCUCUGUUUACAUAAAACAGGACAAAUAGAGAUCUCUGAUCAUGCCUGAGAAUUCGUUGCAUUGAAAUUUCUACCAUUGCCAAAAAUAGAAUAAACUAGGGAUACAUUAGCGUAAGACUCAAUUUUGAGAAGGAAGUUUGUACUUGCAGCCUAAAAAAUCAUGUCUUUGUUGUAUACUUGUAUGUUUCUUUGGGAAAUGAAAGAUUCUGUGUUCUUUUAUUUCAAGUUUGCUGAAAUCACAUUUGUUUUCUUAGAUGCUUUCCAGAAGGUAACAGCAUCAAUUUCAAAAAUGCUGGGGUAAUAUGCAUCACGCAGUGCUACUCAACAUGAGAAAUCCUGGCUGCAUUAACUGUAUGUUGAGUGAUCGCACAGUACAACCUUGAGAAGCUUGUAAGGAGUAGACAACUAGAUGCGAGUAGUUUCAAUAUGGAUUCGCAUCAAAUGAUUUCUUGCCACUGAUUACCAUAACUUCUAUCCCAAAAUUCUGGGAACUGGUCAUACCAGCUAUGAAGUAUUGUAUACGUUGAAGAGCUCAAGGCCUUGCAAAAGCUCCGUCAGCCUUUGUAUUGGCAAACAGAUGGUUGUAGUUGCUUCUGAAUGAUAUGAUUAAUAGAUUCUGUAAAAAUGAAUUGUGCUAUACGCUUUCAGAGUUCUGUUAAGAUGUCUUGGUAGUUUUUGAUGCUUGUUUGAUUUAUAUUGCAUUCAGCUAUAAAUCAAAGGUUCAGAACACGAGUAUGUUGCUGAUUUCCAAAUAGAAAAAUUGCCUUGUGAUGUUAGUGUCCAUUGUUUUCACAGGAGAUCAGGUUCCUUGUUAUUGAAUCAAGAAGGCAAACGCAUCCAUGUCUGAGUUCAAUUGUGUCCCUUCUAUUUUCUAUUACUGACUCAUUUAUUUUGAUUUCUUCAUUGUGAUUGAAUUGGUUUUUUAUUCCAAAUUAGUCAAAACCUCAUAGAGUUAUUAAGUUCCGUUAGCAUUCAGAACUACGUACCAAAUGAUUAACAGGAUUAAAUUACAAUAAAGAAUUAAGUUCUUUAUUGUAAUUGAAUUUGCUUUCUCAUGUUUAGAGAUAUUAUGUUCUGGUUAGGGGUGAUUUCUUGAAGAGUCAAUCCAUUUGUGUUUAUACAUUUUUCUAUUGCCUUGAUUUCUGUUUUCUGGGGAGUUUAUACAGAUUCUUAUUUUAUGCUUCACAUGCCACAUGAAAGAUCAAAGCCUUCUGUCUGAACAUAAUAUACGUAGAAAGUUAAAUUUAUUUAUUUAUAAGCAUGUCCCAGUGCCCAGUGGCAUCCUCUUAACUUGUGAUAGUCAAAUGUAUUAUACGAUACAAUAUCAGCUUGACUUUAGCAUAGAGGAGAAUAGGGUUGGUGUUGGACUGAAUUCUGAUCCUUGAAUAAAUAUAACAGCUGCCUGAACCAGCUUAUUUGACUCCACAACUUUAUACUUGUUUUAUAGUCUAUGCCUACCUCCAUCGUCGGCAGCUUACAGUCUCUUUUAGCAUUUUAAAAAGUUUCAUGAUAUUCCAUAGUUCGCAUGGACUGCUACAAUUUAGAGAAACAUAAUUACGGCAUAUUUAAUUACCACGCGAGGAGUCUUCUUUUUUGCGCACCAAUAAUUCUUUGUACUUAAUUAGAAGAUGAGAAAUCCUUUAGCCGAACCACGAACUCACCUAUUAGUGGGGUUUUUUCCGCUUGCAUUCAGUCGCUCAAGUGAAAAUUGCGUGCAAUUUUUUCCUCAACUAAAAUUGGAAUAGAUAUUUUGUUAUUGCUGGCACAAAUUUUCCUUUAAGUCAAAUUGGAAUAGAUGUUUGUGAGAUGCCUAGACCUGAGAUUUUGUUAUGAUUAUAUGCAUUAAAGCUUUCGGUAGACCCUUGAAAUCUUAUGAUCAAUGUAUUAGAAAUUUAGAAUUGGGGUUUAUAAGAGCUAGUUUGACCAUGUUAUAACUUUUAAAAUUAUUGUUGCUAAUUGUGUUAUAGAAAUAAUUAAUCAGUUGUAAAAAUAAUUAGUUAAACAUUUGGUAAAUUUUAUUUUUAAAAGUGUUAGGAGUUUUAAAAGCAGACGUACGUACUUAGUAAAUCUCACUUUUAAAAUAUUAUAAGAAUGCAAAAGGUUUAAAUAUAUAUAAAUCUAUACAAUUUAUUUACACAUGCAUUUAUAGAUACAUGUAUAUAUAAUAAUUGAUAACUAAAAUAAAGAUUUUUAUUUUAUUAAUUUUUUUUGUUAUCUAAAAAAAGGUAAUAAUAAUAUCUUUAAUGACGUAUUUAUUAAUCAGUAAUCGGAAUGGACUGGAAUCAAAAUGGAGGAAUGGAAAUCGGAAUAAAUUGUUUACUUUAACUAUCAAUAUUGGAAUCGCAAUGAACUGUAUUAUCACUUAUAUAUUUAUUUUAUCUGAGAAUCAGAAUGGAUUGAUUUAAAUUACUAGACAGACCUUAUUAUUAUUAUUAUUAUUAUUAUUAUUAUUAUCAUCAUUAUUAAAUAAGGUAAAAAGGAAUUUUCAAUUUUUACUGAAGUAAAAAUAUCAAUUCACUUCUCAUUUUCAGCCCUAGGGAAUGAGACUCCCAUUCCACAUUCUAGAAUUUAUAGAGUCCACUCAAAUUUUCAUUCCCAUUCCCCCUCCUUGUUUUGCAAGUAAACAAGUUAAUAAUCCUAUUCUCUCAUUUCUACUCCCAUUCUCAUUCUCAAGUACUAACACAUCAAGGUAUUCGGUUCGGUUUUUGCCCAAUAGAACUGAAAUUAUUCGGUUUGGUUUGAUUUGGUUUAAUAUAAAAAGCCAAAGGGUUUAUAUUUUUAUGAACCAAAUGGUUUGUAUUUGAUUCAAUUCUAAAACUGAACCGAAAGCACAAACCAAUCGGUUCACGUAAUUUUAAUUAUUUUUAGAAAAAGAAAAACCAAAACUAAAUCGUAGAAUGUGAAUCCCUAAAAUCUAAAUCCCUAAUUCUCCUAACUAACUAAAACUAAUCACAGAACAACACAACCACAACAACCUAGCAAGCGCAGCGGUAGCCCCUCGAACCACGCUCACUCUCAAGUAUAGCAUGACAAUAGGGCUCUCUCAUGCAAUGAUAGGUAAUUUCUUAGUUUAGAAGGGAAAGUAAGAGAAACAGAGGAAGAAUAUAAGUUGAUUAAAAGGGAAAAGUCAAUUCUUAUUCCAAAAACUUGCUUAGUGCAAGUUCAAUAGGGUCUCUUAAAUAGACCUAUACAUAUAAUAAAAACUAGAAAAGACGAAAAUCACUUGAAAAUAAAAAGCAUGAUCACUUAAAUGGUAAACAUACAUAACCGCCAUGAGCUACAUGCAACCUAAGUCAAAUAAUCAACUGAAGAAACUUGAUCCCCAUGCAUAUUGAGCACAUACCAUUCCCCACCCUUUAGAAACACCUUGUUGGUGCGGUUAAAGUGAGGGUGAGCCUUUGAGAAUCACCAACAGUUCCAACGAGUGUCCUCAAUUGCUGCUCCUAUCCCUAUAACCAGUAUUGAGUUGUACGAAUGGCACAUGAUCUUCAAUCAUGAAUAGUUGCAGCUUUUAACAACAGUGUGAUACAAACUAAUAAAAAUAAUAAAAAUUAUUUAUUUUAUUUUAUUGUAUUAGUUAAUUUUGAACUAGUCAAAACUAGUUGCCCUUAUUUUGUGGAACUACAUGUAAUUAGUGGAGCAUUAUGUGAGAACAUGCUUAGUGUUACUAAUUUUUAGGUUGUAAUCCUAAAUAAACUUUUAUUAUAUAAAGCUUAAUGUUACUCAAUAAAAAGGAUCAUGAGUUUAUUAUUUUGGCAACAUAAAAGUUGUAAUUGGGAGUUUAUUGGUUUCUCGAAUAACCAAUACUUAUUUGGAGGUUUGGAUUUCCUUGAAUUAACUCCAUUUGUCAUCUAAUUUUUCUAUUUCAUUUGAUUUCUCCUUAUAAACUUUAGUGUUCGUAUCACAGUGGCCAAGAAUAAGUUUCUCGUCACAAUAAUAACACAACCCUUUUCCACGAUGAGCAUGUGCUUCUUAGUUAGAUAGUUGCUGGAUAUGAGGGGAAGCGAUGUCAUCGGCUAUUUAAUCAACCUUAGGAGGUGGACCUAAGACUCUAACAAAGCUAUUUGGGGUUGGUUGCUAUAUCACCAAAAUAGAGGGUGGUAGAGAAAAGUGACUAGUGCAUUGAGAAAGUGAAUUUCGCUCCUCAAUCAGUCUUGUCACACCAAUGGUGUUAGCCAAGGUAAAGGGCUAUUUAAUCUUGACAUCUAGUUGUAUCUCAUCCUGAAGACCUACAAUAAAACAACCAAUUAAAAAACAUUCGAGUAAGCCAUCAACCUAAUAUAAAAGCUUUUCAAAAGUUUAUUGAUAUUAAGCUAAUAAUGGAAGUCUAUUUCAGGUGCAUCAAAGCCUUAGAUGGGUCCUCAUAAUCCAUUAGUUCGAAUCGUAGAAGGACUGUUGUUGAUGCUGAAAUCUGCUCGCCCUCUACCCAACCAAAUCAUUCCACCAACAUUUGUGUAUGCAAUGGAGAGAAUACUGCCCUUUUGCCUCCUUCAGCAACUGCGGAUGCUCCAGGGGUUGGAAUCACCUUUUUCCCUUCUUUCUAAUCCUGCACUCACAGAGAUAGAUCAGAGACGCCGGUGGUUUUACCAGCAUAAACCCUCCAAUACUUAAGUUAGCACAAGGUGUUUUACGGGAAAACUAUGUAACUUGGAUUGUUUGGUUUCUCGUAAUGCUUUCUAAAACUUGUAAAGAAUAUAAUCUGGUUUCAAUUUGGCAGAGUUUUCCUUUUUCUCUCAAUUUUUCCAUCCCUUUUUUCAUUGGUUUCCCGGCUUCUUGUAACCGUUGUCCCACGUUCCUAUCUACUCCUCAUGCCCCCCCUUUUAUCGGGUGAUGGCAGGCCUUCAUGGCCUCCAACCACUGGAUUGUGGGUAAACAUGGGAUGACAUGUCCCUCUUGACGGUUUGGGGCAUAGCGAAACUACCGCAUUUUCGUGAGAUCGUGUGCCCCUUGUUUGGGUGAUGGGUAUCUGGUUGGUAUAUGUCUCUAGUCGGUACAUUCCUCUGGUCGGUGCUCGUCUCUAGUAGGCCCACUUUUGUAUGAGGCGUUUUACCAGGGCUCUUUUUGUGCCGCUCAGUUGAGGUGAUUCACCUCGGGGUGGGAAAUGAGGGCAUGGCUGAGCUGGUGCUCUUUAUUACUUAAUACCAGUCCCCUAGUUUCUGGUCUUGCGAGUGAAAUGAGUUGAGAUUAGAAACUAAGAAUCGGAUUUUAUCGACCCCGGGAAAUUCCUAUCUGGUCUUCGUGUUAUUGUGAUGGACCUGAGGUUCUGCCUUUUGUUUAGGGAGAUUUUUUAUCUAAGUAUGGGCCUUUGUGAGCAUGUCCAAUAUAUAGCUGGGCUAACAUCUCGUCAGGCCUUUUAUAACGGUCAGUGACGUGUCGUUUCUCGUCCUUUCAUAUUUGAAAUUUGAAACGACGGCUUAUCUGCCCUCGAUAUACGGCGAGUGAGCUAGCACCCGUAUAACUUAAACGCUUCCAUUUCCCUAUUUCAUUUCAAAUCCCUAAAUUGAAGCUGUCAUUGCGUUUCACUAUCCGCCAUUUCACUGUAAACUAAGUCCCUCUUUGGACUUCAAUCACACUUUUUGCGUCCGAAACCUCUAUUUGCUGGGUCCUCUCUCCGUCACAGCAGCACUACCAGUGCCAGUUUAUUCUAGGUAUCACUUUUAACUUCUUCGCUGGUUGUUGUUGAUUGGGUUCUGUGUUGCCCCUUUUUGUACCCAUACACUCGGAUUUACUGUGUUUUCCUUUUUGAGUUUUUGAUAUGUCAAACCGAAAGGGGAAACUAAUUGUAGAUGAGAGUGAUGAAGAGGUGGGGGACUCAUACCCCAACCUGUUUGGGCCUAAUGACCCCUUAUCAUCUUCUCGUAGUAUAAGUCUUUCCCAUCAUAGGGAUACCCUAGAGUAUCCUCAUCGCGUGACCACUUUGCCUUCCCCUGAAUUAGAACCCGUGGGAAACCGUGGUGGUUCAGCUUCUUGCUCUGGUGAAAAUCACAGUUCUGAGGGCUGGGGGGGUCCCUGGAAAGUGGGUGAAGGUAAGGAGAGUAGCUCCGAGCCGAGCAGACCCUCUAAGAAGAGAAACUUUGGUCAUAUGAUGGCGGGAGAUGCUUAUCCCAUUGACUAUAUCACCUGUGUUACCACCCACACUGACCUACUCAAGUUUAGAAACCUCUACCAUAUCCCUGAGGUGGUUCUUCUUUUAAUCCCUGGGAAAGGUGACUUCCCCAGUCGGCCUCCAAGGGGAUAUGUCACGAUGGGCACGAUUACCCCUUCAACCUUACUUUGCUUGGAUACUGGGUGGUAUGCAUCUGGCUCCAGGUCAGCUUCACCCGAAUGGGUGGAGGGUUCUCUCAGCCAUGUAUGUGCUAUGGAAAAAGUGUGGACUUGAGGAGCCUUCUCUUGAGGAAGUGAAGCAUUUAUACCAGCUGAUGAGCUUUCCAAGGGAAGCAGGUUGGUACUACUUCAUGUCAAGCUCUGCAAAGAGGAAGCCUGUCACCGACUUUCCUUCUUCCUGUAAAAAUUAGAAGAACAAAUUCUUCUUUGCUGGAGGAAAUUGGUGUCCAACAAUUCAUUCGCUUAGUGGUGAUAUUCACCUCCCAACACAUUUUGUCACCCCAGGUCGUUAAUUUUUCUGCAUACUUCACUUCUCUAAUCGUUACUUAUCGAGUUCCUUAACCUUGUUUGUUCUUUCAGAAUUGUGGGGUUUGAUCAAGAAACUUGACGAUAGACCACUGCUCCAGGUGGAAAUGGCUCUGGUGAACGCGUCUACCUGUCACGAUCUCAUAUCGUUAAUAAAUCUUGUCGGGUUGCACUUAGUGGACGUAGCUAUUGGGAUGGACAACAAGAUCCUCAGCGCUAUGUCUAAGAAACACACUUUGGGUUCAGGUAGCUCCAGCAACCUCCCUCCUCCUUUGAAGAAAGUCAAUGUUGGUUCCUCCAAGGCUUCUGCUCCUGCUCUGCCCCCUCCUUCACCUCGGAAGAAUGGUAGGGAGAAAGUUAGUGACAAGAGCCCCGAGGUCAGCAUUCAAUUUGGAGACCGAUCCUCUCCUCUACCGCCUCGGGACCAGGGUGACUAUCUGACCCUGUACCAGAGAGAUUACAACAAGUCGAUGGGACCAAAAAUGGUCAAGGACAUUGAAAGCAUGAACCUCAGCGAGCUAGGUGGUUCAGUUCAAAUGGUCUCCUUUAAGCUGGCUACUCUGGUUUCUUGCUACAAGAAUAGGUCUACGCGCCAAGAGAGGAGGCUUCAAGCUGAUAACGAGGACUUGAAGAAAAAGGCUAAUUCUGUUGAUCGCUCGAAGGAGAAGCAGAUUGAGCUACACAAGCAGAUCAUGGACCUGGAGGAGAAAGUGGCUAUUGCUGAGUCUAACUCCUCCAAGCUUGAGGGUGAGUUGGGUGAUCUAAAGUCCGAUCUCCAGGUUGCUCACAGUGAACGAGAUACUUUGAGGACGACCCUUGAGGAACAUAUUAGGUCCUUAGAUGAGCAGGUAGCCGAGCUGAAAGGCAAAUCUGUUGAGGUGGACAAUUGACUGGAUGCAGAAUAUAACUCUGGGCUCGCCUUUUGCUACAAGUGCAUCAUGUUUGUGCUUAAGGGAGAAUAUCCUGAGCUUGACAUGAGCAAGCUGGAGGCUGGAGUGCAGAAAUACAUGGCCGAGCCCGAUCAAGGGGAUAAGGAGCAGGGAGAGCAGGAUCAGGUGGAGGCUCCUUCAGAUGGGGUGCAGGAGAGGGAAACAGAGGAUUAUGCUCUUGAAACAGGUCAGGGGUCACUGCCUGCUCCCCCAGAAGUUGCUGGUCCACCUUUUAUCGAGGCUGCUGAACCUCAUAAUCCUUAGGCUUAUAUAUAUAUAUAUAUAUAUAAAUAUUAUUUUGUAUAAAUUCUAAACUCCCAUCUGUCUACAAAUGUUUGGAUGUUUAUAAACUUUGGAUGCUUUUUGUUUGCUUUCUUGCCAUGGUUUUGGUUGUGAAUCGUUUCUACAAGUUACCUUAACAAUUUUGAGUGACUUUGGCUGCUGGUCCUUUUGUCGUCCGAGCAGGAACUGACACUUGUUUGCCUUAGCGAAAUUUGUAAAACUUACAUUUCAGUUUUUCAAACGACUGAGCAGGAACUGGCGUUGGUUUGCCUUAACGAAAUUUUGUAAAAUUGCCUGCUGGUGCUUUAGGCGACCAAGCAGGAAUAGGCACUUGCUUGCCUUCAUAAAAUUUAUAGAUUUGCCUGCUGGUCCUUUAGGCGAUCGAGCAGGAAUAGACACUUGCUUGCCUUAAUAAAAUUUGUAGAUUUGCCUGCUGGUCCUUUAGGCGUCCGAGUAGGAAUAAACACUCGCUUGCCUUAAUAAAAUUUGUAGAUUUGCCUGCUGGUCCUUUAGGCAACCGAGCAGGAAUAUGCACUUGCUUGCCUAAAUAAAAUUUGUAGAUUUGCCUGCUGGUCCUUUAGGCGAUCGAGCAGGAAUAGGCACUUGCUUGCCUUACUAAAAUUUUUAGAACGAGGGAAUUUAUGCUGAAUUCAUCUUUAUUGAACUUUGCAUGGAUUACAAGAGGCGAGAUAUAGUCACGUGUAACAAUUCAUCAUGCUUUUAACAUAAAUAACUUAUUGAAAUAAAACUUGGUAAGGCAGUUUGCUUACUGGAAGUAUUUCUUCAAGUGCUUAGCGUUCCAUGAUCUUUUCACGUCUCGUCUAUCUGGGUAAAUCAGCUUGUACGCUCUUGGGCCAGUUAUUCAUACCACUCUGUAUGGGCCCUCCCAUUUCGGGCUAAGAACACCAUGAAUAGGAUCUCUUGUGCAUUGGUUCACUUUUCUAAAUACCCAAUCUCCUGCUCGGAACUGUCUCAUGCGAACAUUUUUGUUGUAGUAACGCAUGAUCCUUUGCUGGCAUUUGGCUGUUCUCUGCGAUGCCCCUUCUCUUUUUUCCUCCAGCAGGUUCAGGCUCAAGCAGAUCUGCUCGUCAUUUUGUUCUUUGUUGAAAUACUCUGUCCGAUAUGCCCCCACCCCAAUUUUUGCUGGGAUUACUGCCUCAUGACCGAAAGCUAAAGCAAACGGGGUUUCUCCCGUGGCCAUUUUGUGGGUUAUCCGGUAGGCCCAUAACACUCCUAGUAACUCGUCGACCUAAGCUCCUUUUUUUUCUCAUAGCCUGGUUUUCAAGAGUUUCUUUAUUACUUUGUUGGCUGCUUCCACCUGCCCAUUUGCCUUGGGGUGUGCUAGGGUACAAAACUUCAGGUCCACCCCUAAAUUUUGGCUAAAUUCUCUGAAGUUGUGAUUGUCAAACUGUCUCCUAUUGUCUGUAAUGACAGCAAUGAGGAUCUCCUAUCUGCAGAUGAUAUUCUUCCAAACAAAAUCCGUUAUCUUUCUCUCUGUGAUUUGACUGAGGACCCUUACUUCUACUCAUUUGGUGAAGUAGUCUAUAGCCACAAUUGCAUGUAUUACUUCUCCUCGGCCCUUGGGUAAUGGGCCAAUCAGGUCAAUUCCCCACUGAGCAAAAGGCCAUGGGGAUGACAUAGUGGUUAACCUUUCUGGGGGCUGAGCAGGGACUUCCGAGAAGCUCUGGCUGACUUUAUAGUUUUUUGCCAUCCCCGUCGCAUCCUGAUGCAUGGUCGGCCAGAAGUACCCUUGCCGAAGCACCUUGAAAGUCAAAGUUCUCGCCCCCGAGUGGUUGCUGCAUAUUCCUUCAUGAAUUUCCCUCAACACAUAAUUUGCUUCCUCGUCAUCCAAGCAUCUCAAAAGGGGCAAGGUGAAUCAUCGGCGGUAGAGUACCCCAUCGAGUAGCGUAUACCUUGCUGCCUGACAUUUCAACUUUCUUGCUUGCUUCCUGUCCUCUGGUAAGAUGCCCUCACGAAUGUAUAAUAGAAUGGGGUCCAUCCAGGAUUUUUCGAUGCUCACCUGCAUUACUUCUGCUUCCUCCCCUAUGCUUGACGAGGUUCUCACUUUUAGUGGAAUUGACUUGGGUAAUUUUGGAUCUGCAAUUGCGGCCAUUCUGACCAAUAUAUCUGCUCGGUAAUUCUCAUUCAGAUAUAUCUGCUUUAUUUCUAUCUCUUGGAAGAGCUCAACCAUCUGUUUUGCCUUCUUCAAAUAAAGCCCCAUCUUCUCUUCCCUCGCUUGGAAUUGAUCACUGAGCUGAUUACAGACUAAUUGGGAAUUUGCUCAGAUUUCUAUCCUUUUUGUUCGUAGUGCGUGUGCAAACCCCAGCCCAGUGAUGAAAGCUUCAUAUUCAGCUCGGUUAUUCGUAAGCUGAAAUUUAAAUUUCACUGCAUAAGAUACAUCGGCCCCUUCUAGGCUUCGUAUUACAAUUCCUGCUCCAGAUCCCUGUUUACUACGUGACCCAUCAAUUAUUACUAGCCACACCCCCUUUGAUUUCUCCUGCUUCACUGGUUGCUCCUCCCAAAUUUCCUCCCCUAAUUUAACACGGUCAACCAUAAAAUCGGUCAAGGCUUGGGCUUUGAUUGCUUCUCGGGGUUUGUAGGAUAGGUCGAAUUCGCUCAACUCCACGGACCAUUUACUAACCGACCAGAUGCAUCUAGUUUUAGAGCAUUUACCGAAGAGGCUGGUCAGUCAUCACAACUAUCGGGUGGGCCUGAAAGUAAGGUCUGAACUUGCGUGCUACUGUUAUUAAAGCUAGUGCCCAUUUCUCCAUUAGUGGAUAUCUGGUUUCUGCAUCUACCAGGGCCUUGCUAGUGUAGUACACAGGGUGCUGCUUUCCUUCCUCUUCUCUGACUAAUACCGAGCUGGUAGCCCAUUUAAAGACUGCCAAGUACAAAUACAGCUGGUCACCUUCUCCAGGAGUUGAUAGUACAAGGCGCGGGCUAAAUAUUCCUUCAGCUGCCCGAAUGCCUCCUCACAUUCUAACGUCCACUCCAUUUUCCUUCAAUUCUUUAUGAUUUGGAAGAAAUGGUGACAUUUAUCUGUGGCUCGCGAGAUGAAACGGUUCAAUGCUGCUAACUUCCCUGUAAGACUCCGUACCUCUUUAACUGUCCGGGGGGACUUCAUUUUUGUUACUGCCCGUACUUUUUCCGGGUUGGCCUCAAUCCCUCGAUGGCUCACCAUGAACCCCAAAAAUUUACCCGCGCUAACUCCAAAUGCACACUUUUCCGGAUUCAGCUUCAUCUGAUACUUCCUUAGCAGUUCAAAAGUCUCUUCCAAAUGCUUCACAUGAUCCUUCGGUUCCUUGGACUUUGUGAUCAUAUCAUCCACGUAUACCUCCAUAGUGUGACCGAUCAGUGGCUUGAAAAUCUUAUUCACCAACCUUUGAUACGUAGCCCCUGUGUUUUUCAGGCCAAAAGGCAUCACCUUGUAGCAAAAUAAACCCAUGUUAGUUAUAAAGGUGGUACUCUCCUCAUCUUGCUUGUUCAUGGGUAUCUGGUUGUAUCCCGAAAAGGCAUCCAUGAAGCUAAGCAGACUAUGACCUGCCGUUGAGUCCACCAACUGAUCUAUUUUAGGUACGGGAAAGCUGUCAUUUGGGCAUGCCAUAUUAAGGUCUGUGAAAUCCACAUACAUUAUCUAUUUCCCAUUGGCCUUCUUUACCAGCACUACAUUAGAAAUCCACUCCGCAUAUUUAGCCUCCCUUAUAAAUCCUGCUUUCAACAGCUUCUCCACCUCGGCAUUUAUGGCCUCGUACCUUUCCUAGUUAAAGCACCUCCUUUUCUGCAUCACCGGCCUUGCCCCUUUCUUGAUUGCCAACUUGUGGCAAGCUACCCCGCGAUCAAUUCCUGGCAUGUCCUCAUGAGACCAGGCAAAUAUAUCUGCGUGGGACUAUAGGCACUUCACCAGCUCAUCUUUUAUUGCUUCACCUAAUCCUGACCCGAUCUUAAUCACUCUGCUCGGGUUAUUCUUGCUCACAAAAAUCUCCUCCAGUUUCUCGACAGGCUCUUGACGACCCUUCUUAGAAUCUCUUCGGUUAUCCAGAGAGGUAACAUGUAGCGUCUCCUUGGCCGCUGUUGCGUAACAGCUCCUUGCUAUUCUCUGGUCACCUUUUACUACGCCCACAACUCCGUUUACUCUGUAUUUCAAUGCUAGAUAAUGCAUGGAUAUAAUGUAUUAGCUUGCUCUCAUAAAAGGUCGCCCUAGUAUCAUCUGGUAGGGGUUUUUCUCUUCCACCACUACGAAGUCCAGCAUAAUUUUCUUUUUAGAUGACUUCGCUCCUACGGUAAUCGGCAGCUCUAUGAUCCCCAUAGAGGUCAACUGUCUUCCUCCAAAUCCCUUUAAGGAUGUGUUCGUUCGCUCCAAUUUCAAAUCUGCAAUCCCCAUAUCAUCUAGGGCCGACUUAAAUAAUAUGUCGACCGAGCUGCCUAUAUCCACCAAUAUUUGUCGGAAUUCCUUACCCGCCACUAUUACUUUAACUACCAGUGCAUCCUCAUGAGGGUAUAAAAUGCCCUCUUCAUUAUCAUCUGUCCACAUAAUGGGAACUUGUCUUACUUUCACCCUCUUGGUCGUUGGUAAGUUGAAAAGUACCUCUUUGCUGGUCAAAGCGUAUCUCUCAUAAUUCUUUCGUGCUCUGUUUGAGUCUCCAGCCAAUGUUGGCCCUCCUGUUAUCACCUGAAUAUUUAGCUGUUCCCGCUCUAGGCUCCUUUCAACUCCAUCACCCAGCGUAUAUUGUGAUUCAAUGACGGGGGAUACUCCAUCUACAUACUCAUCCAAAUACUGGUUCCUCACCAAAUCUUCCACUUGAGUCUUCAAGUCAUGAUAUUGGCUGAUAGUGUGACUAUGAGUGUCGUGAAAUUUGCAGAAUCUGUUCUUAUCAUGUCUAUGAGCGGGUUUUGUUAUAGGGGCAGGAGGGUACAGCAGGCAUCGUCCCUCGAUUCUCUCAUACAACUCCUCCAUAGAGACUUUCAGUGGGGGUGUACUGUUUGUACGCCAAGCUUUGGUCAAUCAGUUGGACCGUUCAGCUAUCGUGGGUAUCGUUCCGAGCUGGUAUUGUAGGUAGCUGGUUUGGUUGACCAGCCCUGGAGUUAACUAUAUGCAGUACCCUGGGAGCGCUGUGAUAAGGGUGGGCGACUAACUGCCUGAAUUCUCGUUGCCACUCGGGGAAUGAGGGGCGCGGAGGCUGAGCUCAGUUGUGUUGGAGCUGUUGCGGUCUCUGAGCCAUGGGAUAAGGGCGAGACCAAGCUGAUAUUCCACACAUCACUAGCGAUUCUCCAGCUCGCCUUCCUGAUCCGCUCCCGCUCAGGGUUCUUCAAUCUCCAUGUCUCUCUUUGCCUGCUCAUACCCCGUUGAAUAAUUCUGAACGAUGGGACUUCACAAGUUGUACCAUAAUCGGCCUAUUCUUACACCCUCUUUUAAUCCCCUUAACGCCUGCAGGUGAUUGAAAGCUCCCAGAUCAAGCACGGCCCAAUGGUAUCUUUUCACAAAAUCCUGAAGGGAUUCGUGUUCCUCCUGCUUCAUCCCCAUCAAAUCCAUCAUAUCGUCAUCUGGGCCUACUGAUUAUCGGAACAGUGUUGUGCAAAUUUUAAUGAACUCGCAAGCACACGAAUCUAUUGUAGUAUAGAUCAUUGGUAACGAGUGUCGAUCUCAUGAGGAGGUGGAUUUUAAUUGUGUAUAGAAUUGAUUUUGUAAAUGGGUGGUUGGAUUUGUGGUGGAAGUGAUUCAGAUUAUCCUAAAAUUGGAAUUAAAAUGGUGAAAAUAAUUUGAAGAGAAUUCUAUUGAAAUGACGUACUUGGGUAUCUGGAUCCGUAUCAACAUGCAUCAUGGGCUAAAUAUUCCUUAUUAAUACCAAUUAAAUCAUGAGGGGGGAAUCCACACCUCAUGAACCACGCUCUAAUCAAUAUGGUGUUAAGGGCUUAUCGUGCCAAAUAAUAAUAACCUGUACUAGAGAGCCGGUGUAACCAAGGCGGUAUCUAGACAAUACUAGUAUUAUUUGUCAACGAGAAGUCAAAACAUCCAAAAAAACUAGAGGGGAAGAGAAAAUAAAUUUACCAAAUAAAGCCCAUGACACAUGUUGAGACUUCACCUUCAACCCAAGCUUGAAAGAAAAUUAGCUACUCAUAAUUGAACUAGGGGCAAAAUGGGAAUUUAUUAAAAUACGUAGAAAAUACAAGAUGGAGAGAGAAUUACAGAAAAUGGAGUCCAAAAAUGGAUUUAGGGAUAUCAAAUUAGGGGGAGAGGCCCCCUUUUUAUAGAUACAUUGAGUAAAUCGUGGUCAUCGGAUAAAAAAUAGUUUGGACGCUCAGGAUUGCGCCACGUCAUCAGUCAACAGUCCGCGUGAACAGUACACGAUUUGACCACGCGGAUGAACAGUAACACAGUUUGACCCGGGUGAACAGUGACGCAGUUUGGUUGAAAAUGAUCCUGUGUGUUGCAUGUACCGUACAUGAGAUUUUUGAUCCACUGAUAUGCUGCCACGUCAUCGAUCAACAGUGCAUAAGAAUUUUAGUCCAACAGGAUCGUGACACCUCAUCAGUCAAUGCCACAUCAUCGGUCAAUGCCACGUCAUCGAUCCGUCUAUGUGAACAGUGCCGUGAACAGUAACGUAGACAGUACCCGUACAUGUGAAUAGUACCGUAUAUGUGAAUAGUAUUAUUUUUCUUUUUAUGCUCCUCCUAAGAUUUUUGACCGUCCUAAGUUCAAAAAUGAUGUCCGUUUUGCCAUCUGAUCUCUCGUUUAUUGUGAAAUGACUGUGAUACCCCUAAAAUACAUAAAAUACUUGAUUAAAAUAAAACACACGUAAUUAAAUUACAAGUAAGGGUUGUUAGUAAGACAUUUUCUAACACUCAACAAACAGCUCGGCCAACUCUUGGUAUAUCUGCUCGUAUCCCCUUAUACUUCCUCGUGGUAGCUUACGAUACCAUUCUCUGGCUCGUCCUUCUAGUGUCAAUGGGAACACCCUGCACCUCUGAGCUGCUGUUAGCCCCUGUAUGCCCGUCAUGUCAUUGAAGCACUCAAUGUGCACUAGCGGGUCGCUUCUCCCGGAGUACUUGAGGUUGGGAAAGCAGAAAUCUCUUGGGAUAAUAGUGCUUAUGAUCUCGGCUGAUAGCGGAGAUUCUUCAUCCAGCAUUAUCCUCCAGCUUGGAGGCUUUCUCUUGCCCUAUAUCUCAUCCAUCACCUGCGCUAGCCUGCGCACCUCACCUUCCAAUUCCAAAGCACGGUCAAGGUCGCGCGCAGCUACUUGAUCUCGCUCCUGCUCGGCAUUAUGCAGUCGCUGUCUGAGCUCGCCUUCGUCAACAUUUACUCCUCGGUCAUUGAUUUCUAGAACUCGCCCAAGGCGAGAUUGAUCUCUCCUUUCAUCCACACGCUCCCCGGGGAUCCGACCAGCACUUCUAUGGGGAUGUAUCCCAUAGGGUUGUUCUACUAGCGGAGGGAUCUCCUCGAUUCUACGCCUUCGUAGGUUGGGUUCCGCCAUAGUUUCAUCCCUUACCACAGUGGUCUCGCCUUCCCUUCUCCGCUCAUCCCUAAAGUCAUAUAAUAUAGCUGUGAGCGUCUCCAUUUGGUUUGCCAUCUGUUCCAUUCGGUCUUGCAUCAUCCUCUCUCUAGCUUCAUUCGCGAUCUCUCGGAGAGUGAUCGAUUCACCAGUUUCAUUGUCGCCCCCUAAGGCGUCCUUCCUUGUCAUAUCCAUAACUAAUCGUUCACUGCGUCUCUGGUGAUUACUAACUUGAUGGUAGCUUUUUAUCCAGCUCCCUACAGACGGCACCAAAAUGUUGAUGCUGAAACAUGCUUGCCCUCUGCCCGGCCAGAUCGUUCCACUAACGUUUGUGUAUUCAAUGGAGAGGAUACUGCCCUUUUGCCUCCUUCAGCAACUACGGAUGCUCCAGGGGUUGGAAUUACCUUUUUCCCUUCUUUCUAAUCCUGCACUCACAGAGAUAGAUAAGAGACGCCGGUGGUUUUAUCGGCGUAAACCCUCCGAUGCUUAAGUUAGCACAAGAUGUUUUACGAGAAAAUUAUGUAACUUGGAUUGUUUGGUUUCUUGUAAUGCUUUCUAAAACUUGUAAAGAAUAUAAUCUGGUUUUAAUUUGGCAGAGUUUUCCUUUUUCUCUCAAUUUUCCAUCCCCUUUUUCAUCGGUUUUCCAGCUUCUUAUAGCUGUUGUCCCACGUUCCUGUCUACUCCUCAUGCCCCCCCUUUUAUUGGGUGAUGGCAGGCCUUCAUGGGCCUCCAACCACUGAAUUGUGGGUAAACGUGGGAUGACAUGUCCCUCUCGAUGGUUUAGGGCAUAGCGAAACUGCCGCAUUUUCGUGAGAUCGUGUCCUCCUUCUUUGGGUGAUGGGUAUCUGGUCGGUAUAUGUCUCUAGUUGAUACAUUCCUCUGGUCAAUGCUCGUCUCUAGUAGGCCCACGUUUGUAUGAGGCAUUUUACCAGGGCUCUUCUCGUGCCGCUGAGGUGAUUCGCCUCGGGGUGGGAAAUAGGGGCAUGGCCGAGCUGGUGCUCUUUAUUACUUAACAACUGUCUUUGAAAAUUUUGGCUAAGUUAGUAGGCCACAAAAUUUUAUUAACCAUCUAUGCAAUUAUAGAGCAAUCCCCUCCAAAUAGAAUGAUGCCAAUUGUAUUUAUUGUUCUAGGACUACAUUCUCAAAUCCGAAGAAUUAUUCCACCUUAUGAAUCCAACCAGUCGGAUCAUCUCCGUUGAAAUUUGGAAAGUUUAGUUUGAGAUAGUGGUGAUGGUUGGGAAAGUUUGAGGAGAAAGGUUUUAUGGCUUGGUUAGAGGAUGUUGUAGCCUGUAGGUGCAAAGGGGUUAAUUUCAGAGGCAAUUAUGUGUGAGGUUUGUGAUGCACGAAGAGAUUGAAGAUUUCUUGAACCUCAUUACGAAACUCAGCAUUUGAUUGACUUCGGGUAGCCGUAUUUCGAGCAACCUUUGUUUGAUACCAGAUGAUAGGUAAUUUCUUAGUUUAGAAAGGAAAGUAUGAAAAGUAGAGGAAGAAUAUAAGUUGUUUAGAAGGAAAAAGAUAAUUUUUAUUCCAAAAGCAUGCCCACUAUAAAUCCAAUAAUUUCUCUUAAAUAAACCUAUACAUAUACCAAAAACUAAAAAACUAGAAAAGAGGAAAAUCACUUGAAAAUAAGAACAUGAUCAAUUAAAACGGUAACAUGCACAACCGCCACGAAUCAAAACCAAUCGAUUUUAAAUAGUAUGAAUUGAAAUCAAAUUAAACCAAACCAAACUAAAUCGGACCGAACCGAAAUAUUAGGUUCGGUUCUAAAUUUUGGUUUGAUUUUGGUUCAGUUCUAAAUUUUCGGUUCGAUUCUAACUUGUUGUUUUAACACCACGAUUUAUGUUCGUUGGAAGUAUCUUCCUCGUCGUCCAAAAUUCAUCCCACUUGCAGCUCAUUCUCUCAUGCAAUCCCUCAUCUUCUGUAGUGAUUUGAUUGCUCUGAUAACUAUAAGCAAUAAACCACUGCCCAAGAAAUUUUGCCAAGAACAAUUCAAGAUGAAAAUAAGCCAAUGAUUGAUUUAAAGUUCUAAUGAUGAAACGAAACCUUAGCUCUAGGUUAAUGGAGAUUUAACAAAAGAUUGAAACAAAUCAAGAAGCAAACACACUCAAUGCAAAGACAGGAUUUUAAUGUGGUUCAAUUAUGCACAAAGUUCAUAAUCUACAUCCGCGGGAGAAGCCACAAAAAUCUCUUUAUUGAUGAUUCAAGAUGAAUUUUAUUGAGAAAAUACAGAGAUCGUUACAAGGAACAAGAUUACUCUUUCUCACUUUCUAGAAACUCUCUGAAAAGCUCAAUCACACACACGUAAUCUGCUUCAACAACCAGCCUCUUUAUACUCUCUUAUGAAAACCCAGAUUGCACAGCCCUUUGACACGUGUGUAACAGCUUCUAACGACUUGAUUCCUCCCUCACAUGCUAGCUCACGUGUUUUACUUAAGUUUCCUAAAAACGACACAAAGCAAUGUCGUUCUGCCUUAUGCUGAAGAGCCCGUGACUGCACGUGAGUUGUAAGUAAUUCCAACUGAUCAAAACGCAAUCGUUUUGGGACUCUGAGUUUUGAAUUCAUAACACUCCGGUCCACAUCUUCCUCACCCACUAAUAUAAACAAAGCACAAAACAAUUCCAAUCUCAGAAUUAAGAUCAUGCUCAGACAAAUCCUUAAGCCCAUCAGCGAUCUAUCGUCUACUGCGAGCUAAUCGAGAGUGCCAUCUAAUACGAGGUGGCUGAGAGACCGUGAGAGUGAGAUGUUGACCAGAGAUAGACAUAGUGAGAGUGAGCGUGGUUGCGUGAGUGUGGAAGAAAGGGGAUGCUGCUAUGCUGCGUGUUGUGCUUGAGAGUGAGCAUAGUUGCAUGAGAGAGAGAGGGGCUACUGCUAUGCUGUACUUGAGAGUGAGGGUGGUUGCAUGAUAUCUGCUCAAUAUGUAUGGGAUGAAGUUUCUGAUGGGUAAAAAUCAUGUUUUUAAAUUUUUAUAAAACCUUUUUAAGAUCGCUUUCAUAUAAUAUAUAAGAAUUUGUAAUCUAGAAAUCAUACCUUGAAAAUCCGAUUUAGCUUUUUCCGCUGGAAUGAUUUAGGCUCCCAGAUCACGAUCCAUCACCACCACUCCUGUUAGAUUACGAUCCGUCACCACCACGCUUGUUAGAACACGAACUGGCACCAAUGAUCUUCCAGGUUAUGACUCAAGUUUGAUCUGCACUUGACGUGUGGGCGCCUUUAUCACUACCAAAGCAACUAGCACAAGAAAACUUUUCUCUCAACAAUAGAGAGAAAAAUCUUUUUCUCUGAUCUGUAUAAAGUGCCUGCUCCCUUUUUCUUUAGAGAAAAUAAGCAUUUUAUAUCUCCCUUUAGUGAAAACCCUAAGCUCCAAAAAAUCAAAAAACAAAACUCACGUUACUUGCUUUUUCUAUAGGGGACACACCUUGUAAAAUAACAUAAUAGCCCUUACACACAAGCGAAUUAAAUGGAGCCUCCCACUAAAAGAUAUAUUUAGGCUUUUGACCCAAAUAGCUUAUCUUACUUAUUAGUCCAGUAGUGGUGCAUUCAAUUAAAUGAGCUAACCCGGGGAUCAUUUGGGAACAUACAAUAGUGGCUAUAACAAUUAGACCUGUAAUUAAACUAGCCUAAUUAUUUAAUUCCAAAUCUACUCCACUAAAAGAUUGGAAUUGACCUCCAUAAUUGUAUGCUCGAAUAAUAAUUUGUCCCAAGUCUAAUUGAUUUCUUUACUGCACAAUCCUUUGUAUCACAUCGUUAAUUCAAUUGAUAUCUCAACUGUCCAAUCAAUUUAAUAACAUCUUGUUCCUUGAUACUUAUUGGUUUUCUCUAAUGAUCAUUUUCAACAUACUAAAUAUGUUGACACACUCUGGCCAAAGAAUUCUAUGAUCAAGUGCCGAAAACCCAUCAAGAGAUGUAUUGUACAAAUUCUAUAUUGUUAAUCCAUAACUCCAAUACUCAUAAUUGCUCCCACCAAGAUACCGGGUAAUCUUGACCACAAGAAUGUGUCGUGCCCAUUGGUAACUCAAAUGGAAUAACAAUUACAAUCAUGAAAUCAUAAUUAACUCAAGAUUAAGAUUACAGUAAAAUCAAUAGAUUUAAUAAGUCUGACAGUCAUUUCAAUGUUAAUUAAAUCUCAUAUGUGAUCCUGUUCAAUGUAGUCGUACUACAUUAAUAAAUUCAUACAUGAUUAAGACAAAUCAUUCAAUGAAUUCAUUACAGUCUAUACUUAAAUAAAGUGCCCAACUUUAUUUAUCAACUGCGAACUAAAUUUAUUUAAUCAUAAGAUAACUUAUAUUUAUGUCUUCUGUGAAUCCACAUGGUGAUCACAUAAAUACAUAUAAUAUGAUUAAAUGGACUUUGAUCAAAAUAUUAAUGCAAUUAAGAUAUUUGAAUAAAAUACCUCAUUAAUUUUAUUAGUCAGAAAAAAUGUUUAUUAUAAUUAAAUAAACACAUAUACUUUUAAAGAGUAUAUUUUCCCAACAGUUUCUUCAGUUGGUUAUUUCACUUAGUCAAAAUAAAUUAUAGUAGUGGUUGCAUACCUGACUUUGGAGGUAAGGCUGGAGGCAAACUUCUACAUUAAUUUAUAACUUGUUUCACAACAUAUUACGGUUAUAAAUGAGACUUAAUCCAAAGACGGAAAGAGAGAAAUUUGCUACACUCUUUAGUAUCCAUUAUUGAGAAAAACACCAAAAUUAACUUUUACUUCUUUAAAAUCAUUUUUGAAACCUCCCAAAAGAUAUCUCAAAUGGGUUCUCAAUUUUUUAAAACAUUACUUUUGGCUAAACACCCCAUCCUCCAGUAGAUUUUGAAAAUGUCAAAAUGUAUAAGACACUCAUCCAGUGGGGGUUUCACAGGCUUACCUCUCUUAGAAGUCUUUGCAUUCUUGGAUGUCAUGAAGCAGAGUGUUUUCCAGACGAGAAGAUAGGAAUGACGCUGCCCAAUUCUUUAACUUGUCUGUCCUUUCGAGGAUUCAAAAACACAUUUAAGAAAUUGGCAAUUUGUUGUUAGUCACAGUAUCUGAUGUUCUUUUCUUUUAUAGUUUGCAGAAUCAACUGUAUUAUAUGUUGUCAUUUGCAGUAUCUGAGGUGCCUUUUGCAUUUUACUUGACCUUUAUUUGUUUUGCUAGUGACUGAAGAAUACCAACAUUGGUUAGAGAUUUGGAGAAGCAUCUGAAGAGGCUUGACAAAGUUGGAGAUGCACUUGCUCCCAAGCCUUCAAUCAUCACAAUGCAAAUCCGAUGAGUACUUAUGCCGGCAAUUAUGUAAAAUAUUUGAAAUUUUGAUUCAGGGAAAUGGUUUGUUGAUGCAAAGCUUUAAACUGUUAAGACUUACCUAGCAGGCCUGUUGGAUGUUGUAUCAACUCCAAAAUCCAACAAGAACUACGGCACCAAGACCCAUUUUUUACUGAUUCAAUCAGCUGAAAUGAUGAGGCAAAUCCCACGUGUUCGAAUCAGUCAUCCAUUUCAUGAACUGUUAUUUUCAUGAUGCUGGCUAUUGGAGUUGAAGAGGAAACAAGGAUGUGUUGGAAUCAAUGAGAACAGUGGGAAGCAUGACUCGAGCUCUGAUUAUAAAUAGACAUUUUAAAAACAUGUGCUGGUAAGUGGUGAUUAAAGAAAUUUGUGAGCUUAUUCAAGUUUCAGUAUUUGCUGUUUGGAUAAAGCUGAUACCAAGUUUGGCAAAAUCUGUGCUUUCUUUGUUCAAUCUGUGUUAUGGUUAAAGUAGAUGCUCUGAUUAAUAAGCCAGCCUACGAUAGCUGGCUCUAAUAAUCGGCUUCCUUUUUCUUGUUUGCUGUUGUAUAUUCUUUCAAUUUUUUUUCCGCAUUAGGACGAUCAGUUGAAGAACAAGUUUAUGUUUGACGAUGCAUUUAAGGAAGAGCCAGACUUGGAUGCAGAUCUGAAAAGGUUAGCAUGAACGAAAACCUUCAGAACUGACUGAAGGUUUCUGAGUUGAUCCUAAAAAUGUAGCAGUUGUCUGUUUCAUAAAGCAGAACAAAAACAGAAUAAGAGAUCACUAAUCAUGCUUGAGAAUUCAUUUAAAUAAAAUUUCAAAAAUUGCCAAACACAGCAUAAACUAGGAUGCACUUGCUUAAGAUUCAUUUUCAGAAGGAAGUUUGUACUUGCAGCUCAUAAAAUCAUGUUUAUGUUGUAUGUUUAUUCAGCAAAUGAAAGAUUCCAAGUUUGCUGAAACCAUAUUAUUUUUUUACCAGGCGCCUUCCUGAAGGUAUCGACGUCAAUUUCAAAAAUGUUGGGGAUAAGUUGCUUGAUGCAGUGCUACACAAAUAUGAAGGAUUUCUUGUCGGUGAUUACUACCACCUCGAUAAAAAAAUUCAUGGAACUGGUCAUGCCGGCAAUAAAAGAAGGAAAGGUGGUAUACGUCGAAGACAUAGAUGAAGGCCUCGAGUCCAUCAGCCCUCGUUGGGCUAUUCACUUGUCGGAAUGUCAGGAAACAACUUGUUGAAGUUGCGUGGGAAUUUUAAAACUACCAUAUGUUGUAGAAAUGCACUGAGCCAUGUGCUUUCAGAGCUUUGUGAAGAUGUCUUGGCCAUGUGUUUGAUACAGGUUAUGCUUGUUCCAUUAAAUUGUAUGCACUUAUAAAUCAAAGAUUCAGAACAUGUGUAUGUUACUGGUUUCCAGAAUCCAGAUCAAUAAAUGCCUCCAUGUAGAAGUUCAAAUUUUAAAUUUUUUGAAGUAGAGGUGUAGAGUUUCUUUUUUCAAAAAAGAAAAAGUAAAUUCUGAAGACUUUCUUUAUUUAAUUUUACAAUCUUAUUUUAUUUCUUUUACGAUAUAUUUUUAAAAUACUUAUUUAGUAAAUUAUUAACAUCUAUACCACUAAAAGAUUUUUUUUGUUAAACGCUCUACUUACAAAGUUAUAUUAAUUAUAGAUUUACUCAAAGAAGCCCUAUUUAAAAAGUUACAGCAAAAAAAGUCAUAGUUACCUUUAGUAAAUAAUAAUCUUCUAAUCUGUCUUACAACGGACUUUUGACAAAAGUGUGCUACUCCCACCUCCUCAAAGUCCACCCGACACCCCGUCUUCUCUAUUUAAAAUUUUAUAUAGUUGAAAAUUAUAUUUUCUUUUACUUGACGCCCCUCCAAAUUCUAAAACUUAGCUUCGAUGAACCUUCUUCGUUAAAUCUCGUUGCUUUCCUUUUUUCUUGUUACUUGAGAAGAAGAACCAGAGUCUAGAAGAAUGAAAGAAAAUUCAGCGUGAUAGAAAUUUAGAAAUUUCAUCCGAUCUUUUUUUCUUAAAUUUUUUGGUAUUUUGAUUCGUUCAAUGGAUUCUUGAUCAUUCUUCAUUCUUUCUAGUUUCUACCAUGAUUCGGAAAUUUUUCUUAAAAAAACUACUACUCUUGUGUAUUUAAAAAAAAAGGAAAGAAAGAAAAAAGGCAUUAAUAAAGAAUUGCGCACGUAACAUUAUUAGUACCCUGUUGAUUGGUCGUUUGGUCUUCAAGAAAUGCUAGUUAAUAUGUGCUUGAAAUUAUAUUCUGCUUUUUUUUUCCCUAUGUAUUGUUUCCCGUUUGAUUACAUUUCAAACAUUUUUAACACGAAUGAAUGUUUUAACCAUUUUUGUCACUUCAUUAUUACAAUAAGCUGAUUGAAGUUAUCUGCGUUGGCCCUGAAAAUGUAAUGGACACUACUCCGUUUACAUAAAACAGGACAAAACAUCGAUAUUUCUACCAUUGCCAUACAUAGUAUAGCCUAGGAAUACAUUUCCAUAAUUAAUAUUUAUUUCAGAAGGAACUUUUCACUUGCAGCUAACAGAAUCAUGUUAAAUUUAUGAUGUAUGUUUAUUUGGGAGAUGAAAGAUUCGCUGCAUUAUUUUAUUCCAAGUUUGCUGAAAUCAUAUUUGUUUUCCCGGCUGCUUUCCUGAAUGUAUCGACAUCUAUUUCGAAAAUGUCGGGGGUAAGAUGCUUGGUGCAGUGCUACUCAACAUGAGAAUUCAUCUUCUAACUCGUUACCUGAUAUUAUUGUCUUCUUGAAAAUUUAAUUAAGCUUAGAAGUCCCUUAACCACAAAAUCAAUGGAGUUUAACUCUAUCGAUAGACAACUUUUAAGUAAUAAACCAACACAUGAGUUCAUCUCUAUUGAUACUCAAGUUCUAAGUCCCUUAUUCAAUACUAAAAUCCAUGAGAAUUAAACUAACCGUAGUUUAACAUGUGAUUAACAAAUGGUAAAAGGUUCAAAAAAUACAUCAAUUAUAAAAGAAAUAAAAUCAGCAAAGAGACCACAUCAGAAAUUUCUUAGAUGUCCGAAACUAUUAAAAGAAUUCACAUACCAAAUCAAAAAAAGUAGAAAAUGCUUAAGCUCCUUAAGGUAAUUUGAAGUAUGAAAGUGAAUGGCAUAUAAUCCAAUAUAAAAAAAAAAUGGUUUUAGUGCCGUAUAAAGAGAAGUUAAUGGUGGUUACAGAAGUGGGGAAAGUUGAGUACAAAUCAGAUAAUGGGAGGUUCCUAAACUUCCUUAAAUCAAUUUUAAUUUCAAAAAUAAAAUAAUAAAAAAUAAAAAAUAGCAUAAAAGAAAUAAGAUAAAAAUUACUUUUCUAAAAUUGCAUGCAAGUAUACAAAAAUAACAUAUGUUGAUAUUACAUCGAGAAAGGUCCAUCAGCCCUAGUUGGGCUAUUCACUGCAUAGAAUGUCGGAGAACAACUUGUUGUGGUAGCUGUUGGGAAAAUAUGCUCUUUAAAAGCAUGUGUGUUUAUUUAAAUGUAAUAAACAUUUUUUCUGAUUAAUAAAAAUAAUGAGGUAUUUUGUGCAAAUAUCUUAAUUGCAUUAAUAUUUUUAUUAAAGUCCAUUUAAUCAUAUUAUAUGUAUUUAUGUGAUCACCAUGUGGAUUCACAGAAGACAUAAAAUACAAGUUAUCUUAUGAUUAAAUAAAUUUAGUUCGCAGUUGAUAAAUAAAGUUGUGCACUUUAUUUAGGUAUAGAUUGUAAUAAAUUCAUUGAAUGAUUUGUCUUAAUCAUGUAUGAAUUUAUUGAUGUAGUACGACUACAUUGAACAGGAUCACAUAUGAGAUUUAAUUAACCUUGAAAUGACUGUCAGACUUAUUAAAUCUCAUUGGCAUUGAUUUUACUGUAAUCUUAAUCUUGAGUUAGUUAUGAUUUCAUGAUUGUAAUUGUUAUUCCAUUUGAGUUACCAAUGGGCAUGACACAUACAUGUAGUCUAGAUUACUCGGUAUCUUGGUGGGAGCAUUUAUGAGUAUUGGAGUUAUAGAUUAACAAUAUAGAAUUUGUACAACACAUCUCUUGAUGGGUUUUCGGCACUUGAUCAUAGAAUUCUCUAGCCAGAGUGUGUCAACAUAUUUAGUAUGUUGAAAAUGAUCAUUAGAGAAAACCAGUAAAGAUCAAGGAAUAAGAUGUUAUUAAAUUGAUUGGACAGUUGAGAUAUCAAUUUAAUUAACGAUGUGGUACAAAGGAUUGUGCAGUAAAGAAAUCAAUGUGGCUUGGGACGAAUUAUUAUUCGAGCAUACAAUUAUGGAAGUCAGUUCCAAUCUUUUAGUGGAGUAGAUUUGGAAUUAAAUAAUUGGGCUAGUUUAAUUAUAGGCCUAAUUAUUGUAGCCACUAUUGUAUGUUCCCAAAUGAUCCCCGGGUUAGCUCAUUUAAUUGACUGCACCACUACUGGACUAAUAAGCAAGAUAACUAGCUAUUUGGGUCAAAAGCCUAAAUAUAUCAUUUAGUGGGAGGCUCCAUUUAAUUAGUUUAUGUGUAAGGGGUCUUAUGUUAUUUUACAUGGUGGGUCCCCUAUAAAAUAAAAAGUAACGUGAGUUUUAUUUGUGAGCCUAGGGUUUUCACUAAAGGGAGAUAUAUAAGGCUUAUUUUCUCUAAAGAAAAAGGUGAAGCCACUUUAUACAGAUCAGAGAAUAAGAUUUUUCUCUCUAUUGUUGAGAGAAAAAUUUUCUCGUGCUAGUUGCUUUGGUAGUGAUAAAGGCGCCCACACGUCAAGUGCAGAUCGUACUUGAGUCAUAACCUGGAAGAUCAUUGGUGACAGUUCGUGAUCUAACAAGCGUGGUGGUGACGGAUCGUGAUCUAACAGGAGUGGUGGUGGCGGAUCAUGAUCUAGGAGCUUAAAUCACUUCAGCGGAAAAAGCUAACUCGGAUUUUCAAGGUACGAUUUCUAGAAUACAAAUUCUUAUAUAUUAUAUGAGAGCGAUCUUCAAAAGGUUUUAUAAAAAAUUUAAAAACCUAAUUUUUCCCCAACAAUUGGUAUCAGAGCCAUCUCAUAUUAAUAUAUAAGAAUUUCGUAUGAAAUUAAUCUUGAUAUUUAUGUAUUAGAGUGGCACAAUUUAUUCAGAUAUAUAUUAUUUGUUUAAUAUAUGAAUAAAGCAUGUUUAUGGUUUGUCUUAAUUCAUGGUUAGAUUUUCUGUUGUAUUUUUCGUUUGGAUCUUUAACAAGAGGGGUGGUUUUUAUCACAAUGUUUCCCUCUUGAUUUAUUUUACUGUUAUAGAAUUUUUGUAAGCCAAAAAUUGGCCUAGGAAAUUUGUAAAUAAAUCACGGAUGACAAAUCAAAGCGACGGAGGCCGGAAAUUUCGACAUCGACCGCUGACCAGCGCACUCGCUACAACCAACGAGCGGCACACGCUGCAAGCGCAUGCUGGCAGUGCGCGCAGCAAGCAGCGCGCGCGGCCAGCCUGGCCAGCGGCGCGCGUUCCAGCAAGCAGCGCGCGCAGGGAUGGUUUGUUUCCGGCAUAUCGGCAACGGCAAACUCGACGUUGAUAGCGGCUGUCCGAUGAGAUUGGCCUGAACAGUGGCCGUUUGUGGAGAUGGCGACUGGGGAAGAAGAAAGAAAGAAAAAUAUGGAUUUAGGGUUUCAUGGCUUUUAUCAUGGAGAUCCCUAUGGUUCCAUAAUUUUUCACUUGGGCAAUUAAGUUUUAAUUUUUUGCAUUUAAGUCUAAAAAUAGUUUUCGGCUUAAAGAAUCCUAGUUUUAGGUCCAAUUGAAAUUUGGGCUUAAUGGAUUAAAAAUGCAUAGAUAAAAUUAAAUACAUUAAAAUUUAUUUUUGGUCCAAAAGUUUUAUUUUAAUAAAAAAAAUUAUUUAUUUAUUUAUUUCCUUUAAAAAUUAAAAUUGGACCAAUUAGAAAUUAUUUAUUUAUCUCUCAUUUGUACUUGGGAGACAGUCUAUUGUAAGUAGUGUGUAUUUUUGCAUGUCUAGGAAAGUUCUGUCAACAAAGGCGAUAAGUGUAUAAGGAUUCUGGUUUUUAAUUGGGACCAAGUUCCCAUCUAGUUUCCUGGAAACUUUCUUGGUGCAUUUAUUCACGCGAAAUUAACAUCAUAGAGACUGUUUUUCAAGUGAAAAUAGUUCGUUGAGAAAAUGGUAGAAGGUGAAACUUUCAAAAUUGGGGAGAGAUCUACCGAGACUAUUUCAGGAGACACUUCAGGUGGGAGGCGAGAUUUGUCAAAUCGCUAUUCAGCACCUGUAUAGAAGGCCAGAAGAUCGAUGUUGAAAAGUUUGAUGGGAAAAUCAACUUCGGCAUGUGGAGGCGCGAAGUUAUGGAUGCCCUUAUUCAAAUCGAUCUCGAUGUUGUUCUGAAAAAUAAAAGACACUUGUAUGAUGAAGAAAUUUGGGAUCGUAUGAAUGAAAAAGCAUGUGGUCAGAUCAGAUCUUGUUUGACCAAGGAGGUGAAAUACUUGGUGAAAGAUGAGGAGUGUGCGGUGACUUUGUGGCGUACAUUGGAGGAGAAGUACCUGGUGAAAAGUCCUGAAAAUCGCCUUCAUGCAAUGAGCCAAGUAUAUGGCUUUCGAAUAAAGUCUGGGGUGUCAAUGCACGAUCAUGUUUUAAGAUUUGAAAAGUUACUUGCUGAUUUGAAGAAUCUUGAUGAAGAUAUUAAGGAUGAAGUCAAGGCUAUGAUUCUGUUACACUCACUACCAGAGGAAUAUAGCCAUUUUGUGACUACUUUAAUAUAUGGGAAGAGUGUGAUCAUCUUUAAAGAUGUUUGCACAACAUUGACUAGCUUAGAGAUUCGAAAUAAUGAUAAAAAUUCUAAACGAGCAUCGUCUGAAGCUUUGGUGAGUAGAGAUUGGGCGAUGGAGAAACAAAAGAAGCGUGGUGGAAAGAAUUCUCGAUCCAAAUUGAAAAGCAGAAAUAUAGCUCGAGAUGAGUGUGCCUUUUGUCAUGAAAAGGGCCAUUGGAGGAAAGAUUGUCCAAAGGCUCAAAAGAGAGAUGGGAAGAAACCAGCAGCAGCAAACAUGGCACGGAAAGAUGAGGGCUCUGAUUAUUCACUAAGUAUUACUCUUGCAGCAUACGUGGCUAGUUCGAGUGAGUGGAUACUUGAUACUGGAGUGGUUUACGGAUUUUUAUCAUUUGUGUCCUAUUAAGGAAUGAUUUACGGAUUUUCGUAAUCUGGAAUCCGGUGCAGUUGUGAUGGGGAAUGAUCAACCUUGUCGCACAAUGGGGAUAGGAACAAUUCGGCUCAAAAUGUUUGAUGAAAUGAUCAGAGAACUCAAAGAGGUUAGAUUUGUUCUAGCUUUAAAGAAAAAUCUAAUUUCUGUGGAUUUCUGUGGGUGCUUUGGAAGCUAAAGGCUACAAGGUUACCAUUGAAGAUGGUAUAAUGAAGUUUACACAUGGGGCUAUGGUGAUUCUGCAAGGGGUUCGGUGUCACAAUCUGUACUAUUUGAAGGGAGGUACAACUGAUGAAGCAAAUGUUGUUAAGGCGCACAGUGACACCACCAAGCUAUGGCAUGUACGAUUGGGACAUGCUGGAGAGAAGUCUUUGCAAACUCUGAUGAGGCAUGGACUCUUAAAAGGUACCAAAACCUGUAAAUUAAAUUUCUGUGAGCAUUGUGUAGUAGGCAAGAAAACAAGGGUCAAGUUUGGUAUAGUUAAUCACGAUACUCGUGAGAUUCUUGAAUAUGUUCAUAGUGAUGUAUGGGGACCAACCAAGACUGCAUCAAUUGGUGGAAGCCAUUACUUUGUUACAUCUAUUGAUGAUUUCUCUAGACGUGUGUGGGUGUACACCAUGCGAGCAAAGGAUGAGGUUCUAGAGAUUUUCGUGAAAUGGAAGAAAUUGGUGGAGACUCAAACUGGCAGAAAGAUCAAAGUAUUACGAUCUGAUAAUGGGGGUGAAUAUACUUCUGAUCCAUUCUUACAAGUAUGCCAGAACGAGGGUAUUAAAAGACAUUUCACGGUGAGACAUACUCCGCAACAGAACGGUGUGGUUGAGCGUAUGAAUCGUACUUUACUGGAGAAGAUACGGUGUAUGUUAUCUAAUGCUGGUUUAGAUAAAAAGUUUUGGGCUGAAGCUGUGAGCUACGCAAGUCACUUGGUAAACCGGUUGCCUUCUGCUGCAAUUGGAGGUAAAACUCCUAUGGAAAUGUGGUCUGGAAAGCAUGCACAAGACUAUGAUUCCCUUCGUGUAUUCGGGUGUUCAGCUAAUCAUCAUGUCAAAGAUGGUAAACUGGAUCCUCGUGCUAGAAAAGCUAUCUUUGUGGGAUUCAAAGGUGGAGUAAAGGGCUUUAAGCUUUGGGAUCUCGAAGACAAAAAGUUUGUGUGUAGCAGAGAUGUCACAUUUGAUGAAGCUUCAAUGAUGAAAGCGUCAAGUUCUCAGCAGGUGGAGAACAAGACCAAAAAGGUAUUGCAGCGGGUGGAGUUUGAUGCAACUCCAUAUGUACCAGUUAGUUCUACAUCAAAUAAGAGUUCAACUAUGGAGGUGACACCUAGAGUUGAAGAAGAGGUCAUUUUUUCUGAUGUCUCACAAAAUGAAGAAACAAUUGAUGAUGUAGAUAAUGAUGAUUUUAUAGCAACAAGGAGGCCAAGAAGAGAGAUAAAGAAACAGGGAUGGCUUACUAAAGAUAUGGUGGUAGCAUAUGCACUUCCAGUUAUUGAUGAUGACAUCCCCAACACUUUUUGUGAAGCAUUACGCAGCAGUGAAAGUGAUCAGUAGAAGUUAGCCAUGGAGGAAGAGAUGAAAUCUCUCCAUCAAAACCAGACUUGGGAACUUGUAAAGUUACUAAAUGGGAAAAGGGCUAUUGGUAAUAAAUGGGUCUACACCACAAAGCAAGGAUCUCCGAAUCAAACAACUCCUCGAUACAAGGCAAGGCUCGUGGCAAAAGGUUUUGCUCAAAAGGAAGGUAUUGACUACAAUGAAGUUUUCUCCCCAGUUGUAAAACAUACUUUCAUUCGUAUCCUACUUGCCGUCGUUGCAGAAUAUGAGUUAGAGUUGGCUCAAUUGGAUGUUACGACGGCGUUCUUACAUGGAGAUUUGGAAGAGGAAAUCUAUAUGAUUCAGCCUUGUGGUUUCAAAGUUGCUGCAAAGGAGAAUCAUGUGUGUAGGUUGAUUAAAUCUUUGUACGGACUGAAGCAAUUGCCAAGGCAGUGGUACAAAAGAUUUGAUCAAUUUAUACAAGGGCAGAAAUUCACCAGAAGUGAACACGAUCAUUGUGAUUACUUUAGAAGACUACCAGAUGGAGCUUUCAUCUAUUUGUUACUCUAUGUCGAUGAUAUGCUUAUAGCUUCGAAGAAUAGAGAUGAGAUCGAAAGAUUAAAGAAGCAGCUGGCUUCUGAGUUCGAGAUGAAAGACUUGGGUGAUGCACAGAGAAUACUUGGGAUGGAGAUUCGUAGAGACAAGAAGAAUGGGAGCGUAUGAUUGACUCAAAAGUCUUAUUUGAAGAAAGUGCUAGAAAGAUUCAGUAUGGAUGACAAAACUAAACCGGUAUGUACACCUCUAGCUCCUCAUUUCAAAUUAAGCUCUUCUUCAUGUCCUAGAUCUCAAGAAGAGCGCGAUUACAUGGCUCGUGUUCCAUAUGCUAGUGCUGUGGGUAGUCUUAUGUAUGCUAUUGUAUUCACAAGGCCCGAUAUAUCUCAAGCAGUGAGCAUGGUUAGUAGAUACAUGCACAAUCCGGGUAAAAAUCAAUGGCUUGCGGUAAAGUGGAUUCUCCGAUAUUUGUAUGGGACAGUUGAUGUUGGGUUAUUAUUCAAGAAAGAUUGUGGUCAACAAUGUGUUGGGUAUUGUGAUUCUGAUUUCGCUGGAGACCUUAACAAGAGAAGAUCAACAACGGGCUACGUAUUCACAUUGGGUGGAGGUCCGGUUAGCUGGAGAUCGAUUCUACAAUCGACAAUUGCUCUAUCCACUAUGGAAGCAGAGUAUAUGGCAGCAAUUGAAGCUGUAAAAGAAGCUAUCUGGUUGAAAGGCUUGUUAGGUGAUUUGGGAGUAAUCCAGGAGAACAUUACGAUCUUCUGUGAUAAUCAAAGUGCGAUAUUCCUUGCAAAGAAUCAAACAUAUCACGCUCAGAUGAAGCACAUAGAUGUGAAAUAUCAUUAUGUGAGGGAGAUUAUCGAGAGCGGUGUUGUGUUGUUGAGAAAGAUCGAUACCAAAGAUAAUCCAUCAUAUAUGUUAAUGAAGGUAGUUUCUGGAGUUAAGUUUCAACAUUGCUUGAAACUAAUUCAAAUCCUUCGAUUGUGUUAAGAUAUGUCCUUCGGAAAUUUUGAACUACGGUUGGCUUGAUCCCAAAUUUUGGGUACGUUUGGCAGUCACAGAGAUACAGCCACUUUGCGGAUGAUGAUUGGUUGGGAGUCGGCUCAGAUUUGAACAAACCUUCGCCGAGGUGGAGAAUUGUUGAAAAGUCAAAGAAUUGCUUGCCAAUUUCAAAAGCAAAGUUGGUGGGUUUGCCAAAUUCAAAAAAACAAAGUUGGCCGGCUUGCUAAUUUCAAAAGGCAAAGUUAGGUGUUGAAAAACUUGUACAUGCAAUAUAAGAUCCAGCUCAACGUUUUGACCAAAUGAACCCAACUUGGAGCAGAAUGCACUCUAUAAAUAGAGAAGCAUUUUGCAAUUGUCAAUCAUCCCAACAAUUUGUUAAGCUUAUAAAUUUCUAAGCUUUUGAGAGUUCUAAGAGUGUGAAUAAUUGGAGAGUGUGUGUGAGAGUACUUGGUAUAUUUGGGUUCUGGGAAAGUGAGAUUUCUUUACUCAAAUAAUUAUUAAUAAUAUAAUUAUUUUUCUCUUGCUUCCGUGGACAUAGGCAUAUUGUCGAACCACGUAAAUUUUGUGUCCUUUAUUUUUCAGUAAUUAUUUGGUGUGUUUGAUUCCGCAUUCCGCGCACAACACCUACAGGUGACUAAUUAAUGGGAAAUUGACAAUGACAAAAGCAAUUUAUGAGUUUUGUAGGCUGGCAUGCCUAUGUUAUAGCAUUGUUCGAUGAACUGCCACACCACAUGUUUUUGACGAGAAAUAAAAACAUCAAGAUAUUGCCCGCUUGCCGUAUUCCACAUCGUGAAUUGUAUCUCUGUUCCUCAAUUUUCAGUGUUCCAUACAUAAAACCAUUUUCAGUUUCUCUUGUUAUCAAUUCAAUUUUCUUGUUCGUGACGAUCUUGAUUCCUUUCUUUCUGGUAAAACGGAGCCAUGUUUGCUGUUGGAGAGGUCUUCCUCAACGCUUUCUUUCAGGUGUUGUUUGACAGGUUGGCUUCUCGUAAUUUGCUCAGCUUUGUGCGUCAACUCCAAGGCGGGGUUGAUUCGGAGCUCAAAAAGUGGGAGAAAAAGCUGAAGAUGAUUCAGGUUGUGCUUAGCGAUGCAGAGGAGAAGCAACUGACUGACGAGGCUGUGAAGAUGUGGCUGGACGAACUCCAAGACUUGGCUUAUGACGCUGAGGACAUUCUUGAUGAGUUUGGUACUCAAGCUUUGGAAAGGAAGUUGAUGGCGAAAAAUCAGGAUAGCACUGGCCAGAUUCUUAGUUUCAUACCGGCUAGUUUGAAUCCGAAUGCUAUUAUGUCCAAUUAUAGCAUGGGAUCCAAGAUUAAAGAUAUUACUAGCCGGUUGGAGCAACUCUGCCAAUAUAGAAUUGAACUUGGGCUGCAACGGAUUGCUGGAGGGGCAUCAUCACCUACUGCUGCUGCACACCAGAGGCCACCCAGUUCAAGUAUCACAACAGAGCGUGAAGUAUUCGGAAGAGAAGAAGAUAAGGCCAAAAUUCUUGAUAUGGUAUUGACCGAUAUUAGAAUUCGUAAUAAGAUGUUUGGAAACAAAGAAAAACAGAGAAAAUGAAAAAGGAAACUUCACGAUUUAUUAACCAGAAUAUUCAAUGCUUAUUAAGCUUACUUAGCUAAGCUUAUAUACAAUUAUUCUAACUAAUUAAACAACUGCAAAACAACUAAUAACAACUUCAGAUUUAGUUUAGCCAUUGAGCUCUUGCCACAUGUCAUUCAGUUACAUUCAAUCUUGUCCAGCUCAGCAGCUCUGUCCAGCUCAGCAGCAACUAUAUCUUCAACAUCCCCCCUCAAGCUCAACCGAGGAAGUAAGGUUGAGCUUGUCACGUAAGUAGAGAAAAGGGUGAUAAGAAAGAGCUUUGGUGAGAAUAUCAGCAGUUUGUUCUGAGCUAGAAAUAUAUUGAACCUUAAGACAUUGAGCAGCAACUUUCUCUCGAACAAAAUGAACAUCUAAUUCAAUGUGUUUUGUUCUGGAAUGAAACUUAGGAUUAGAGGCUAAAGCAGCUGCACUUUGAUUAUCACACCAUAUGAUUGGAAUGGAGGGAAGAGUAAGACCAAUCUCAGCAAGAAGAGAACGAAUCCACAAGACUUCAGCUGCUGCCAUUGCUAGUGCUCGAUAUUCAGACUCAGCACUAGAUCGAGAGACCACUGCCUGUUUCUUAGAGCACCAAGACACUAGAUUUGGACCCAUAUAGACACAAUAACCAGCCACUGACCUCCUAUCAUCUCUGUCUCCAGCCCAAUCAGCAUCACUGAAACAAUCAAUCUGUAUGCUGCCAUGAUUGUAGAACUGUAAACCAAGAUUAACAGUACCCUUCAGAUAUCGUAAAACCCUUUUACAAGCCUGCCAAUGAUUGACAGUUGGAGAAGAUAGAAACUGACUGAGCUUGUUGACAGAGAAAGCAAUCUCUGGUCUGGUCAAUGUUGCAUACUGAAGAGCACCUAUGGUGCUUCUGUAUAGAGUAACAUCAGAAAAGGGUUCACUAUCAGCUUUAGUAAAAGCCACUCCAGAAAGCAUAGGAGUAGAACAAGGAGUACUAUCCUGCAUGUGCACCUUGGCAAGCAAAUCAGUGAUAUACUUGGAUUGAGAAAGAUGAAUACCAGAUUUAUUGUAAAUGACCUGAACUCCCAGAAAAUAAUUCAAUGCACCAAGAUCUUUAAGUGCAAAAACAGACUGGAAGUUGGUGAUGGUCUGCUGAACAAGCUGAGGAUUGGAGCCUGUAAUAAUAAUAUCAUCUACAUACACCAAGACAAGUAGCAGAUGACCUUGUGUGCUCUUAAAGAAGAGUGAAGUGUCUGAAAUAGAAUUUGUAAAGCCCCACUGAGUUGUAAGAACUAGUUUGAGUCUGUCAAACCAUGCCCUUGGAGCCUGUUUAAGGCCAUAAAGAGCUUUGUGCAGCUUACAGACAUAAUCAGGCCUGGAACUAUCUAUAAACCCCUCAGGCUGUUGCAUAUAAACUUCUUCAGUGAGGUAGCCAUUAAGGAAGGCAUUAUUAAUGUCUAUUUGCCUCAGUACCCAAUGAUUCAUGACAGCCAUACUCAAGAUAAUUCUGAUGGUUGAAGACUUAAUGACAGGACUGAAUGUUUCAUGAAAAUCCAGCCCUUGAGUUUGGUGAAAUCCCUUAGCAACAAGUCUAGCUUUGUAUCUAGAGACACUGCCAUCAGGAUUAUAUUUAAUCCGAAAUACCCACUUAUUCCCAAUUACUUUAAUGGGAUGUGUAGGUUUGACAAGAGUCCAGGUAUGAUUAUUGACUAAGGCUUGAUAUUCAUCUGUCAUUGCUUUAUGCCAAGCUGAAUCUUGAAGGGCUUUUAAGGUAGUAGCAGGUUCUGUAGGUUUGGUAGGAUUGGCUGUAAUAUAGGCUUUAGGUUUGAAGAUACCAGCCUUUGAUCGAGUGAGCAUUGGAUGACCAGUAGAUGACUGCAAUGGUGGAGUUAAAUGAUGAACAGGUGAGGUAGAUGGUUCUGAGUGUGAUUGUAUAGAAGAUUGAGAAGGAGAGUCUGGAGAGGAUUGAGAGAACCUGAGAUCAGCUGCUGUAGAGGAUGAAGACUUGGUUAUAUCAAGUUGAAUCAAAGGACAAACAGAAGAUGAACAAUGUGAAGAAGACUGAGAUGAAUGAUCUGAAGAAGAGCAAGAGUGACUGACAGAGGAAAAAUCAACUCCUGACUGAAAAGGAAAACAUGACUCAUCAAAUGUAACAUGGUUACUGACAUAGAUUCUACCAGAGGAAUGAAGACACAAGUAGCCUUUGUGAAGGGAGCUGUAACCAAGAAAAAUACAUCUAGCAGUUCGAAACUCUAACUUAUGAUGAUUAUAAGGCCUCAGAUAUGGGAAACAAGCACAUCCAAAAACUCUCAUAACAGAAUAAUCUGGUCUUUUGUUGAAUAAUUUUUCAAAAGGUGAUUUGUUAUCCAGAAUGGGUGUAGGGAGCCUAUUUAUGAGAAAUGUGGCAGUAUGGAAAGCAUUCCACCAAAAUUUCAGUGGUAAAUGUGCUUGAGCAAGAAGGGUAAGGCCUGUUUCCACUAUAUGUCUAUGUUUGCGUUCAAUCUUUCCAUUUUGAUGGUGAAUAUAAGGACAAGGAUGUCUAAAUUGGAUUCCCUGCUCAGCAAGAUAAGGAAGAAAUGGCCUAAAUUCACCUCCCCAAUCUGUUUGAAGACACUUGAUUUUCCUAUUUAGGCAUUUUUCUAUCAUAUGCUGGAAUUCAAUAAAGGUUUGUAAGGCUUGAGAUUUGGUAACAAGAGGGAAUAUCCAGGUGAACCUAGUGAAAUCAUCUAAGAUGGAAAGAUAGUAGUGAUAGCCUUGAGAGGACAGCAAAGGAGCUGGACCCCAUAGAUCAGCAUGCAACAGCUCCAGUGGUUGAAUGGUAGUGGUGUCUAUAGAAGGAAAAUGCUGCAUGUGACACUUUCCAAAUUGGCAAGCAUUACAAAAAAUUGGUUUCAGGGCUCUAUUGAUAUCGAGAGAAGGAUGCAAAUGCUUCACAAUUUGUUUAAGAGCAUGCACAGUUGGAUGACCCAUUCUUUUAUGUAAAACAUUGUAAUCAACUGAUUUUGAAUGAGUAACAGACAAGGCCAUUGAGGCAUCAUUAUUGAAUUGAGAAAUAUUUACAUCUGUCAAAAUUUCUCCAGAAUGUAUAGAGUUUGAAACAUUGGAAUGACUAAUCAUUGACACUGGAGAGGAACAGACAUUUGACACAGAACUGGAAUUUGAGAUGACACAGAAAACAUUAGACGGAACUCUAUUUGAAACUGCAGCAUGAGACACUACAACAGGACCUUCAACUUGAUAUAAUCCUCCUCUAGCAAUCCCCUUGAGCAAGAUGAUCCCUGAUUUCUUGUCCUUGACAAAACAGGAGGUUUUAUGGAAUUCAACAACAACAUCAUUGUCAGCAAGUAAUUUAGAUACACUUAAAAGGUUUUUGGUUAUAGUUGGGACAUGCAAAAUAUUAUUAAGAUAGAUAGAUGUUGCAGCAAGUGUAUUCAAUCGUGUGCACCCAACAUGUUUAAUAUGUAAUCCCAUGCCAUUUCCUACAUGUAGCUUAUCAAAACCAUGAUAAACUGAGUAAGAAGAAAAGAUACCUGCUUCCUUAGUCACAUGAUUGGUUGCCCCGGAGUCAAUAUACCAAGCAGGAUCAGCUACAACUCCAUAAUCAGCAACUGGACCAGUGGGAGCAAAUUGUGCAGUGGGAAUAGCAGAAGGAGCAACUCCAUAGUUAGCAAAUGGAGUAGCAAUUGCACCAUUGUAUUGACCUUGUAAUCCUUGAAACACAAGAAACCCUUGAGGAUACAUAACAUUUGCAUUCUGAUAUGCAACAUUCCCUUGAAACAUGGGUGCAUUAUAUCUAGGAGCACCAGUUGCAGUUCCAUAAAAAUUUCCAUAACCUCUUCCAAACAUGUUCUGAGGCUGACCAGGAAAGCCUCUAAAAUUGAAUCCACCUCUAGGCCUAAAGCCACCUCUUCCUUGUCUAGGAAUAAAGUUCUGAUUAAAUCUGUUCCUGCAUUUGUAUGCUCCAUGACCAGGUAUGAAGCAUAUUUGACAAAUUACUUCCUUAUCAACAUUAUAUCCUCCUUUGCCAUUAUCAAAAUUUCCACCAUUAAAACCUCUCUGAUUAGCAUUAUUGAACUUAUUGUAAUUCUGUCCUUUCUGAGCAAAAUUAGCUGACAUAUCAUGCAACAAUUCAUUUUGCACCUUUCCCUUACUCAUCUCAACCCUAGUUUCAUGACUAAGCAUUAAGGAAUACACUUCUUCAAUAGUGAGAUUAUCUUUUUCCAGCCUAGCAAGUAUAGUUGUCACUAAUGACUCAUAGUUGUCAUCUAAACCAGUGAGCAAAUGCAUUAUAAAAUCUGUUGAAGCAAGAGGAUUACCACCAAUAGCUAAGCUAUCUGCAAUUUUUUUCAUCUUAUUGAAGUAAUCACUUACUGACAUAGCUCCUUUCUUUGUGGUUUGAAUCUGCAUUUUCAGAGGCAUGUAUCUAGCCUUUGACUGUGACAUGAACAUCUCGGCAAGUUUCUCCCAGAUCUCAAGUGAAGUAUCACAAUCCACAACCAUGAUAAGUACAUUGUCUACCAUAGAUGACAGCAUCCAGCUCUGUAGAAGCUUGUCAGCUUUCUUCCAGUCAAUAUAGUCAGAAUUUUCACGUCUGCUUGAGCUAGGAGCUUCUGAUCUACUGGCAGCAUUCUCAUAUGAGGAAAGAAAACGAUCUGGACAAGGAGAUUCUCCAUUGAUAAAACCUUCAAGUCCAUUGGCAAUAAUCGAAGCUUGAAUUUGAGCUCUCCACACCAGAUAAUUUGUUCGAUCAAGUUUUGUUGGUUGAAUAAAAGAAAAAGAAAGUGAAGACGAUCCUGAAUUGCUUUGAUUCGUCAUGUUUCGUGGCUCUGAUACCAUAUUAGAAUUCGUAAUAAGAUGUUUGGAAACAAAGAAAAACAGAGAAAAUGAAAAAGGAAACUUCACGAUUUAUUAACCAGAAUAUUCAAUGCUUAUUAAGCUUACUUAGCUAAGCUUAUAUACAAUUAUUCUAACUAAUUAAACAACUGCAAAACAACUAAUAACAACUUCAGAUUUAGUUUAGCCAUUGAGCUCUUGCCACAUGUCAUUCAGUUACAUUCAAUCUUGUCCAGCUCAGCAGCUCUGUCCAGCUCAGCAGCAACUAUAUCUUCAACAACCGAUACCCCCAGUGAUCAUGCCAACUUUGUUGUAAUACCCAUUGUUGGCAUGGGCGGGAUAGGAAAAACAACUCUUGCUCGGGAGGUCUACAAUGACAAGGCCGUUGAAGAUUCAAAGUUUGAUGUAAAAGCAUGGGUUUGUGUCUCUGAUGUCUUUGAUAUUUUGGGCAUCUCAAAGGCACUUCUCGAAUCAAUCACCCGCAGGCCUUGUCUUCUGAACAGUUUAAAUGAAGUGCAGGUUGAGUUGAAAGUAGCUGUGGAUAAAAAAAGAUUCUUGCUGGUCUUAGAUGAUGUUUGGAACGAGGACUACAGCUUGUGGGUAGACUUAAAAGCUCCAUUCUUGGCAGCUGCACCAAACAGUAAGAUGAUCGUCACCACAUGCAAUUCAAAUGUUGCAUCAAUAAUGGGACCAAUUGAACAUUAUAAUCUCAAGAGACUGUUAGAUGAUGAUUGCUGGUCCAUUUUCAUACAGCAUGCACUUGAAUCUAGAGAUCUUAACGCACAUCAAAUUUCAGAAUCGUUCCACAAGAAAGUUGUUGGCAAGUGUGGAGGCUUGCCCCUGGCAGCAAAAACAUUAGCGGGCCUUCUACGUACUACGAGGCAUGAUGCCUGGGACGAUAUCUUGGAUAGCAAACUAUGGGAUUUACCACGACAAAAUGACGUUCUCCCUGUGUUAAGAUUGAGUUACCAUCAUCUUCCGUCUCAUUUGAAAAGAUGUUUUGCUCAUUGUGCCAUCUUUCCGAAAGAUUAUGAAUUCAAUGAGAAGGAGCUGACUUUCUUAUGGAUGGCUGGAGGUAUUAUUCGACAGUCAAGAAAGAAUGAGCAGCUGGAAGAAUUGAGCAGCAAGUGCUUUCAAGAUCUAGUGUCGAGGUCUAUUUUUCAACAAACCAGCUCUGGUAGUGCUAAAUUUGUAAUGCACGACCUUAUCCAUGAUCUUGCUGAAUUGGUUUCUAGAGAAACCAUUUUCAGGUUAGAGGAGUCCACCAACUUGUCAUCAAGAAGAUUUGAAAGGGUUCGCCAUUCUUCGUAUGCCCGUGGUAGGCUUGAUGGUAAAUCUAAGUUCGAGGUUUUCAAUGAAAUUGAACAUCUACGAACAUUCUUGCCAUUAUGCAUAAGAGGUGGCGUUACUUCUGGUUAUAUAACUAGCAUGGUUCUCUAAGAUUUGUUGCCGAAGUUCAAAAGGUUGAGGAUGCUGUCUUUAGACGGAUACCGUAUUAGUGAGUUACCAAUUCCAUUUGAAGAUCUGAGACUUUUAAGGUUCCUAAACCUUGCUGAUACUGACUUAAGAAGUUUACUUGAGUCAACAUGCGCAUUGCUGAACUUGGAAAUUUUGACAUUAAGAAAUUGUUCCCGUUUGAUAAAGCUACCGCCCAAAAUGAUGAACUUGAUCAAUAUUCGUCAUCUCGAUAUAAGAGGUGCAAAUUUGUUGAAGGAGAUGCCAUUCGGAAUGAAAGAGUUGAAGAAUCUUCAAACAUUGUCCAACUUUAUUGUGGGCAAGGGUGAAACUGCAUCUGGUUUGGAAGAUUUAGGAAGUUUAAACUUUCUUUGUGAUGAACUUUGCAUUGCUGGAUUAGAGAAUGUGAAUAAUCCACAGAAUGCAAGAGAAGCCGCAUUAUGUGAGAAGCUCAAUCUUCAUGCAUUGACUCUAGAUUGGGGGUCUCAAUUUGACAAUUCUCGAGAUGUAGCAGUAGAAGAGCACGUGCUUGACAUUCUACAGCCUCAUAAAUGUAUAAAAAAGGUGGCAAUCAGGAACUAUGGUGGUGCAAGAUUUCCACUUUGGAUAGGAGAUCCGUGGUUCUCCAAGAUAUAAUUCCUUGAAUUGGAGAACUGUAACAAUUGUGUAUCUUUGCCAUCGCUUGGUCUAUUGAGUUCACUUAAGCACCUUGCUGUCAAAGGGCUGAAGAAGCUAAAAAGCAUAGAGUCUGAAGUUUAUGGGGAGGGUUUCUCAAUGCCUUUUCCAUCAUUGAAGAUUCUACGUUUUGAGAAUUUGCCAGAGUGGUGGCAUUGGGACACCGAUAUCAAAGGAAAUGUGCACGUUGAUAUAUUUCCUUGUCUCCAAGAACUUUCCGUUGUGAAAUGUCCCAAACUCUCUGAAAAACUGCCUGAGCUUCUGCCCUCCUUGGAGAUACUUGUUGUUAGUAAAUGUGAAAAGUUGGUAGUUUCAUUGUCAAGCUAUCCAAGGCUCUGCAGAUUAGAGGUUGAUGAGUGCAAAGAACUAGUGUGCAGGAUCCCAAUUGAUUCUAAGUUGAUAAAGUUCAUGACUAUUUCAAAUAGUUCAUUAGACAUGAUUGGAUGCAAGGGGAUGCUAUACGAUAGUCAAGCUGGCUCUUCACUGCCAAAACCCAUGACCACUACAAAUGUUUUGGAGUUUGGAAAAUUACUGGAGCCUGGAUUUCAGAUAUUAGAAACUUUGGUAAUUGGCAAUUCUGAACAGCUCAAGCCAUGGAGGCAGGGAAGGGGACUUUCAAGUUUUAAUAGACCAGAACACCGGCUAAAAAUACUUGCUCACCCUGAUGAGGUAACAAUUGAGGAAAGUUGCGUAAGUCUUGUUUUGUUUCCAGAGAUCAAUUUCUUUCCCAGAAAUCUGCACUGUCUUCGAAUUUACAACAGCACUGCUUUCAAAUCCUUACCGGAGGAAAUGAUGGACAACAGUUCACAACUCGAAAGCUUGUAUAUCAAAGAUUGCCAUUCUCUACCAUUCAUCACAAGACGCAAGCUACCUUCAUCUCUAAAAAGGAUAGAGAUUGAGAAUUGUGAGAAAUUGCAACGUUUGUUCGAUGAUAAAGACGAUGCUUCUUCUUCUUCUCCUUCAUCCUCGUCUUCCCAAGUGAUGCUUCAACAUCUAAGUAUAAAGAAUUGCCAAGCGCUCUCCAGUUUGUCAUCGGGAAUUCAAUUACUUGAGUCGCUCGAAGAACUUGUGAUAACAAAUUGUCGAAAGCUGGAGUCAAUACCCGAUGGCCUGCACAAUCUUAACUGUUUACAGAAGAUUACUCUAGUGAGUUGUCCAAGUCUUGUUUCCUUCCCAGAAAGAGGGCUUCCCAACGCCAUUUCAUGGGUUGACAUUAGUUAUUGUGACAAGCUUGAAGCCCUGCCCAAUGACAUGCACAAACUCAACUCUCUCCAAACUUUAAGCAUAAUUCAAUGUCCAAAGCUUGAGUCGUUUCCAGAAGAAGGCUUUCCCACCAAUCUUAGAACGCUUAAAAUUGGAAAUUUCAAAAUGUACAAGACCCUCGUCCAGUGGGGGUUGCACAGGCUUUCCUCUCUCAGAAGCCUCUACAUUUAUGGAUGUCAUGAAGCAGAGUGUUUUCCAGACGAGAAGGUAGGAAUGACGCUGCCCACAUCUCUAACUCAUCUGUCCUUAUUGGGAUUCCAGAAAAUGAUACUUCUGUCUUCAGUGGGUUUCCAAAGACUCACGUCUCUUCAAUGUUUGAAGAUAUGGAAUUGCCCAAAUCUCACGUCAUUUCCAGAGGUAGGCCUUCCAUCCUCACUUUUGGAUUUAUACAUUAACAAUUGUCCUAGGCUUAAAAAGGCGUGCAAAAGGGACCAAGGAAAAGAGUGGCCCAAAAUUGCUCACAUCCCUUGCGUUGUGAUAGAUGGAAAAUUCAUAUACGAUCCAGAAUUGGAGGUGUAGAUUCUAUUAUUAAAGUCGGUUUAUUUAUAUUAUCCACUAUAACAAUCUCCUAUUAGUUUUUUUUUUUUUUUUUUAAUGAAAAAAAUUGCAGUUCUGUAUAAUUUAAAAUAUAUAUAUUAAUCCUCUGCCCUUAAUUGAAAAUACCACUCACUUGUUUCUGUUUUCACAAGUCAGAUUGUACGUUGAGGCUAUUUGCUUUUUAUCGGUGUUUGUUAAGGUAAUUAGUGUCUCAUAGGCUGAUUAUAGGCAGAUGAAAUUAUAACUUUUAACUUAAAAUUUAAUACCAUAGACAGAUAGAUGAUUUUUAAUCCAAAGGUUUUUAGAUGUGAUCAAAUUGUCACAUGCAUAACAUAUUAGGCAUGCAUGAUGUAUCACAAGGUUGAUACAUCUUAUAUGCCACGUGAUGAAAUUAAGGAUGUUUCUCUUACAAGGGACACAUCCUUACAUGUUCAAAUUUGAACAUGUAACUUCCAAGUGGUUAAUGGAAGUUACUUGUUCAAAAUUCGAACAUAUAACUGUCAUAUUGUUGCCUAUAUAGAGGCAUGAACGCAUCACAAAUUCAUACAUUCCAAGACAUACUUAAAGUCUUAUCAUAUUAUGAUCUUGCAGUUUUGCAUGUAGCCACCAGCCUAAGGGCAGUGUAAAACGAUCCCAAAAACCAUCAAUAAUAACAAUGGAUAUAGUUCCUAAAUAAACUGAUGAAAUUUAAGGAUGAUUGGAUGAAACAGCUAUGAUAAAAUGAACUAUCUCGAACCGAGCGAAUGGCACUGACUCAUGAAUAAGUGUGGAUUCCAAAUAUCUUCAUAUCUUCAUAGAUAUUCAUUUCCGUGUUAAUUCGAGGACUUCUAGAAAUUUAGUUAGUUAUUCUAUGAAAUAGAUAUACUAAUAAUAAUAAAACAAAAACGACGGGUGUUACACAAAUUCACAAGUAAAACUGUACUACUUGGAAACUGUGAACAGUAUAGAUUGAAGAUCAUACGAUUGCUAUUUUCAUUGAGUUUCAUGCAUAAAACUUUAUCGAUUAUUAAAUUAGACAUCUUUAUCUUUCUAUCCAUAUGUUUAUUGUUCAAAAACUUAUUGUAUAUUAAUUGUUUUGAUUUUUAAAAAUUGAAACACUGGUGCUGGAAAAUUCUGAUUUUCAGUAGCGAUUCUCAAUUCUAUAAUUUAUUUCAUAACUCCAAAUACUUCUGAAAAUUCUGGGAAUUUUUAUUACUGUACACUUAUAUGUCUAGUUUCUGUCUUUUUAAUUUCGUAAUUUUUGGCUUUAUAUAAAAAUCAUAGAGUUAGACUGCGCAAUCCCAGAAACUGUUUUCCAGAAUUGCGAGGGCUGAUAUUUAGGGCAGUUUGGGAUAGUUUUUCAUCAGUAAAUGUCUUAUAAAUCUUUAAUUCUGACUCCUAUUGUUUCCUCUAAUUGUCAAAACUAGAAUCACUAUUUUUGGACAUGUGUAACUAAAGUUAUAAAUUUUUCAAGCAACAGUCCUCUGUUUAUAUCGUUAUUGGACAGUUUGGAUAAUUUUGUGGAAAAAUAAGUUUUCAGGGGAUGUUUUUAAACUCUAAUUGAUUAUGUAAAAAUUUAAAUUGAAUGCCAAUAUGUUGACAAUAGUGUUUUGUGAUAUUUGUGAUAUUUCCGACGUACUUAUAGCUUGUUAGAAAUCAGCUCCUAUAUAAUGGUCUAGUAUAGUUUAGUGAAUUGAUGUGCUUAAGUAAGAGUGCAUGGUUUAAGGAUUUUUGGAUUUUCCUAUCUAGGUCAGAAUUGAAUAAGAUAUUGAUAGUACUUUUUUCUUAACAAUCAUAGGCCAAAAGUGAGCUCGUUUGAUUUGGGUUAUUGUUGAUUGCUUUGUAUCAUGGUAAGUAAAUUCAUGCAUAAUAUUUAUUAAAGUAUACACGUAAAUAUUUAUUAAUAGAAUAAUGUUGUCCAAAUGGAUUGGCAAGUUAUGGUUUUGAAGUUAUUUUAAAAUGUUUUCUUAAAUUUGUUUUAAAAAUAACUUCAAAAUACCUGCUUCUCUAUAAAAUGUUUUCCUUAAAAAUAUUUGUAAAGCUUUGCCAAUUCAAUGUCUUGUAAGCGUUUUAUCGAAAUAUUAUGGAAUGAUUGAUAUUGGAAAUCUGAAAACUGUUUUUAAGGUUUUGGCUCAUUGUCCGUAGUUAUCGUUACUAAUAUUACUAAAUAGCUAGUUGUAUUGUGCGCACCUAUUGACGAUUAUUGCAGGGUAAAGUACCCUGGUAGAACUAUAAGUUGGGUCACCGAGAUUAUAGGUGACAUAUUGAACUAUUGACCAGGUCACCGGGGGUAUAAGUGACACUAUGUGAUAUGAGUAAAUUGAAUGAAAGAAAAGUUUUAUUGAUAAAAGAUUUCUUACACGAUUAUUUAUUGAAAAUGAUUAUUAUGCUAUGACUUAAUUGAUUAUGAGUUUUACCGCACACAUAUGAUUACAAAAUGAUUUUUGUUUCCUAACUUGUGGUACUACAUAAUAAUGAUUAUAUACUUUUUUCCUUAUUGGUAACCUUAUGCAUGAGUUCGCUUACCGAUUGACGGCUCACCCCUCGUCUCCAACAUUUUAUAGAUUGAUUUUAGUGAUGUGCGCUUUUGGUCUAGCAAAGAGGAUUUAGCUGAAAAACUUUGGCAUUUUCUAGAUGAAUUAAUUGUAGCUAGUUUGAUUAUUGCUUAGAGCUAGAUUUUAUUUUGGAGGAUUUUUGAGUUAUUUUUUAUUUUAGAGACUAUGUUUUGUCAAUGAACAACAUUGACUUUAUUUGAAAAUAGUAAUAAGAUUAAUGUUAUAAGGUUUCAUUUGGGGUGUUACAACUUGUCUCUUAGUAAGUUUAUUUUUGUUAGCCUAUCCAGUAAGGUUUAUUAUCGACUGACAUCAUUUUCAAUGAAAUCAUCUUAUGUUGUUAAGUUUUGCAUAAAUAAAUAUUUCAGUAGGGUCAAAAGAGCAAGAGUUUACCUAUAAAAAAAAAGUCAAAAUUAGUUUAACCACCCCAGUGCGAAUUUCUGACCACGUCUUGCUUUGUAUGAUUUAACUCUAUUAUUAAUUAGUACUAAAAUAUCGAUGAAAAAAAUGGACAUGAAUUUUGAUCUCGUGUUGCUUUGUUUUGGUUGAGUGGCCAAUUUUAACUUCAUGUUAAACUUUCUCAAUUAUUAGUUGAAUUAUUUGGAUUUGAAAACUUAAAACCACCAUUUUAAUUUGUUUAGUAAUGACUAUGUUGAACUUCAACAUUUGUUUUCAAGAAAAAAAUUGAUCAAACUAUGAUGCUCUUGUUUCUAUUAUUAUGGAAUCUCUUUUUCAAUCGUCAAAGUUUGAAUUAUAUUAUGCUGCCUCUGUAUUUCCGCAGAAACAGAAUCAGUUGGUGAUCCUUCAAAACAAGAAAAACCAAAAAAAGAUGUAGUGCGUGAUAAGAUAAUGAGACAGAUGGCUCAUGUUGACAUUAAUACUCAAGUUGGAAGUUGCAUGCCCCUUGCUUGUAUGCGGACUGGGACCAUCAUCCACAAAAUUGAGGUAUACCCGGCUGAAGGUGGCAAGCUAGUUCGAGCCGCUGCGACGUCAGCCAAGAUUUUGAAGAAGACCCACUUCAAGGUACUGCUUAGUAAGGCUAACUUCUGGAAAUGAGAAACUGAUUGACGCUAGAUGUCGAGCCCACCAUUGGUACAGUGUCUAACCCCAGCCAUGGAGCUACGAAGCUUAGGAAGGCUGGUCAGAGCCGUUGGUUGGGUCGAAGGCCUGUGGUUGGAGGAGUAGCCAUGAAUCCAGUUGAUCAUCCUCAUGGUGGAGGUGAGGGACGAAGCAAAAGUAGCCGUAACCAUGGAAGGUGUUCACUUACGCCUUGGGGCAAGCCUUGUAAUUCUGGGUAUAAAACUGCAUUUCCUAAGGGAAAAAAAAAAAGAAAAAGAAAUUACCCGUCUGAUAAUAUUUUCCUUCUUUGCUAUUUAGCCUUUUUAAUAAUGUUACAUUGUUUGUCAUAUAUUUGAGGUUAGUUUUAGACCAAUUUUUAACUGAUCCAUAAUGAAACUGAAGUUUAAUUUUCUAUUGAACUUUUCCUGGUUUUACUCUUCUGUCAUUUCAAUUUAGCAAUGAUUUAAGAUGUUGAGUUCUGUGCUUGGAACAUGUAAAUGGGAAAGAGAGAUAUAAUGGGGUAGAAUAUAGAUUUUGUGUUUUGGUUUCUCAUGUUUAGAGAUAUUCUGUUCUUUUUCAUUUGUUCAAUUUGGUUAGUGGUGAUUUCUUAAAGAGUCGAUGCACGUGUGUAUAUAUACUUUUCUUUUGGCCUUGAUUCUGUUUCUUGGGGAGUUUAUGCAGUUUCUUUUUUUAUGCUUCGUAUGCCACAUGAAAGAUGAAAGCAUUUUGUGUAUUUAGAAUUGACUUGCAUCAUAGUAACUUUGAAUCACUGUUAACAUUUGUAUAAUAGCAGUCUGAGAUCUCCUUGAAGGAUUCAAAAGCAUUUUAUUUGAUGGUCUAGACCUAAAAUCAACUCCUUUAUAUAGAUAGGUUGGUCUUCUUCAAAGCAAUUCCUAUUUUAAGUAAUCAAAAUUUUGAUUUGGAAGUGUGUUUUAACACUACCAAAAGUUCUUUAAAUACUAAAAAUGUGUUUGGGAGUGAGGUGAUGUGGCUUUUAAGCUACAAUUACUGCAAAGUAAAAGUCAGUGAGUAUAAAUAAGAAAAAAUGACUGUUGAGUUGCCAAAGCCCAACUGCCGCACAUCACUUCCAAAUGCACCGUAAAAUGAUUUUGAGUCUUCUAUAUUAUUGAAACAAAAUACAUGAAAGCACUUUUGGCUACAGAAGUACACUUGGGGUUCUUUAUAAAAUUCUUCGACAGCAAUUUUUCCCCCUUUUUGCUCAUGGCGGUUUUUCUGGUUGUUCUUUUAAGAAAACACUUAAAGGUUCUUUUUAUAGAUUUCUGAAAGUACUUCCAACAUAAGCAUUUUUCAGAAAUUUUUUCUGAAAUUAAUUUUAUUUACUUAUCGACUUUUCAACUCCUGUGGUUGUUUAUGAAAUGAAAGGCAAGGGUAAUCACAAGAAAUCUGCAAACUUUAUCAAUUUUUAACUAUACCAAUUUGUUGUUUAUGCUUUACUUUUAUUUUACAGUUUUGUUUAAUGUUUAGAUGAUAGAUAUAUAGACAUUUUAGAUUGGAGAAUUUUGUCAACAAAUUCAUUCCUUUCUUUCACUUUUUCCCUUUUCAGAGGAAAGCAAUUUUGACUAAUUUUAGCCAGAAUCGGACUAUAAUAUUUUGGAGCAAGCCUACUUGAAAUGAUGCUUUUUAAAUUUGAUCUAGUUAAAAUACACUGCCGUUACCCAAAAAAUUCUAGUCUUGGAUUUCAUAGAAUGCCCUUUUAAGAUAUUUUCUCAGCUCUUUGUUGGUCGCAGCAUCUGAGAUUAGCAUUCUCACAUUUCACUUGUUUUGCCUUUGUUUUGAAGGUAACUUAGUUGCAUAGGUGAAUCGAGGUUCAAGAAUGCCGAGAUGGCUACAAGUUUCAAGAAUCAUUUAAAGAGGCGUAAUGACAGCACCAAGAUGGGCUUUGUGAUUAACAAGAUUACUAAUUGAACCAAUCUUGAUGGGACAGAGGACAUGUCAGAACCGUUGCGCACAGGGAGAAGAGUUAGGGGAGCUUUGAGAGUUGAGACCAUCAACAUCCAGAAAGGCUGCUGGUAAUGUUUCAUGUGUUACAAAGUUGCAAGGAAAUUUCAUUUAUAUUUUAACACCUUGUAUUUGAAAAAUUUAAUGUAAUUUUCUCUUUUUUCAAUUUAUUAUUCAGAUCGUAGACUAGUAAACGGUUUAGAUCGCAAGCUUUUAUUAUGCAGUUAUUUUCUCCUUUUCAGGAAGAAGUGGUCAGUUCCAUUCCAGAAUUGGAAUAUGGUAAUUAGGUGCAAGCAUACGUUGUAACAAUCAUUUCUUGUUUGUUUGAUUAUGCUUAUCUAUUUAGUUGUUUAUCGUUUGGUUGUGUUAAAUUAUUUGAAUUAGCAUUAUUUGAGAUAAAGCAUAAUUCUUUUAUUUAUUUAUUUAUUUUUUAAAUAAAUUAUUAUAGAAUAUCGUCUUUAUCGUAUAAUGUAUUUUUAUAAAAGUAAGCAUUUUUAUAAAAUUUAAACUCUUCCAAUCUCCUUAUGAUUAAAACCCUUAACCUAAUAAACGUAUAAAAGCAAAGAGUCCUAGGAUUUUCUUUUGUGCACAUUUGGAAGAAUUUUUGAGGUAAUUAUCCUUCUCUAAAACAUAUUCUCUAAUCUUAGGUGUUUAAUGAUGAAUGCAUGCAUUGUUUUUUUAAUCAUGAAUGACUAGCUAGACAUUAUGAGGCAUGAGUACUGUGAUUCUAUUACUGUUUUCCCUUUAUUUUUUAUUCAGGUUUUCACUAAAGUUUUCAUAAAAUUAAACUAGACAUUUUAAGGCUUUCAAUGAUAUAUUUUGUACGAAAAGAUUACCAGUAACCAAUUUGUUGUGAAUUUUCGAAUUCAGAACAGUGGUGCUGGAAAAUUCUGAUUUUCAGCAGCAUGUUUGACUUUGCCCAUUUUUCUGUCUGUCUAAAUGAUCCCUAAAAUUAUGCUGAUUUUUCUAUUAAAUCCUCAUUAUGUCUACUUACUAUAUGUUCACUUUCAUAAUUUUCAUUGAGUAAAAAAAAAAUUAAAAAUCAUUAUGUUGGGCUGCUGCAGUUUUGGAAACUGCUUUCCAGAAUUGCGAUGGCUGACAAUAAAAUUACUUUAGGCUAUUAAAAGGCUUUAGAAUGGCCUAUAAAAAUUAUAUUCAUAUAAUUUAUGAAUUCCUUAUGAUUUAAAGUUUAUUUGACUAAUUUUGAUAGUUAACAUUAAGUUAUGAAUUUUUCAAGUGCAAAACAUAAACCUGAAUGUUUCUGGACAGGUUUGCUGGUCUCUUAAUAUAAAUUCGUUUAAAAUAGUGUCAUAUCUUCAAAAAUUCUAGGAAUUUGAAGCUUUGUUUCUUGAUGCAUCUACUGUUUUAAAAUCAAGUGGUCUAAUUUUUAAGAGUUCUAUUAAAUAUUUUACAAAUUUUCCAGUUCAGCAACCUCUGUUUUUAUCACUGUUGGACAGUCUGGAUAUGCAUGUAAAAUUCUUUUUGCAAUAUGUUUGACUUUUAUUCAUUCUUUUGAAUUUUUAUUUGAAAUGUUAUCCAUGUUUAUGGUUUAUUUUCUUUGAUUUUACAAUUUUCCAACAUUUGAUUAGCUUGGUAAAAAUCGGCUCAGACUAGCUUUAAUGGUUUAGUGCUUAUGACUAGGCUUGAUUAUGUUAGAUUUAUAUCAAGAUCAGAAUGAGUAAUAGUAUUGAUAAGAAUGUGUCUUGAUAUUUUAGGACGAGAUUGAGCUCGAGGCUAAGGUUACUAUUCUUUAUUGUUGAGGAUUGAGAUAAGUAGAUUCAUGCAUGGUAUAUGUAUUUCACUAUUAAAUUAUUUUUAAUUCGAGGUAUCUAUUAUGUUAAAUGAAAAGUAUUUGAAACUAAUUUGUUUUAGCCUAUUACAAUAUUUUGUUAAAAUAAAAUCGUUCUUUAAAUUAUUUAUAAUAAACCUUUUAUUUAUUAAAAACUUGUUUUAUAAAUUGUCUUAAAAAAACUUUUAUUAAAUUGUUUUAAGUCAAAUACUUUGAAAUAAUUAUCAAUUAUUUAAAUGAUUAAAAGUUCAAGGAUGAUUUUAAAUGUUUUUGCUCAUUGUCUGUAAUGAUGCUAUGUUAUGUUAUAUGUUGUGGAAGGCUAGUUGGAAUAUGUGUACAUAUGAUGUUAAUGUUAAUGAUUCUCGUGGGGUACAGUACUCUAAAUGAUGUCAUACGGAUGGGUCACUGGGUCUACAAGUGAUACUAUGUGGAAUGAGCUAAGUAUGUUUUAUGUAUUUAAAAAGCUAAUUAUGUUUUACAUGUUUGAAAUGCUAUUAUUAUGUUUAAAGGAUUUAAAUGACUUUCUGAUGUUUUGAUUUAUUUUUUAUAAAUGAUUAUUUACAAAAGUAAUUUCCCUUAUUAUUAUUAUGCAUAUCUAAGAAAUUCAAACAAUUAUAAUUUAAUGGUUUUUAGUAUUGUGCAUGAAUUUACUUACCGAGUUGACGGCUCACCCCUUGUUAUCAUAUUUUUGUAGAUAGAGUUAGAUGAUGUGAGCUCAUGAUCUUAGGAGGAAGAAUGAGAGCUCGUUUAUUUUUGGGGAUUAAUGUUACAUUAAUAAUUUAGCUUCCUUUGGCAUGAUAUUUAUUUGAGAAUUUGUUAUUUCAUUACUUAUUAUCUUUUGGAAGAGGAGCAUUUACUGUUGGAUAUUAAUUUGAUGAUUUUAGAUACGAGAGUGAUGAAAUACAGUUUCACUUCAAUUUCACUUUAGUAUCUUAUUAGUGGAAUUGGGGUGUUACAUACGUGCCCGGUCAAUGAACUUGAACUUUAAAUAGUUUUUUCAACUCAUUGAUUUUUGGAACUCAUAUUGGUGCAAGGAAAUCAAAAGAAAUUUAUGAUUAGUCAAAUUCUGAUAGUUGCUAUAUAUUAUACAUUCUAAAGUUUCUUGAGUUUGUUUUCAGAUGAAAAUAUGAUCAAUUCAUUUUGUUUUUGAAGUGUAGGAAAAUAGGCUGGGAUAUUAAUGCAUAGGCAAAAACUUUUUGAGUGGCUUUCCAGCGGAUAAUUAUCGGAAACAUGACUGGAUUUUUUGACUUCCGUAAAUCUUGCAUUUUAACCUGGCAAAUUUAACAAAAGUUCAAUACAACUUUGUUAGUGCCUUGUGUUCCAGAAGCUAGAAAGAUGUGUAGAUUCCAUAUAAGCGGGCUUGUAAUUACUCUAGUAAGAAUCCAAUUAUUUGCCUUUGCACCUUCAUUUUAUUUGUGGAUCCUUGCAUGUUUCUGAAUUUGAUCAAUCCAAAAGGAAUUGCUCUGAAGAAUAGCAGUAACUAGCCUAUGUCUUAGUGCAUGGACCUGCAAACCUGAGCUGACAAAGCUGAAACUAUUAGUUUGAGGUGACAAAUCCAUGAUCGUCACCUGUUAACUUCUGCUAGUUGCUUUCGUGAAACACUUUUAAGAAAUAAGCAAUUUGUUGUUAGUCGCCGUAUCUGAUGUGCUUUCUUUUAUAGUUUGUAGAAUCAACUGUAUUAUAUGUUGUCAGUUGCAGUAUCUGAGGUGUCUUUUGCAAUUUACUUGACCUUUAUUUGUUUGCUAGUGAGUUAAGAAUACCAACAUUGGCCAGAGAUUUGGAGAAACAUCCGAAGACGCUUAACAAACUUGGAGAUGCACUUGCUUCCAAGCUUCAUUCAUCACAAUGCGAAUCCGGUGAGUACUUAUGUCUUCAAUUAUGUAGAGUGUUUGAAAUUUUGAUGCAGCGAGAUGGUUUGUUGAUGCAAAACUUUAUACUGUUAAGGACUUACCCUGCAGGCUUUUUGCAUGUUGUAUCAACUCCAAAAUCCAACGAGAACUACAGCACCAAAGCCCAGUUUUCACUGAUUCAAUCAGCUGAAAUCAUGAGGGAAAUAACAGUAUAGCACCAUCAAGCUGGACUUAGAGAAUAAUCAGAUCAGUCAUCCAUUUCAUGAACUGUUAAUUUCAUGAUGGAGGCUUAGUGGAGCUGAAGAGGAAACAAGGAUGUGUAGGGAUCAACAAACAACAGUGAGAAGCACGAUUGGAGCUCUGAUUACAAAUAGACAAUUUAAAAAUAUGUGCUGGUAAGUGGAAAUUAAAGAAAUUUGUGAGCUCAUUCAAGUUUCGGUAUUUUCUUUUUGGAUAACGUUGAUACCAAGUUUGGCAAAUCUGUGUUUUCUGCGUUUAAUCUGUGUUUUGGUUAAAGUAGAUGCUCUGAUUAAUACUUGUUUGUUUUCAUAAAACAGGACAAAAAGAGAUCACCAAUCUUGAUUGAGAAUUCAUUUAAGUAAAAUUUCAAAAAUUGCCAAACACAGUAUAAACUAGGAUGCACUUGCUUAAGAUUCAUUUUCAGACGGAAGUUUGUACCUCCAGAUCAUAAAAUCAUGUUUAUGUUGUAUCUUUAUUCAGCAAUUGAAAGAUUCCAAGUUUGCUGAAACCAUAUUAUUUCUUUCCCAGGCGCUUUCCUGAAGGUAUCGACAUCUAUUUCGAAAAUGUUGGGGAUAAGUUGCUUGAUGCAGUGCUACAAAACUAUGAAGGAUUUCUUGUCGGUGAUUACUACCACCUGGAUAAAAAAUUCAUGGAACUGGUCAUGCCGGCAAUAAAAGAAGGAAAGGUGGUACACGUGGAAGACAUAGAUGAAGGCCUCUGUAUACGUCGAAGACAUAGAUGAAGGCCUGGAGUCCAACAGCCCUCGCUGGGCUAUUCAUUGAUCGGAAUGUCACGAAACAACUGAUUGUAGUUGCUUGGGAAUUUAAAAACCACCAUAUGCUGUAGAAAUGCACAGAGCCAUGCACUUUCAAAGCUUUGUGAAGAUGUCUUGGUCAUGUGUUAGAACAGAUUAUGUUUGUUCGAUUAAAUUGUACGCAGUUAUAAAUCAAAGAUUCAGAACAUUGCAUGUAGAAGUUCAAAUUUUAAAUUUUUGGAAGCAGAGGCGUAGAGUUUUUUUCUUUUGGAAAAAAAAAUCUAAAUUGUGGAGACUAUUUUUAUUUAAUUUUACAAUCUUAUUUUAUUUCUUUCACAACAUAAUUUUAAAAUAUUUAUUUAGUAAAUUAUUAACAUCCAAACCACUAAAGAUUUUUUUGUUAAACGCUCUACUUACAAAGUUAUAUUAAUUAUAGAUUUACUCAAAGAAAGUAUAUUUAAGAAGUUAUAGCAAAAAAAAGUUCUAAUCUGUCUUACAAAGGACUAUUGACAAGAGUGGUGCGACUCCCACCCCUUCAAAGUCCACUUGACACCACGCUUUCUCGAUUUAAAAUUUUAUAUAGUUGAAAAUUGUGUUUUCUUUUAAAUCUCCUUGCUUUCCUCUAUUCUUGUUACUUGAGAAGAAGAACCAGAGUCUAGAAGAACGAAAGAAAAUUCAGCGAGAUAGAAAUUUGGAAAUUUCAUCCGAGCUUUUUUUUUCUUAAAUUUUUUGGUAUUUCUUCCUUGUUUCUAUGGAUUCGUUCAAUGGAUUCUUGACCAUUCUUCCUUCUUUCUAUUUUCUACCAUGAUUCAGAAUUUUUCCUUAAAAAAAAUCUAGAUGCAUGGCCAAAUGAAAUGACCCCCUUUAGAGCUUCGGUUACUGUUGCAUAUUCAGCGUCUGCAUUUGACAAAGCAACUAAAUGCACACUAAAGACUUGCUGUUUCCAUUCAGUAUGCAGUUACACAGACAAAGGCCUUAAUUAUUGUCAAGUUCUCCAGUAGCAUACUCCGAAAUCCACAUACCAACCCACCAGAACUCCAAUCUUGAAACUCCAUAAAUCAAAAUUGAAGUGCCUGCCUCUCUGGUACCUCUCAAGGUCCAUUUUACUACUUUCCAUGUCUUUCCAUGCAUCUACUGACAACUUGGGAAAUGCCAGGUCUUGCAAGCACCACUACUUACAUUUGAGUCUGCUAUUAUUAUUAUUACUAUUUUAUUAUUAUUAUUUAAAAAAAAACACUCUAACUAGGAGAGACAAGUUCCGUGUAGUAGGACUGAGCAACAGGGCCGUAGCAAAUAUUAUGUUUUUAAUCAUUCUUGUACCAAAGUAUUUAAGUAUGCGAUAAAAAAUAAUAAUAAUAAUUUAUUGACAACUAAAAGUUAAUAGUGGCUGGGGUGGACCUGGGUUUUGUUUAAAAAAAUUGAUUAAUAAAAUUUUCGAAAUUUCAAAUUUCUAGUACAGAGAAAAUUGAUGAAUAAAAUUCUGCAAGUUAAUUUCUAAUAUGCCAUGAAAAUAUUAUCAAGUUAAAUUGUAACAUCGUUAAUCACUUAAUCCUCAGUCUAAUAUGCCAUAUAUUUGUUUCUCAGGCUUUAAUCGAAAGUGCCGGUGAUUUAUUGUUAUUUUCAGUAAUCAGAUAGGUAUGUUAAGGCUGUUUAAUUCAUCGACAAUGUACCAACAAGACUCAGAUUGGGAGAUUGUAAAUGUAAUUAACAAUAAUCUUUUAUUCAUUUUGAAGUUCAUUCUAUUGUUUACACAGGAGCAGCGUUCUCUUAUGUUUUAUGGAUAUAAUGUUUGGUAAUCCUAAUUUAAGCUAAGGUAUAUAUAUUUCCUAAUUACAUCUAAUUUAAGCUUAUUCAAAUGCAAUCAAUUAAUGUUCAAUAGUAAAAAUUCCAAAUACUAUAUAUUGUAAGAAUUUUAAUCGUAAUGACAAGGUGAUCAUUUGAAUUAUUAUUAUUAAAUUAUAUGUAUGGUGGAGUCCACACGGUUUUGACUAGAAAUCAAAGAGUUAAGAGACAAUAUUAAUUUAUUUAAGUUAAUAGUAUUUGUUCUGUUUAGUACGUCUUUUGACCAACAAGCAUCCCGGCAUUGCACGCAUUAAUUAAUAAAGCAUUGUGCAUGUCACAUUAUUAGAGCCAAUUGCGCCCGGUACACCUCCAUACUUCAAAAAUUAUCUUAAUACCCUAAAAUCUGUUUUUACCAAAAUUUUCAUCGAUACCCUUUAAAAACGGAUAGGAAAUUACUAAGCUAUCCUCAUUUUAAAACAUUUCAACUCAACGGACAGCACCUCUCCCUUCUCUACUGAAGCAAACAAACACUCAUCUGCUGCAAUUCCCUCCAUUAUCAAACUCAAAUAAACAAACACUGCAAUUCCCUCACCGGCAUCACCUCUGCAAUUCCCUCACCGGCAUCACCUCUACCGAAACAAAUAUUCAUUCUCCAUACAUGAUAAAUUGAACUUCAACACGAGCAAACUAAGCUUGAGAAGGGGAAGCUGCCACAACUGAGAAAGAGAAGCCUAGUUCGUCUCUACAUAAUCGCCGGCGAGAGCUGAUCCUUUACUGUAAAAUAGUCAUAAUUUAACUAGUUGAGGUAAGUAAUUCUCUAUAAAUAGUUUUCUUGUUGAUAUUCAGGGAAAAAAAAAACAAAAAGUUAGGGUUUAUAUAGAAAAAUUAGAUUAAUUAGUUGCGGGUCUCUCAUUACAUGUUCAAAAACAAAUUUCUAGUUGUUUUACUACAUGCAAAUUGUGAACAAUUGAUGGAUUGUGCCGAUUAUAAUUUUGUCAUGUAACACACAAUUUGGUCGUGUAAGGUUAUGUAGGAUUCAAGGUUGUGUAUUACACGACCUUCAUGUAUUGCACUUACACGACUUCAUGUAUUGCACUUACACGACUUCAUGUAUUGCAAUUACACGACUUCAUGUAUUACACGACGUUCAUGUAUUACACGACGUUCAUGUAUUACACGACCUUCAUAUAUUACACGACCUCAUGUAUUACACGACCUCAAAAUUACACGACUUUUUUUACUGUUGUUAAUUCAUUAUAAUAACUUAGUUGUUUAAACACUUAAUUUUUGCUAAGAAUUUAUAUUUGUUGCUAUGCAGAAAAUGUCAACGAAAAGUAUUCAGGAAAAAAUGAAACGAGGCAAACCGAAAGUGAAAAUUACUAAUUUGUCAUCGUUGGAACCAAUAAGAAUAAUAAAAAAUAACCUUAGUGACGUACAAUUGGGGAUUUUUCGCAAAUCAUGUUUUGGGCACUUUUUGGACUUGAAUGAGUUUCAGUUUUGUGCCCAGUUGUUGCACAAGUUGGUAUUAAGUCAUAUGCAUUCAUCCGAUAAGGCAAUGUAUUUUAAGAUAGGGAAAAAAGUUUGUCGAUUUUCAAUGUUUGAAUUUGCAUUAGUUACUGGACUGAAUUGUGAAGAAAUUUAUAAACCUAACUUGGACAUUGUUGAUGACGGUGGUCGUGUAUGUGAUGUUUUGUUGGACGGUUGCACAAAGUUCACUAACACAACGCUAGGUCAGAUAUUUGAAGCAACUAAGUCCAAGGAUGAUAUGAAAAUGGUUAAAUUUGCCAUGUUGUACUUUUUGGAGGUUGUAUUACUUGGAAAAGAAUAUAGAUCAUCUAUAAUUAGGGAUCACAUUCUCCACAUUGACAACUUUGAAGAUUUCAAUAAAUAUCCUUGGGGCCGUGUCUGUUUUGAGAACACAUUAGAAAGUAUGAAGAAUGUGAUUGCAAUUAGACAGAAUAGAGAAAGGGCAAAUCCAGACUAUGUCCCUGAAAAGGAGGCAUACAGUCUUCAUGGCUGUCCAUUUGCAGUUCAGGUAACAAAUUGUCAAUAUUGGUUUCGUAAAGAUUAUUAAGAUUAGGAAUAUUAAUUAUUUCUUUUACUUGCACAGGUAUGGGCACUUGAAAUUUUCAGUGAAGUGUGUGAAACUUUUUCCUCGAAAUGUAAGCAUGUCAAAUAUCCAAGAAUUCUAAAUUGGACAAUCACUAAACAUGUUAGCUCUAAUUUGCUUGACUAUUCCAUAUUUGAUAAGAAAAAGGUAAUAACAAACAAUCUAGAUCGUUAGUGUCUUUCUUUUUUUCUUUUUAAUUUAUCUUUGACAUUUAUUAAUUGGCCUAAUUAUUACAGCUUAAGGUACUGGAGAAGUUGGAUGUCGCUGAUGAAAUAGAGGCAUCACAGCCUAAUCUACAAUGGUUUUGGCAAACAAAUUGGCUGCAACAACUUGAAAAUGAUUUUCGUGUUGACUCAAAGAGUAAAAAAUCAGCCACUCCAGUCUCAGAACAGAAAAGUAGCAGUGUUGUGCAGAAAAAUUAUGUGGCCAUGGAAGUUAAAGAGACUAAUAAACGUGCGAAGUGUCAAGUUAUGUCCAUGAAAUACAAAAUGAAUUAUGAACAUGCAAAUUCUGUUGAGGACAAAACUGUAAGUUUUUUUAAUCUUUUAAUAACAAUUGCAUUUUUCAAUUUUUUUUUUGUUUGCCUAAUAGGCUCUGUCUUGUUCUGCUUGCAAGGGUAAACGUCUUGGUUACAUUGAUAAUUUGAUUUCUUUUAUCGAGGACAAGUUUAAUUGUUUGGAUAAGCGUCUCAAAAAGAUCGAAGAGAAGGUGCAAAAAAUUGACUCAUUAGAGGAGAAUACAGGUGAUGUGAGGGAGAUGAGAGAACAAGUCAAUAAAAUUGUAGACUUAGUGGAGUUCCUAAAUUCAGCGGACUACAAUGUGAAGGUUCAUUUUAUUAUUAUUUUUAACUAAGUAUGUUAUUAUUUUUAACUAAGUACAAAUUGUGUAAAGUUAUUAAUAUUUGCUGCUGUGCAGAUUCCGACAACAUUUGAUGAUAACCCGAGUAUUGCCACACCUGCGACUGUGUUUCCAAGCUUCACCACAAAUGCAGGCAUAGUCAAAGAGGAUCCAAUAAUUAUUCCGUCUACACAGCAAGAGGUGAAAAAAUAUGAAAGAAAAAGGCGAUCUCGAAAGGAUGCAGCUGUUUUACGCACGCCAUAUACUAACCCAUUUCGAAAAUCGCGACAUGUCAACGUCGAUGAAGCAAAACAGCAAGUUCAGUUUGAGCAUUGGCUGAAGGAGGAUAAUAUGGAAUCGUAAUUCCUUAUUUCUCUUUGUAAACUUACUUUUAUUUGAAACAAUAUUUCCUGGUUGACUAUAACAAGCAAUAAGUUUUACUCACAUUUUCUUUUUCGUUACUGCACAGUAAAAUAUUAUCGUGGCCUAUGCAUAAAGCAACAAAGAACUUCUUCCGCAGCUUGUAUGAUGCAGACGCGUGGUUAAAUGGCGGGGUAUUAUUAAUAUAGUUUUUGUUUAGCAUGUAAUUUACUGCAGUAAUGUUUGCAUUUAAUAUUAAUUUACAUAUGUUGGUAAUAUGUACAGCAUAUAGACGUUGGUUGUUACGUGAUAAGAUAUGAUUUGGCCAAGCUCACUAUGCCACAUUUGCACCAAUGUGCAAUCAUGGAUAGUGUAUUUCAGGUACUUAGUACUCUGUAGUAAUAAACAAAUAAGAUAUGUAAAUUUGUGCACUGAAAACUUGCAAAAUUCAUUGUUUUUUCAGCAAAAGCUUUUGUUGAAGUAUGAGUUGUUUAAGAAGGAUCCAACUACAAUAUGGGAUGAAGAUCAAGAACAUGAUUUGACAAUCAAACAAGCAAAUGGCGAAGAUCUUCCAUUCGCUAUUCCAUGGAGAGAUGUUUAUAAGGUAAAGUUUAAAUUUUCUUAAUGCAUCGCUAAAGUUUAAAUUUUCUAUUUUUGAUUGGCUCAAAUUAUUGUAGGUUUAUAUCCCAAUUAAUGUACUUGAGUGUCAUUGGAUUCUUGCUGAGGUUGACAUUGUAAGGGAGACAAUUUCCAUAUAUGACUCCAUGGUUUCUAUAAUGAAUGACUCAACAUUUUUGAAAGAAUUAUUGCCAUAUGCUGUUAUUAUUCCUCUUCUACUGGAGAAGGUUUUAUGGUAUGAUUCGCACCCUGAAACUACCCAAAAAAAUAAAGUUUGGAUAGUUUUGCGUUUAGCGAAUACGCCACAGUAAGAAUCUCGGUGAGCAUACCAAAUGCUCAAUUUAUUUUCAUUUUACUGUUAUAGUUAUAUAUUCAGUAUAUAGUUAACUAUUUUUUAAAAUUCUCAGUGGAGAUUGUGGUGUGUUUGUUUUGCGUUACCUGGACACACUUGCACGUGGUGAAGAUAUUCAAACAAAUUGUACGCAGGCACAUGUCUCUUCUUAUCGCAAGCAACUAGCUGAAAGACUUUUCUAUGACCAGUCAUUACUUUCAAAGAACAACUAACAUGUGAGUAUUAUUUUUUUAAAUGAAGUCAUUGCUGUUGGAAUAGUUUGGUUUCUUAAUGUGAAACCAAAAUAGGCCAUCACUGUUAGUUUGGUUUCUAAUUAAUUUCAUGGAUUUAUUAUAUGCAGGCAUUCCUCAUGCAUGCAUGUAUGCUUCGGCAGAGGAAGAAAGCAAUUUCAAGAAAAAAAAACUUUUAAAUGGUUGUAAUAUGUUUAAUUGCGAUAUCCAUUAGUGUAUCCUAUCCAAAUAUUGACAUUGUAAACUGAUAACUUUCUUUAUUUAUAAUAAUUAAUCUCAUCAUUUCUCAAACUGUCGAAUAUGCAAACUUAUUUGUUUGCUGUAAUUUAUGAACACACAAUUUGGUCAUGUAAGGUCAUGUACACGACGGUCGUGUAUUACACGACCGUCGUGUAGUACACGAGUAUAUUACAUGACCUUAAUAUAGUACGCGACUAUUACAUGACGUUCAUGUAUUACAGGACUUCAUGUGUUACACGACUUUUUCCAAUAAUCAUCAGAUUAAUUUAGUUCUUUAAGGACUUAAUUGGGGCUAAAAUUUUAUAUUUGUUGCUUUGUAGAAAAUGUCAACUGAAAUUAUAAAAACAAAGAAGUUAAAUUAAAUUGGAAUGUAAAGAAAUUUAGUUAUUUCAUAAUGCAACAAAUUACAGUUUCCAAGCAUAACAUAUCCAAGACUAAAAAAUUGUAAAUCCAAUUAUCUAAGUUUGGUUAGCCGUAGGGCCAUGCUCUUGCUCUGAAAGUGGUGUUGUUGCAGUGCAUGUUAGUCGAUUAUGCCCCUCAAUCUGCACCUACUACACUUGCGGUGCACGAUGUCUUCCCCUUGAGAAGGUAUUCUAGUAGUUCGCGGUCGUCCUACCUCUCGCUUUUUCAUUGGCAGUGACAGCACAUAUGCACGCACCUCUUCUGAAACAUCCCAUUCCUCUUGUGGACCCACAAGAUAAAUGCUCUCUGCAUAUGCUGUAACCCAUGCAUUGACAGAAUAAUAAUGAGCACAUAAAUCAUAAAUAGAAUAGUUACGCAUAUGCUUACAUACAGCUACCACAUGUUCAUAGGGAAAUUGGUCAAUUUGAAACUCAUUACAACUGCAAGUCUUUUGUAGCACGUCAACAUGGCCAUCAAGGUCGCCAUCCUUAACUAUAAACUCAUGGAAAUUAAUCUGUAUUACUGGAUAUGUGUGUGAUUUAUCCAAUUUCCCUUUCAACUAUUUCUCAACCCAAGUAGUCAUUAAAGUACAUGCAUCCAUUGCCAAAUCUCGCCUUUUUGCAAACCAUUCUUGUAAUUUGUCAAUGAUACAAUCCAUUAACUUAUAAAUAGGCAAGGUUCGUGCUUCUUUUAAGAUAGAAUUCAUACUUUCUGCAAUGUUAGUCGUCAUAAUCCCAUAACGCCUCCCCUCAAAAUGAGAACGAGCCCACUUCUCAUAUCCGGCAUCAGUCAGGUAUUGGUGAACAUUCAAACUAACACUGCGGAUGACAUUCAUAUAUUGAGUAAACUUAAUGGGCCGAUAUGCCUUUGCAGCCAAUUCAAAUAAAGCACCCACAUCAACUUCUUUAAAAUGAGCAUUUACAUUUCGUUUUAGAUGAUGCGUACAUAUGUCAUACCCUACAGUAGGAAAUACUUUAUCAACUGCUUUCUUAAUACUUCCAUGACGGUCAGAAAUGAAUACUAAAUUAGGAACAUCACCAAUAGACUCUCUUAACUUCAUAAAAUACCAUUCCCAUGAAGCGUCAUUCUCACUGUCACCUACACCAAAUGCAACAGGGUAAAGUUGAUUGUUGCCAUCAAGAGAUGUUGCAAUGAAUAAUGUUCCUUUGUACUUGCCCCUCAUGAAUGUACCAUCAACUGCAAUAACAGGCCUAAUACAUGAAGUGAAUCCUCUCAAAGAACUUCCAAUGGCCAUGAAACAGUACUUGAAGUUGUUCGCACUGUCUUUUUUAAUGAAUGUUCGACUUCCAGGAUUUUUUUUUUUCAACCAUUGCCAUGUAUGAGGGUAAUAAAUGGUAUGAAUCAGCCGGACUGCCCCUAACCAUCUCCAUUGCAAACUCCCUUGCUCUCCACGCCUUGUGAUAACUUAUUUCAUAACCAAACUCUUUUUGAAAAUCUUGCAUAAUAUCAGCUGGCUUAUACGUAGAUGAAGCACCAUCAAACUUGUGCCGAAAAUUUUUCCCAACUAACUUGGAUGAAGCUUGACGGUUGUCUUUUUCCUGUGAAUCAAGGGAGCAAGUAUGGACAUUGUAAUACUUUCUAAUUUCAAACAUGUUGCAACCUUUAAGUCUACUUGCACGAAGGCGCCAUUUGCAGUUGUCAUCCAUACAAACAACAACAAGUAAGUCCUUGUCUGAUUUUGGGGUUUUGAAUUGGAACCUUUUUUUCACAACUAGUGCUUUAAGCUUUUCUUGCAAUGCCUCCUUUGACUCAAACACCUCUUUCACCAUCGACACAUCAGUAUCACCACUAACUUCUGUUGAUAAUAAAUUACUGCUACUAGUAAGUAAAUUUAUUCUGGGCACAUGUCCAUUGUUUGAGGUUCUUGAACUUAUAGGAGCUGGAGUAUUAUCUCCUAAUGCUAAAUCAACAGCUAAUGGUGGCUCAUCCAAACAAUCAACUUCAGUUACAAAUUCAUUAACUUCAGUAAAAUUGUUCGAACUGAGAAUAGGAAAUGAUGGAGGCACGUAGCUGGAGAAAGCAUGACUCUCUUCCCAUGAAAGACGAGGUGAAGGUUGUCUAUCCACCGGAACUGUCGAAAUUGAUCUACGUUCAAAAGUAAUGCAGAGCGGGUUUCUAAACUCCAUUCCACUAGCUACUUCCUCUAAGAAAAAUUCCACAUCAUCAUUGGUUUGAAUUGUAACUGGUGGCAUAGGAUCAGAUGUCUUAAGUUUGAACUUCAUUGUGAUUUCGAAUUCCGAAGUAUCUAUAUCAAUAACUUCAGCUAUCUUGUCCACCAAUUCGGCAUAUGUUGUCGAUCGUGGUAUCAUUAUCCCUUUAGCCUUGGAACCUUUGAACUUAUACUCGUCAUUUUGCUCAAUCCAUUCACCAUUAAAGAGAAUAGGCACACGUACCAAAACCAUUUCUGAUGAUACAAUAAAAACAAUAAUAUCAAAUUUCAUAUACAAGUAAGUACACGACUUACACGACUAUAAUACUUACACGACUUACACGACUAUAUUUCUUACAUGACCUACACGACUUACACGACUAUAUUUCUUACAUGACUUACAUGACUUACACGACUAUAUUACUUACACGACCUACAUGACUAACUAUAUGACGUACACAGUAUCAAGAGAAUGCACGGCGCGAAACAUUUUCGCUAUAAAUAAGUUAUAUUGCUGAAAAAAAUAAUUAAACAACCUACAUUGCAUAUAUUUCUACAUAUAAGAAAAAAUGGUGAAAAUAAAACAUUGUAAUGUGAGGAAAAUUUCUAAAUUUUUCUCAAAAUUAAUAAAUUUAAAACCCAAAAACAUUAACAUACCUUAUUGGGUUGUUUAAUAAGCAAUGCACCUUUAAAGAAAGAGUGGGUGUUAAAGAAAUAAAUACAUAAUUGUAUUUGUGUAAGAAGUUAUGAGAGAUUUUGAGAGAUUCUAAGAGAUUUUGAAAGAAUCGGCAGCAAAAAUGGAGUUGGGUGAAAGAAAUGAGGAAAUGAAUAUGAAGACAAUUUAUUGAAUGAAUUUGAUGCAUUCAUUAAGGGUAUUUCUGACUUUACUCACAUUUGUUAGGGUAUUCAUGAAAACUAAAAAGGGAGGGGGUAUUUCAAUAAUUUUGAAACUAUUAAAGGGUAUUUAAUUAAAAACCCCACAUUAUUAGUACCUAGUUGAUUAGUCAUUUGGUCUUCAAUAAAUGUUAGUUGAUAUAUGCUUGAAAUCAUAUUCUGUUUUAUAUGCCGAAUCAUAUUGUAAGAUGGUGAUAUUAGCAUGUUUCUUUUUCUUUGUGCUGUUUCUCGUUUGAUUACAUUUUCAACAACAAGUCGAUCUGUUGAAGAACAAGUUUGGGUUUGAUGAUGCUUUUAACUAUAAGGAAGAGCCAGACUUGGAUGCAGCUCUCAAUGGGUUGACACGAAUGAAUCCUUUCACCCUUUUUCUCACUUCAUUAUUACAAUGCGCUUUGAAGUUAUCUGUGUUGUUAAGGUUAAGGUUAACCCUGCAGGCUUGUUCGAUGCUGUAUCAACUCCAAAAUCGAACAACAUCUACAGCACCAAGACCCGGUUUCAAUCAGCUCAAAUGAUGAGGUAAAUAACACCAUCAAGCUCAGCUUAGAGACUCAUUAGAUAAGUAAUCCAUUUUCUCAGCUGUUAAUCUCUUGAUGGUGGCUAGUGGAGAAGCAGAGGAAACAAAGGAUGUGCCGGAAUCAAUUAGAACAGUGAGAAGCGUGAGGGGAGUUAUGAUUAUAUUUAGGCUUUUUGAUGAUGCUUUGAACAAAAAGGAAGAGCCAGACUUUGAUGAAGCUCUUGAAAGGUUAGCGAAAAUGAACGCUUUAACCAUGUUUCCAACUUCAUUAUCACAAUAUCUGACAUUGCAUAACUUCAAGUAAAGUUGCUCUUAAAAGGUUAGCAAAAAGCCAAAAAUGAUUGAAGUUAUCUGAGUUGAUCCAGAAAAUGUAAUGGAAAUACUCCCCUGCUUCGUAAAACAGGACAAACAGAGAUCGCUGGUCGCGCAUGGGAACUAAUUGCAUUAAAGUUUCAAACAUUACCAAACAAACUAGGAUGCAUUUGCUUAAGAUUCAUUUUCAAAAGCAAGUUGUAUGUUUAUGUUGCAGCCUAUAAAACCAUGUUUAUGUUGUAUGUUUAUUCAGGAAAUGAAAGAUUCGUCGUGUUAUUUUAUUCCAAGAAUUCGCUGAAACCAUACCUGCUUUCCCAGAUGCUUUCCUGAAGGUAUCGACAUCUAUUUAAAAAAUUCUGGGGGUAAGAUGCUUGAUGCAGUGCUACUCAACAUGAGAAUUCACGGCCGCUGCUGUAUGCUGAAAGAUCUCACCGUACAACCGUGAGAAGCCUGAAGGUGUAUUCAACUUGAUACAACUGGUCGUAGUUGCUAGGGAAGGAUAUAAGGUGUACUCAACUUGAUAUGCUGUAAAAGUGCACUAUGCCAUGUACUUUUAAAGCUUUUUGAAGAUGUUUUGGCCAUGUGUUUGAUUAGAUUGUACUCAGAUAUAAAUCAAAGAUUCAGAACAUGUUUGUUACUGUUUUUCAGAAUCCAGAACAAUAAAUACCUUGAAAUGUUUUUGUUCAAUGAUUUUGCAGAAGACCAGCUUCCUUGUUAAUGAAUCAAGAUGGCUGAAUCCGUCCCUAAGCCAAAUCUGUUUUCACUUUUAGGUUAGAAAUUGUCAUUAAAAAGUGUUUGAUAAAAUAUGCUCCGGGAACGCUAUUCGUCAGAUGGUUACUCCAAGUUUAUGAAAUCAAUGGUAUUUCAUCAUAUUCAUAACACUCUGCUUUAAUAUCUAUUCUAACAGAGAAAUUAUAUACAGAGAAUAGGUUGCGUUAGAACUUUUGCUAGAAAAAAGUGACAAGAAUUCAUCGUUCACUUGUAUCUUAAGUAAGUGUAAAAUUUAAAAUCCCAUCAUGAAAAACUCCUGGGAGAAAAAACUAUAAAAAUUAAAGAAAAAAGAGUGUGGCGUGCAUGUAAAUUAUGUCGAUUCUAUCUAUACGAUAAAUACACUCUCUUUUACAAUGGCACGGAUGCUUCAUUGAGUAAUCAUGAUUGUUGCUGGUAGUGCUUUGUUGAAUCAAUCUGCUAGAUAUUCAGCUUUCUUUCUUUCUUACUUUUUUUUUGUUUUAAUAAAUAGCUUGUGGUUGUGAAAAUAAUUUGAAUUAAACUAUGCUUAACUGCCUAUUUGGUACAACUUCUCUACUAGCCAAAAGAUUUUUUUUUAAUCAUUUAUUUAUACCUCGAGUAGAGUUUUUGGAGAUUAAAUAGGUGAUAUUUUGUCUCUAUUAAAAAGAAAACUCAAAAGGUAGGACUAUUUGAAGUUUGAAUCCACCAAACUACUCAUUAAAAAUUCAUUUGUGAAAAUAAUUUUUAAUUAUUAAAAUACCCCUAAAUUAAAUUACAAUUAUGAACACUAAAAUAUAGUAAACAAUUUUUUUUUUACUCUUUGAAAUUGUCCUUACAUUCGAUAUUAAAUUUUUUUCUUAAACUCUAAAUUAAUUUUUUUUUUCAUUUUUAAGUAAUUUUAAGGCACAUAUAAAGUGAUUCAUAUUGAUUUUAUACUAACAAACUAUUACAGCAGAUUUGGAAAAUGAUUAACUCGUUCUCAUUUUCCUAGUGAAAAUGCAAAUAGCUCAUUUAAACGUUAAGGAAUUGGAGAGUUGCUGCUGGAGAUGAAAGAUGUGAAUUAAACAUCAGAAAAAAAAAUUAUGUUUACUAUCUUACCAGACCAAGCACCGAAAAGCAUGGUAAAGAAAAAUUACAUAAUUCUGACUUAGAAGACGAAAAAAAAUGAAAUACAAUUUGAAUAAGAGAUAGAAGAUAAAGCACGUGAAUGGAGGCAGAAAGCAAGUAAUGAUAACUCUUUCGACAAAACUAAUAUAUAUCAAAAUGCAAUAUCAAAAAUGAAAAUAAAAAUUCAUUACGAAUACAUGUUAAUGAUAUCCCAAGUGUUGAGUAAUAAAAAGUACCAGGCAGGCAUCUCCCCAUUCCAUGCCUGAGAAUGAAUCUCUCCAGCUGAAUGAUACGAGCAGAUUCCUAAUAAUAUAUCCUUUAUGGAACACAUACCAACUAGAAACGAAUACCGACCAGAAGUUCAUACCGACCAGGUACUUGUCACUCAAAGAAAGAGAAUACAAUCUCACGAACGCGCGACAGUUUUGCCACAUUCCAAACCGCUAGGGAGAACACGACGCCCCACGUUUACCCACAUUCAGUUGUUGAAGACCCAUUAAGGCCCUUGAUCACCCAAAUAUGACGGGAAGGAAAAAUAUUCUGAGAAAGUGGGACGAUUGCCUAUAAAAAGCUGGGAAAUCAAUUAAGAAAGGGACAGACAAAAAGAGAGAGGGGGGAAACUCUACCGAAUUGAUACCAGGCAUUACUACAUAAUAGCCUUAAAUACAUUUUACUUUAAGAACAUCACAAUGAGUGUGCGUAACCAUAAAUCAUACAAUUUUCCCGCAAACUUCAUGUACUAACUUAAGCAUCGGAGGGUUUAUUCCGGAAAAACCACCAACGUCUCUGGUUUGUUUAUGUGAAUGUAGAUUUGAAAAGAAGAGAAAGAGUGAUUUGAGUUCAAGGAGCUCGGGCAAUUGCUAAAGUUAGUGGAAAAAAUUAAAUGAGACUCAAAAUCAAUCCAGAGGAAUAAAUGAGAAACCUAAUCCUAAUAAAAUACAUUCACAAAUCUUAAUGCUAAUUAAAAUCACGGAUAAAAAACAUAAUAUGAAUGAAUUACAGGCACAACUAUUUUAUUAAGAAAUUAAUAAAAUCGUGUAUUAAUAUAUUUUGUACAUUUUUUUUCCAUAUAUAACUUUCGGUAAUUUAGUUUUCCACUUAUCAUUUUUACUCCAAAAAAAUAUUGAGAAUAUUAUUUAUGUUUUGGUGUAAAAUAUUUGAACAAUAUACAAAUUUUCAGUUUAAUACAUCUAAACAUUUAUUAAGUUAUAAAUGAAUUUAAUGGGUUUAACUAGUACAAAUACUAUUAUUUUAUAAAUUGGGUUUAAUAAUAGUAUAUUGGGGAUUUAGGUUGAGUAAAUUUUAAAAUUUUAAAAUUAAAGGGUGGGUUUGUUUAGCAAAUGAGUUUUUUUUUUUUUUUUAUUACAUGAGACUAUUGCUCAAAUUACAGUUCAAGUUACAACUCAUAUUACAUGAGAGUAUAAUUGAUAUGUACAAUCAUAUAUUUAUACUGAGCCCUGUUGAUAUUAAUGCUGAUAUGACACCGCUCAGAUUUUUAACCCUCUCAAAUAUUUGAGGGAUGUCAAACUCCCAUCCUGGGAGAAAGACUGUCUUCACUCGAGCUCAAGGGCUCCAAGAAAGAAUAUUUAAAGUAAAACCCCUACAAUGCGACUGCGGAGGCUCGAACCCCUUCCCUCACAUUUGUGAGGGAGGGGCUUAGCCUUAGCCCAAGUGGCUCUUUUAGCAAAUGAGUUAAGGGAAUAGUUUGUUGGGAUUUAAAUAGCCCCACCCAAACUCAAAUGUAAAAUUUUUGAAAAAAGAGACUAUUACGUUUUAAAAAAAAGAAUUAAAAGGUCAAGAAUACCUCUAUUUAAUUUUAUAAUCAUAUUUUAUUUCUACCCUAAUAUAAUAUUAAAAAACUUAACUAAAAAUUUUAUAAUUUUUUAUAAAAAUUACCAUUAACAUCCAAAAAGCUAAAGAUUAAAAAAAAAAAAGGAACUGUAUUUACAAAAGUUAUAUCAAUAAUAAAUUCAGUCCAAAGAAAAAAGUUAUUGUAAACAAGUACUCAUAUUUAUCUCUACUUUAACAAUAAUCUUCGAAUCCGUUUUACAAUGGAUUUUAACCAAUGGGCUUAUGAGUCCUUUUUUGGAAAGCAUGAAAGCGAUGGCCCAAUCUCUAAACUUCAUUUUCUUUAGCCAGAAAGCCUAAAACAAGACCAGCCCAUAGAUAUAUAACUACCGGAAAAAAUUAAAAAGAAAAAAAAGAGUAAAAUUGUGUAAGAGCUUUUAGAAUUACAAUUUUAGGAUCACGUGUGUAAAUGGAACUCCAAGAUUGAUCAAGAAUUAACAAGGCAAGAUGAAGGGAUGAUCUUGUAGCAAAGAAUGAAGAAAUUGAAUCAAGAAAGUACUCUAGUGCUUUAGUGCUUUACAGUUAAGGGAUAUAGGGUGCGUUUGGGAUUGAGGUUGGGCAGCUGUAGCUUAAAAGCUACAGCACUAAAGUGUUUGGUAAACACUAGCUGCUGUAACUUUUAAGCUAUGUUGAUAUAAUUUUUCACUUGUAUAAUAUAAAAUUUAUUAUAUCUUUAAUAAUUUUGAUAAAAUUAUUAUUUACAAUUUAUAUUUAUUAUAUAUUAUUAACUUUUAUUUCAUAAUUACAACUUCUUUUUUACAGCAGCUGUAGCUUAAAAACUACAGCACCUCAAUCCCAAACACAACCAUAGUGUGAAUUCAUUACAAAGCAUUCGCAAAGAAAUUGUUUUUAAAUGAAACUCCUCGUCUUGACCAGAUUAUUUAUUAUUAUUCAAAAAAAAAAUGUUCAAAACUUAGCCAAAGUGAUAAACUCGUAAUUAUUCUACAAAGGGAACAAUUUUGAACGGUCGGAAAUUCCAUGCUUAUGAUUUUCUCUGCACUAUUUCAAUAAAAUUAUUACCCAGUGAAGACUUUAGAGACAAGUGCCCCCAUGAGAUCAAGCAAAUAUGCCCCCACAAAGAUCACAUAAUUAUUUCUUGUUCUUUUUCUUUUUGACAAUUUUAUCUGUGGUUUCAACUUUUACGCUUUAUUGUCAUUUCUCGUUGAGGGCUCCGCUGCACCCAUUACAACUUACCCCUAUAUUGUCUUUUACUGACUAAACCGUUAGAUUUGACGGAUAGCACGUUCAAUGCUGAAUUUUAAUUAUAUCAUCAAAUUUCGUUUAGCUCCUUAAACUCCAUUUUAUUUUUUAUUUCUUUAUAAAAUAUUCAAAGCUUCAUCAAGCUCCCGAUGGACCAUCAUGGCUAGGGGUGCAUUAGAGCCGAACUGAAAUAUGUUAGUUUAGUUUAGUUUGGUCAGUUUAAAUCGAAUGGUUUAGAAAAUAUAAAAUGAUCAAUUUUAAUUUUGAAUUGAACCGAACCAAAAAUUAAUUGAUUUGCUGUUAGUAUUUUUGCAUAAACAUAAAUGAUUAGUGAUUAUAAUUGAAUUGGACUAAAAAAAAUCAAACAAAAGUGAAAAAUAUAAAAUCUUAGACAAUAUAAAAGAAAAAAUAUUAAAUAUAUAAACCAAAACGAACUGAAUUAUUUUGACUCAGUUUUGGUUCAUAAUUUUUUAAACCAAACUGAUUUAUUCCCACCCCCUAAUCGUGGCCCUCUAUCUUUAGUCAUUCACCCUUGAGUUUGAUACCAAUUGUUGGGUUUCAAAUGAUUAUACACUCAAAUGGAACCCCUCAUAACCAAAAACUAACAGAAACAAUAAGAACACAAUGUUAAAAUCUUAAAUCAAUCGCAAAAAAGCACCCAAAACAGAUCGAUUAGGAAUAGUUAACAACAAAAGAUUUAAUGGUUCAAAAUCAUAAUGUGACCUACUUCCAUCCAAGAAUCAUACUAAUUGCUUUACUUGUUGUCAAAUACGAGAUCAUAAGAUUGUUUAUCACUCUACAGAGAAAAAAAAUUUAGAAGAAAUACUCCCCAAUUUUUCUCUUAAUAGUUAUGAAUCAACACCCCUGAUUUACUUUUCCUUAUUUCCUAUGAUCGGUUGCUGCUACUUAAUCCUUACCAAGCUCCAACAUAGUCCAAACACUUUUCAUGGUACAUGCACAGUGCACCUUCAGAAACUUUACAGCUCUUCUUAAAACCUCAGGCCUAUAGAGUGCAAUUUCGCACCUAUAUGCUUAGUCCUCUCAGUUCUCGUGAUGUUUUUGAUUUAUUUCUCGGACGAGUAGCACUUUUAGCUGCCAUAAUACAAUGUAAUUGACUUCUGAGCAUGACUUAAUUUUGAGAUCAUUACUUUUAGUUAAAUGAUCUCCUCCAGAGCUUCUACCUAUGUAGUGUUUUUAGACCUCUAUAGUUGAUAAAGCAUGUUCAAGGUGAAGGCUUGUUUUCCAAUCUAUAGUCCAAUUAUAGACUGGAACUGGUCAGGCUUAAUGCACCUUCAAAAGCUUCACAACUUAUAUUGAAACCUUAAGCCUUGUAGAAUGCUACAAAUUUUAAAUCCAUAUACUUAGUGCUCUUAUGAUUUGUUUGAUUUUUACUUAGAUGAAGAGCAUUUUAGCUAUAGAAUACAGAAACUAAUUCAAAGCCUGCCUUAGCUAUGAGAUCAUUCAUUCUAGCCAAAUGCCCCUUUAGAGAUUCUGCUAUUGUUGCGUAUUAAGCCUCUAUAUCAAAGCAAUUACAUGUCGAAGGCUUGCUUUGCAGUUAACAGCGCAAUUACAAUUAUAUAGAUUAAAGGUGUAAAUCCAUAAAACUACCAGACUUCAAUCUUUAGACUCCAUAGAUCAAACCAUAACUUAGUGUGCCUUUCAAUCUCAGGUAACUGUUUUCCACGUCUUGCCAUGUACUUGCUGCUAACACUAACAAUUUGAGAAAUGUUAGGCAUCGUAAGCAGCCGACAACACUCUUCUUCAUUUCUUCAUUGUCAAUUUCUUUCUUGGAACAUUGCUCCAUUGAGAGUCUGCUAUCAUUGCUCCAAUUAUUAUUAUUUUUGUUUUUGUUUUUUAAAAAAAUAACCGUGCAAUAAGAGUAUAAGACUAAGCAACGGUCCUUUUUUUUUUACCCAUUCUUGAACAUGAAGUAUUUGAGUAUGUAAUAAAAAUUGUUUAUCGAUAAUUAAAAGUUAAUAGUGGGUGGCUUUAGGUUUUGUUUACAAAAUUGACAACAAAUUAGAUUUUUCAAAUUCAUAGGUAAGAAACUUUUCAUUUAUUCAUAGAUUUUCCGGUUUAAACUUUAAAGGAAACUUAAAAGAAAAAGAUGUAUCAUUAGGUUUGUAAUUAAAAAAAUUUAAUAUUGUAUGAUCUGUUCGAUAUGCAUAAUUUAAAUAAACAUUAAUAUAGAUGUUAUAUAUCCUAAAACUUAAUUGACUUAAUUCUUAUGGUGCAAGGAAGAGGUUUCCAAGUUUAAAUCUAAAGUCUUGUAUUUAAUUUGGGGUCGGGAAAGCACUGGGAAAUAAAUGUAACAAAGGAAAAAAAAAAAAGAAUGACAGUCUGAGUGGAGCCAACGCGGUUUUAAAAAAAGUGAAAAAAAGGGUUUAAAAAAAAAAACGCGGUUUGCUUGCUUGUGGAAAUAGAAGUCUCAUGUUUCUUUGAAAGGUAAGCAAGUGUGAAUGUUUCUAUCUAGAGCUGGAAAAUGCAUUUCCGUGCAACUUACUUGAUGAAUGAAGUUUUCAUCGCUGACCCUGAUGUUUCCCUGAGCUGCAUUCAUUGCAGCUGAUGUAUUUCAUUUUGUUUUCGAAGGAGUGACACAAAAUCUCCUUCGUUAAGGUGAGAAUUUAGAGUGGCUUUAACUGUUAACAAAUAGCCUAAUAUAAGACUUAAUCUACUUCCUGCCCUGUUGUAUGCUUAUGAAAUUUGAUAGAGUUAUGAGUUUGCAGAAGCUACUGUAUUAUAUGUUGCUUGAGGCUGUAAAAAUGAGGCAGAUCAAACACACAUUUAAAUUUCAAUGACAAUUUACUGGAAGUAAAUUUCCUAUGACCCUACAUGUGACUAAUUGAUGAGAAGUUGACAAAUGACAAAAGAAAGUGUAUGAGCUUUGCAGGUUGGCAUGCCGAUACUGACUGUGUGGCACCAUCCGCCAUUUGGAAGUGAAUAUCAUUAUUCUUUAAUCAACAUGGUGGAGUCCACUGGGACCACACCACAUGGUCAGUCUUAUCUCUAUUCCUCAAUUUUCAGUAUUCCAUACAUGAAAACAACUUCAGUUUUGUUAUCAAUUAUAAUUUCAUUGUUGGUGACGAUUCUGAUUCCUUUCUUUCUGACAAAACGGAACCAUGGUUGCUGUGGGAGAGAUCUUACUCAACGCCUUCUUUCAGGUGUUGUUUGACAGGUUGGCUUCCCGUGAUUUGCUCAGCUUUGUCCGUCAACUUGGAGGCGGGGUCGAUUCCGAGCUCAAGAAGUGGGAAAGAAAGCUGAAGAUGAUUCAGGCGGUGCUCAACGAUGCAGAGGAGAAGCAACUGACUGACGAGGCUGUGAAGACGUGGCUGGACGAUCUCCAAGACUUGGCUUAUGACGCUGAGGACAUUCUUGAUGAGUUUGCUACUCAAGCUUUGGAAAGCAAGUUGAUGGCGCAAAAUCAGGAUAGCUCUGGCCAGGUUCUCAGUUUCAUCCCGGCUAGUAUCCGAAUGCUGUUAGGUUCAAUUAUAGCAUGAGGUCCAAGAUUAACGAUAUUACUAGCCGGUUGGAGCAACUCUGCAAAGAAAGAAUCGAACUUGGACUGCAACGGAUUCCUGAAGGGGCAUCAUCAACUGCUGCUGCUGCACACCAGAGGCCACCCAGUUCAAGCGUCCCACCAGAACGUGAAGUUUUUGGUAGAGAAGAAGAUAAGGCCAAAAUUCUUGAUAUGGUAUUGGCCGAUAGCCCAAGUGAUCAUGCCAACUUUGCUGUAAUACCCAUUGUUGGCAUGGGCGGGAUAGGAAAAACAACUCUCGCUCGGGAGGUCUACAAUGACAAGGCCGUUGAACAUUCCAAGUUUGAUGUAAAAGCAUGGGUUUGUGUAUCUGAUGUCUUUGACAUUUUGGGCAUCUCAAAGGCACUUCUCGAGUCAAUCUGCUGCGCAGCUAGUGAUCUCAAGACUUUAAAUGAAGUGCAGGUUCAACUGAAAAAAGCAGUGGACGGAAAAAGAUUCUUGCUGGUCUUAGAUGAUGUUUGGAACGAGGACUACAGCUUGUGGGUAGACUUAAAAGCUCCAUUCUUGGCUGCUGCACCAAAUAGUAAGAUGAUUAUCACCACACGCAAUUCACAUGUUGCAUCUACAAUGGGACCCAUUGACCAUUAUAACCUCAAGCAUCUGUUAGACGAUGAUUGCUGGUCUAUUUUCAAAACGCAUGCAUUGGAGGGUAGAGAUCAUAAUGCACUUGAAAUCUCAGAAUCAUUUCGCAAGAAAGUUGUUGCCAAAUGUGGAGGCUUGCCCCUUGCUGCAAAAACACUCGGAGGCCUUUUGCGUACGACGAGGCAUGAUGCGUGGGAUGAUAUAUUAGAGAGCAAAAUAUGGGAUUUACCUCAACAAAGUGGGGUUCUCCCAGUAUUAAGAUUGAGUUACCAUCAUCUUCCUUCUCAUUUGAAAAGAUGUUUCGCUUACUGUGCAAUCUUUCCAAAAGAUUAUGAAUUCAAUGAGAAGGAGGUGACUUUUUUAUGGAUGGCUGGAGGAAUUAUUCGACAGUCAAGAAGCAAAGAGCGGCUAGAAGAUUGGGGCAGCAAGUGCUUCUAUGAUCUGGUGUCAAGGUCAAUUUUUCAGCAAACAGCAAUCUCUGGUAGUUCUAAAUUUGUAAUGCACGACCUUAUUCAUGAUCUUGCUGAAUUCGUCUCUGGAGAAACCAUAUUCAGGUUAGAGGAGUCCACCAACUUGUCGUCAAGCAGAUUUGAAAGAGUUCGCCAUUCUUCCUAUGCCGGCGGUUGGUAUGAUGGUAAAAAUAAGUUUGAGGUUUUCUAUGAAAUUGAACAUCUACGAACAUUCUUGCCAUUACGCUUACGCAUGCGAGGUACUUUUUUCAUAACUAGAACGGUUCUAUCUGAUUUGCUGCCAAAGUUCAAAAAAUUGAGGAUGCUAUCUUUAGAAGGAUACUGUAUUGGUGAGUUACCAAUUCCAUUUGAAGAUCUCAGACUUUUAAGGUUCCUCAACCUCGCUGACACUGACAUAAGAAGUUUACCUGAGUCAACAUGCAAAUUGCUGAACUUGGAAAUUCUGAUAUUAAGAAAGUGUUCCCGCUUGAUAAAGCUUCCCCAGAAAAUGAGGAAUUUGAUCAAUUUACGUCAUCUGGAUAUAAGAGGUGCACAGCAGCUGAAGGAGAUGCCAUUUGGAAUGAAAGAGUUGAAGAAGCUUCAAACAUUGUCCAAUUUUAUUGUGGGCAAGGGUGAAACUGCAUCCGGUGUGGAAGAUUUAAAAUGUUUAAGCUUUCUUUGUGAUGAACUUUGCAUUGCUGGAUUAGAGAAUGUGAAUAAUCCACAGAAUGCAAGAGAAGCCGCAUUAUGCGAGAAGCACAAUCUUGAAGCAUUGACUCUAGAAUGGGGGUCUCAAUUUGACAAUUCUCGAGAUGUAGCAAUAGAAGAGCACGUGCUUGACAUUCUACAGCCUCAUAAAUGUAUAAAAAAGGUGGCAAUCAGGAGCUAUGGUGGUGCAAGAUUUCCACUUUGGAUAGGAGAUCCGUUGUUCUCCAAGAUAGAAUUCCUUGAAUUGGAGAACUGUGACAAUUGUGUAUCUUUGCCAUCGCUUGGCCGUUUGAGUUCACUUAAACACCUUGCUGUUAAAGGGCUGAAGAAACUAAAAAGCAUAGAGCCUGAGGUUUAUGGGGAGGGUUUCUCAACGCCUUUUCCAUCAUUGGAGAUUCUAAGUUUCGAGAAUUUGACAGAAUGGGAGCAUUGGGACACGGAUAUCAAAGGAAAUGCACUUGUUGAAAUAUUUCCUCGUCUCCAUAAACUUUCCAUUGUGAAAUGUCCCAAACUCUCUGGAGAACUGCCUGAGCUCCUGCCCUCCUUGGAGACACUUGUUGUUAGUAAAUGUGAAAAGUUGGUAGUUCCAAUGUCUUGCUAUCCGAUGCUCUGCAGAUUAAAAGUUGAUGAGUGCAAAGAACUGGUCUGCCGGACUCCAAUUGAUUUUAAGUUGAUAAAGUCUGUGACUAUUUCAAAUUGUUCACUAGACAUGUAUGGAUGCAAGGGGAUGCUAUACAAUGGUCCAGCUGGCUCUUCACUGCCGAAAUCCAUGACUAUUACAAAUGUUUUGGCGUUUGGAAAAUUAUUGAAGCCUGGAUUUCAGAUAUUAGAAACUUUGGUAAUUGACAAUUCUGAACAGCUCAAGUCAUGGAGGCAGCGUGGGGAUUUUCGACAAGAAUAUUUGGGCGUUCGCGUAAGGCGUCACAAACCAUCACAAGGGCUAGAUAUGCUCGCCUCCCCAGAAGAGGUAACAAUUGAAGAAAGUUGUGUGAGUUUUGUUUUAUUUCCAGAGAUCAAUUUCUUUCCCAGAAAUCUGCGCUCUCUUCUAAUUUGCAACAGCACAGCUUUAAAAUCCUUACCCGAUGAAAUGAUGGACAAUUCACAACUCGAAAGGUUGUAUAUCAGAGAUUGCGAUUCUCUAACAUUCAUCACAAGACGCAAGCUACCUUCAUCUCUAAAAAGUAUAGAGAUUGAGAAUUGUGAGAAACUGCAACAUUUGUUCGAUGAUAAAGAGGAUGCUUCUUCUUCUUCUCCUCCUUCAUCCUCGUCCUCCCCAGUGAUGCUGAAACACCUGAGUAUAAAUAAUUGCCCAGUGCUCACCAGUUUAUCAACAGGAAUCCAAUUACUUGAGGCGCUUGAAAGCCUCGAGAUACGGGAUUGUCCAAAGCUGGAGUCAUUACCAGAUGGCCUUCACAAUCUUAACUGUUUACAGGAGAUUACUCUAAACAGUUGUCCAAGUCUUGUUUCCUUCCCAGAAAGAGGACUUCCCAACACGAUUUCAAAUCUUGUAUCGUUUCCAGAAGAAGGUUUUCCUACCAAUCUAACAUCACUUACAAUUGGAUAUUUCAAAAUGUAUAAGACACUCGUCCAGUGGGGGUUGCACAGGCUUACCUCUCUUAAACGCCUCUGCAUCAUUGGAUGUGAUGAUGAAGCAGAGUGUUUUCCAGACGAGGAGAUAGGAAUGACGCUGCCCACCUCUCUCACUCAUCUGACACUUUCGGAAUUCAAAAAAUUGAUAUCUCUGUCUUCGACGGGUAUUCAGAGCCUCAACUCUCUUCAAUCUUUGUCGAUCGGGAAUUGCCCGAAUCUCACAUCAUUUCCAGAGGUGGGCCUUCCAUCCUCACUUUUGGAAUUACACAUUUACAGUUGUCCAAAGCUUAAAAAAGCGUGCAAAAGAGAUCAAGGAAAAGACUGGCCCAAAAUUGCUCACAUCCCUUUCGUUGAGAUAGACGGUAAAUUCAUAUACGAUCCCGAAUCAGAGGAGUAGAUUCUAUUACACAGGUCAGUUGAUUUAUAUUAUCCGCUAUAACAAGCUCCUCCUUUUUUAUUUUUUUUAAAUAAUAAUUUUGCAGUCAGUCACGUGAUUCCGUUUUCACAAGUCAGAUUGUAUGUUGAGGCUAUUUGCCUUUUAAUCGCAGAUUAAAUUAUAACACUUAUCUUAAAAUUUAAUACCAUAGACAGAUAGACGAUUUUUUAAUCCAAAGUUUUUUUUAUUCACUUCAGUUAGCAUUUUUUUUUCCCCCAAAUCAUGCAAGCCGAGAGUUUCAAUCAAGAAUUGGAGGAUGUGAAUGGGAUUUUUGUGAAAGAGUAACAUAAUGGAUGACCGAACAUUUCAUCUGUGAUCUCAAAGUCAACAGAAUUUUAUUCACUCAUUGACUUUUCAACUGCCGUGGUUUUUAUGGGUGAAAGAUAAGGGCAAUUACAAAAAAUUUGCAAAAUUUGUCAAUUUCUUAGAUGGUAGAUAUAUCGACAUUUUAGAUUUCAGAUAUUUGUCACCAAUUUGCAAAAUUGAAAUUUCUGUCUUCAAUGGGUUUUCAAAGCCUCGCCUCUCUUCGAUUUUUGUGGAUUGGGAAUUGCACAAAUCUCACAUCAUUUCCCGAGGUCGAGGAAAAGAGCGGCCCAAACUUGCUCGCAUCCCUUGGGUUAUGAUAGAUGGAAAAUUCAUGUACGAUCCAGUCAGAGGUGUUGAUUCUCUUAUUAAGGUCAGCUGAUUUCUAUUAUCCACUCUGACAAUCUCCUAUUAGUGUUUUUCCUUUUUUUUUUUUCAAAAUUUUGCAGUUCUGUAUAAUUGAAAAUGCCACUCACUUGUUUCCUUUUUCACAGGUCAGAUAGUAUGUUGAGGCUAUUUGAUUUCUAUCGGUGUUUGUUAAGGUAAUUAGUGCUCCCUCAUAGGUAUGACUAGAUUUUUUUCACUUCCGUAAAUAUUGCAUUUUAGACUGGCAAAUUUAGCAGUAAUUUUAAUACAAUUUUGUUGGUGCCUUGUGUGCCAGAAGCUAGAAAAAUGUGUAGUUUUCAGAUAAGGAGUCUUGUUAGUUCUCUAGUAAGAAUCCAAUAAUUUGCUUUUGCACGUCCAUCUAAUUUGUGGAUCCUUGCAUCAGAAUUUGAUCAAUCCAAAGGAAUUGCUUUUAGACAGAAGAAGAAUAGCAGCACCUAGCCUAUGUCAUAGUGUAUGGACCCGCAAACCUGAAACUAUUAGAUUGAGGUAAAAAAAUCAUUGACCCUCACAUGUUAACUUCUUCUAGUUACUUUUGUUGGGAAAAAAAAACAUUUAAGGAAUUUGCAAUUUGUUGUUAGUUAUGGUAUCUGAUGUUCUUUUCUGUUUUAGCGUUUGUAGAAUCUACGGUAUUAUGUGUUGGCAGUUGCCGUAUCUGAGGUAACUUGCCUUUAUUUGUUUGCUUCUGACUUAAGGACACCAACAUUUGCCAGAGAUUUAGAGAAGCAUCUCAAAACACUUAGCAAACUUGACAAACUUCAAGAUGCACUUGCCCCCACGCCUUAUUCUCCACAACGCAAAACUUGUGAGUACACUUAUGCCUGCAAUUAUUGUGAAGUGUUUGCAAUUUCGAUGCAGAGAAAUGGUUUCUUGAUGCAAAGUAUUAAACUGUUAAGAUUUAUCCUGCAGGCUUGUUAGAUGUUGUAUACUCGAAAAGCCAACAACAUCAAGAACUACAACUCCAAGACCAACUUUGCAUUAAUUCAGUCAGCUGUAAAAAUGAUGCAAAUGACACUAUAUCAAGCUGGACUUAGAGACUAGUCAGAUCAAUCAUCCAUUUCAUCAACGGUUAAUGUCAUGAUGGUGGCUAUCAGAGGAAACAAAAGAUGUGUCAGAAUCUAUACGAACAUUGAGAAGCAUGAGAGGAGCUUUGAUUUUGAGUAGGGUCAAUGAACUCAUGUUGGUAAGUGGUGAUUAAAGAAAUUUGUAAGCUUAGUAGAGUUUCAGUAUUUUCUGUUUGGAGUAUAGUUGAUAAGUUGACUCUGUUUAAGAAGCCCGAUUAUAGUAGCUGACUGUAUUAACCUUUUUUUUUUUGGUCUGCUGUUGUUUUUGGUUUCGAUUAUUUUUUCAACAUUGGGUUGAUCUGUUGAAGAACAAGCUUGGGUUUGAUUAUGUUUUAACUAUAAGGAAGAGCCAGACUUGGUUGCAGGCGUUAAGCUUUUAAUGGGUAAGAACAAAUGAAUGCUUUAACCAUGUUUCUCACUUAUUAAAAUGCAUGGAUUGAAGGCAUCUGGGUUGAUCCUGACAAUGUGAUGGAAAUACUUCUCUGUUUUCAUGUAACAGGACAAAUAGAGAUCUCUGAUCAUGCCUGAAUUUUUGUUGCAUUGAAAUUUCUACCAUUACCAAACAUAGAAUGAACUGGGGAUACAUUAGCUUAAGACUCAAUUUUGAGAAGGAAGUUUGUACUUGCAGCCUAUAAAAUCAUGUCCGUGUCGUACGUUUCUUUGGGAAAUGAAAGAUUCUGUGUGUUCUUUUAUUUCAAGUUCACUGAAAUCACAUUUGUUUUCUCCGAUGCUUUCCAGAAGGUAACAACAUCAAUUUCAAAAAUGCUGGGGCAAGAUGCAUCAUGCAGUGCGACUCAACUUGAGAAUUCCUGGCCACAUUACCCGUAUGUCGAAUGAUCGCACAGUUCAACCUUGAGAAGCUUGUAAUGAGUACACAACUGGGUGCAAGUAGUUUUGAAAUGAAUUUGCCUCAAAUGAUUUCUUGCUCGCAUCCCUUGGGUUAUGAUAGAUGGAAAAUUCAUAUACGAUCCAGAGUCAGAGGUGUUGAUUCUCUUAUUAAGGUCAGCUGAUUUCUAUUAUCCACUCUGACAAACUCCAAGACCGGGUUUUUUUUUUUUUUUAAUUUUGCCGUUCUGUAUAAUUGAAAUGCCACUCACUUGUUUCCUUCUUCACAGGUCCGAUAGUAUGUUGAGGCUAUUUGCUUUUUAUCGGUGUUUGUCAAGGUAAUUAGUGCUGCCUCAUAGGUUGAUUACUCACAGAUGAAAUCAUAACUUUUAUCUUAAAAUUUAAUAGCAUACACAGAUAGAUGAUUUUUAGUCCAAAGUUUUUUUAUUCACUUCAAUCAAAAUUUUAGAUUGCAGAUUUUUGUCAAGUAUUUCAUUACAAUUUUUUCAUUUUUUAUUUUAAACCAGAAUAUGAGUAUAACAUUUUGGAGCGUGCAUACUCUGAUGCAUGCAAUUAACUGUUUUUAAUCAUUGGAUUUUGAAAUUAAUAAUGGUAAGAUGUGUACUUAUUCUGUCUUCCAACAACCUUGGCCUCUUUCUUCGGUCGCAUAUCUAAUGAAUAUUUCUCUGUUUAGUUAAGGAUGAAUGCUUGGAGUGGGGUACUUGGUAACAUUUCUGCCUCAGAUGAAUCCUUGAAGAAAUGCCCGCAGUUCCUGAGACCAAAUACAGGUCUGAUUCAAAACAGCACCUUUCUCAGAAAAUAUGAUCCAAGGCAAAGUCAUGUUCUGAUAAUGUUUCCUUAAGUACAAAGUUGCAAGGAAACUUGAUUCAUUAACUACAGUUUUUUAUUUUUAGGACCUUGUAUCUGAAAGGUUCAGUGUUUUUUUUUUUUUCAAAUUUAUUGUUCAGAUCUCAGAGGAGUAUAUGGUUUAGAUUACAAAACACCCAUGAUUAAUUUCAUUUUUUUUUUAAUUUCAGGGAGAAGAAGUGGUCAGUUUCAAUCCGGAAUUGGAAUAUGGCAAUUUGGUUCAAGCACACACACCUGGUCACUUGGUCAGUGAACCUGAACUUUACGCAGUUUUUUCAACUCAGUGAUUUUUGGAACGCAUAGUGGUGUAAGGAAAUCAAAAGAAAUUUAUGCAUAGUCAAAUUCUGAUAUUUGCUAUAUAUUAUACAUUCUAAAGUUUCUCCAGUUUGUUCUCAGAUUACCAUCAUUUUUUGCCUUCACCAAAAAAAAAAAAUUGAGUGGCUUUCCAGUGGAUAUUUAAUCGGAGGUAUGACUGGAUUUUUUUCACUUCUGUAAAUCUUGCAUUUUAAACUGGCAAAUUUAACUUUAAUUUUAAUACGACUUUGUUGGUGCCUUGUGCCCCAGAAACUAGAAAGAUGUGUAGUUUUCAGAUAAAGGGGCUUGUAAAUUCUCUAGUAAGAAUCCAAUAAUUUGCUUUUGCACGUUCAUUUUAUUUGUGGAUCCUUGCAUCUGAAUUUAAUCAAUCCAAAAGGAAUUGCUUUUAGACAGAAGAAGAAUAGCAGUACCUAGCCUAUGACAUAGUAUAUGGACCUGCAAACCUGAAACUAUUAGUUUGAGGUAAAAAAUUCAUGACCCUCACAUGUUAACUUUCAUGAAAAACACAUUUAAGAAAUUUGCAAUUUUUUGUUAGUUUCGUAUCCGAUGUUGUUUUCUGUUUUAGCAUUUGUAGAAUCUACUGUAUUAUAUUUUGGCAGUUGCAGUAUCUGAGGUAUGUUUUGCAUUUAACUUGCUUUAUUUGUUUUGCUUGUGACUUAAGAACACCAAUAUUUGCCAGAGAUUUAGAGAAGCAUAUCAAGCUGCUUGGCAAACUUGACAAACUUCAAGAUCCUCCAUUCUUCACAACGCAAAACUUGUAAGUACACCUAUGCCCGCAGUUAUUGUGAAAUGCUUGCAAUUUUGAUGCGCUGAAAUGGUUUGUUGAUGCAAAGGUUUAAACUUUUAAGAUUUACCCUGCAGGGUAGUUGGAUGCUGUAUACUCGAAAAGCGACCAACAUCAAGAACUAUGACUCCAAGACCGGGUUUGCUUUAAUUCAAUCAGCUGAAAUCAUGAUGCAAACGACACUAUCAGCUGGACUUAGAGACCGGUCAGAUCAAUCAUCCAUUUUAUCAACAGUUAAUGUCAUGAUGGUGGCUAUUAGAGGAAACAAAGGAUGUGUCGGAAUCAAUGUGAACAGUGAGAAGAAUGAGAGGAGCUUUGAUUAUACGUAGGCUCAAUGAACUCAUGCUGGUAAGUGGUAAUUAAAGAAAUUUGUGCGCUUAGUAGCAUUUCAAUAUUUUCUGUUUGGGAUAUAGUUGAUGAGUUGAUACUCUGAUUAAGAAGCCUGAUUAUAGUAGCUGACUUUUUUUUUGUGGUUUGCUGUUGAUUUUUCUUUUGAUUUUUUCAACAUUAGGUUGAUCUGUUGAAGAACAAGCUUGGGUUGAUUAUGCUUUAACUACAAGGAAGAGCCAGACUUGGAUGCAGGCGUUCAGCUUUUAAUGGGUAAGAACAAAUGUAUGCUUUAAACAUGUUUCUCACUUAUUACAAUGCACGCAUUGAAGGCAUCUGAGCUGAUCCUGAAAAAGUGAUGGAAAUACUUCUCUGUUUACAUAAAACAGGACAAGAGAUCUCUGAUCAUGCCUGAGAAUUAGUUGCAUUGAAAUUUCUACCAUUGCCAAAAAUAGAAUAAACUAGGAAUACAUUAGCUUAAGACUCAAGUUUGAGAAGGCAGUUUGUACAUGCAGCCUAAAAAAUCAUGUCUGUGUUGUAUACUUGUAUGUUUCUUUGGGAAAUGAAAGAUUCUGUGUGUUCUAUUAUUUCAAGUUUGCUGAAAUCACAUUUGUUUUCUUAGAUGCUUUUGAGAAGGUAACAACAUCAAUUUCAAAAAUGCUGGGGUAACAUGCAUCACGCAGUGCUACUCAACAUGAGAAUUCCGGCCGCAUUACCUGUAUGUUGAGUGAUCGCACAGUACAGCCUUUAGAAGCUUGUAAGGAGUAGACAACUAGAUGUGAGUAGUUUCAAUAUGGAUUCGCAUCAAAUGAUCUCUUGCCAGUGAUUACUAUAACCUCUAUCCCAAAAUUCUUGGAACUGGUCAUACCAAUAAUGAAGUGUUGUGUAUGUUGAAGACAUUGCGAAAGCUCCGUCAGCCUUUGUAUUGGAAAACAGUUGGUUGUAGUUGCUUCUGAAUGAUAUUAUUAAUAGAUACUGUAAAAAUGAACUGUGCCACUCAUUUUCAGAGCCCUGUUAAGAUGUGUUGGUAAUGUGUUUGAAGGUUGUUUGAUUUAUGUUGUAUUCAGCUAUAAAUCAAAGAUUCAGAACAUGGUUAUGUUACUGGUUUCCAAAUCAAAAAAUUGCCUUGUGAUGUUAGUGUUCAUUGUUUUCACAGGAGAUCAGGUUCCCUGUUGAUGAAUCAUUAAGGCAAACGCAUCCAUGUCUUAAGUUCAAAUGUGUCUCUUCUAUUUUCUAUUACUGACUCCUUUAUUUUGAUUUCUUCAUUGUAAUGGAAUUGGUUUUUAUUCCAAAUUAGUCUUAAGUUCUGUUAGCAUUUGAAGAUAGAACUAGAACUAAAUGAUUGACUGGAUUAAAUUCCGAUAAAGAAUUAAGUUAUAUAUUUAGAGAUAUUAUGUUUUUUUUUUUUUCAUUUGUUCAAUUUGGUUAGUGGUGAUUUCUUAAAGACUCAAUCCAUGUGCGUUUAUGCAUUUUUCUUUUGCCUUAAUUUCUGUUUCUUGGGGAGUUUAUACAGAUUCUUAUUUUAUGCUUCACAUGCCACAUGAAAGAUCGAAUUCUUAUAAUAAGAGUCUGAGAUCUCCCUGAAGGAUUCAAAGCAUUUUAUUUUAUAUUAAACUCCUUUACGUGGGUUUGGACACUACCACAAGUUCUUUAAAUACUAAAACGAUUUUAAGUCUUUUGUAUCAUCUGAUUGAAAUACAUGAAAGCACUCGUGGCUGCAAAAAUACAGUUGGGGCUAUUUCUAAAGUCUUCAACAGCAUUUUCUUUUUAACCUUUAUCCUCAUGGUUGUUUUUGCAGUUGUUCUUUAAGAAAACAUUUAAAAGGUUCUCUUUAUGGAUUUUUGAAAAUAAUUUUAACAUAAGCAAUUUUCAGAAGCACUUUAGAUGUCUGGCAUUUAGAAAAUUUUAUUCCGGUGUCACAUAAAAUACUUAGGAAGUUAAAUUUAUUUAUUUAUGAGCAUGUGCCAGUGCCCUGUGGCAUCCUCUUCACUUGUGAUAGUCAAAUGUAUUAUACGAUACAAUAUUAGCUUGACUGUAGCACAGAGGAGAAUAGGGUUGGUGUUGGUCUGAACCAGCUUAUGUAACAGCUGCCAAAGGAUAAUUUAAUUGUACUUUGAGUAAAGCUUUUGCAAAUUAAACAAGUGAUAAUUUGUUUCUAUUAAGAAAAACUUAAAGGAUAGGGCUAUUUUAACUCACCAAACUACACAUUAAAAAUCUACUUACAAAAAUAGUUUUUAAUUAUUAAAAUAUUCCUAAAUUAAAUUAUAAUUAUGGACACUAAAAUAUAAUUUUUUUUAUAUUUUACCCUUUGAAACUAUCUUUACAUUCGAUAUUACAUUUUUUUCUUAAACUCCAAAUUGAUUUUUUUUAUUAAUUUUAAAACACAUAUAAAGUGAUUCAUAUUGAUUUUAUACUAACAAACUAUUAUAGCACAUUCGAAAAAUAAUUAAAUCGUUCUUAUUUACAUAGUGAAAAUGCAAAUAGCUCAUUCAAAUGUUAAGGAAUUGGAGAGCUGCUGCUGGAGAUGAAAGAUGUGAAUUAAACAUCAGAGAAAAAAUUAUGUUCACUGUCUUGCCAGACCAAGCACCGAAAAGCGUCGUAAAGAAAAAUUAGAUAAUUUAGAAGAUAAAGCACGUGGAAUGGAGGCAGAAAGCAAGUAAUGAUAACUCUUUCGACAAACUAAUAUAUACCAAAAUGUAAUAUCGGCCCUAAUAAAAAAUGUGUUACGUAAGUAAAAGCACCAGGUCGGUCGUGCUACUAUUUCUGUCCCGGUAUGGCUCACCUCAACUGAAUGGUACAAGCAGAGCAUGGAGACGAAUAUGGCCCGACCAGAGAUGAGUACCGACCAGAGGUGUAUGUCGAGCCGAUACCCGUCUCCUGAAAAAGCGGGAACACGAUCCCACAGAAUCGCGGAAUUUGCGUUUUUCCCAGAACCGUUGCGAGAGAUGCGAUACCCCACGUUUACCCGUAAUGUAGUAGUUAAAGUUCCGUGAAAGGCCACCACCCGAAAAAGGAGGGAUGAAGACUGAGCGGGAACGUGGGAUAACGGCUAUAAAAGAAGGAGAAAUCGAUGAAGAAGGGGACAGAAAAAUCAAAAGAGGGAAAACGCUGCCAAAUUAUUGUCAGGCUAUCUUCUUGAAAAUUCCAGAUAAAUCAAAAACUACUCUUAAAUCUAAAUUGCUCUGUUUUCCCGUAAAUACCUUGAGCUAACUUAGGCAUCGGAGGGUUUACGCCGGCAAAACCACCCGCGUCUUUGAUCCGUUUUUUUGUGAGCGCAGGUCUAGAAAGAGAAAGGAGGACGAGUCCAAGUCCCGCGGUUCGAACUUGAUAACAUAAUCGUUGGUGGAAAAUUCUGGUCGGUAACAAGGCGAGCAGAUUUAAGCAUCAACAUUUUGGCGCCGUCUGUGGGGAGCUGGAUAAAAAGCUACCACCAACUUAGUAGUUGCCAGAGAAGCGGUAAACAAUCAGACAUGGAUGUGCCCAGGAAAGACGCUCUGAGGGAGGAUAACGAGUCUGGAGAGACAAUCACUCUUAGGGAAAUUGCAAAUGAAGCCCGGGAGAGGGUAAUGCAAGAUCGAUUGGAGCGGAUGGAGAAACAAAUGGAGACUCUCGCGACCAUACUAUUUGAGCUGAGAGACGAGCGGAGAAGGGAUUGCGAAACCCCUGUGGGGAGAGAUGAUGUCGGAGCAGAACCCAGCCUCCGGACGCGUAGAGUCGAGGAGAUCCCUCCGCCGGCGGACCAACCUAAUGGGGUGCAUCCCCACAGAAGUACUGGUCGGAUUCCAGGAGAACAAAUAGAUGAAGGGAGGAACCAACCUCGCCCUGGGCGGGUACUGGAAGCUGAUGGCCGAGGGGCCAGUGUUAAUGAAGGGGAGCUCAGGCAGCGGUUGCAGAAUGCCGAACAGGAGCGAGAUCAAAUAGCUGCACGUGAUCCUGACCGUGCUGUAGAAUUGGAGGGAGAGGUGCGCAGAUUAGCGCAAGUGAUAGAGGAGAUACAGGGUAGGAGAAAGCCCCCGAGCUGGAGGAUAAUGCUAGAUGAAGAAUCUCCACUAUCAGUUGAGAUCAUGGGCACUGUAAUCCCAAGAGAUUUCCGCUUCCCCGACCUCAAAUACUCCGGGCGAAGUGAUCCACUGGUGCAUAUUGAACGUUUUAAUGACGUGACGGGUGUUCAGGGGUUAACACCAGCUCAGAGGUGUAGGGUAUUCCCAUUGACACUAGAGAGACGAGCCCGAGAAUGGUACCACAAACUGUUACGAGGAAGUAUCAGAGGGUACGAGCAGAUGUGCCAAGAAUUGGCCGAACAAUUCCGGGGGGCGGUGGCCCCAGAGGAUGAUAUGAUGGAACUAAUGGGGAUAAAGCAGGAGGAACAAGAACCCCUUCGAGAUUUUGUAAAACGAUACCACCGAGCCGUGCUUGAUUUGGGAGCUUUCAAUCACCCGCAGGCGUUGAGGGGAUUGAAGGAGGGUGUGAGAAUAGGCCGACUGUGGUAUAACCUGAGAAGCCCCCUGGUGCAGAAUUAUUCCGCGGGGUAUGAGCAAGCAAAGAGAGACAUUGAAAUCGAAGAAGAAAAAUCAGCCAGGAUAAAGAGUGAACAAUUGGAGGAGCUGAGACGAAGAGAGAUGAGAGCCCCAAAAGGAGCGGGUCAGGAAAGCAAGCUGGGGAAUCUUCAAUGAUGGGUGCAGUAUCCGCUCGAUCUCGCCUUUAUCCUAUGGCUCAGAGACCGCAGCAGGUCCAACACAAUCGGGCUCAGCCCUCACGCCCCCCAUUCCUGGAACGACAACGAGAAUUUCGGCAGUUGGCUAACCAUCCCUAUCACAACGCUCCCAGAGCACCGCAUACAGCCAACCCCAGAGCGGGACGAUCAGGUCAGCUACCUUCAAUAUCCGCUCGGGAUGAUACUCAUGAUAGCCGAGCAGUCCAGCUGAUUGACCAGAACCCAGCGUACGGACAAUAUACCCCGCUAAAAGUCCCUAUGGAGGAGUUGUAUGAGAGAAUCGAGGGACGAGGCCUGUUGUACCCUCCAGCCCCUAUAACGAAACCUGCUCACCGAAGGGAUAAGAGCAGAUUCUGCAAAUUCCAUGACACUCACGGUCACACCAUCAGCCAAUGUCGUGACUUUAAGAUUCAGGUGGAGGAUUUGGUGAGAAAUCGUUAUUUGGAUGAGUAUGUAGAUGGGGUUUCUCCCGUCAUUGAAUCACAGUACACGCGGGGUGAAGGAGAUGAGAGGAGCCUGGAACGUGAACAGCCAACUAUCCGUGUGAUAGCAGGAGGGCCAACCCUGGCUGGGGAUUCGAAUAGGGCACGGAAGAACUAUGGGAAAUACGCCAUGACCAGCAAAGAAGUUCUUUUCAAUUUGCCAGCAGCCAAGAAGGCAAAAUUGCGGCAAGUUCCCAUUAUGUGGACAGAUGACGAUAAAGAGGGUAUCCUAUAUCCUCAUAAGGAUGCACUGGUGAUUAAGGCAAUGGUGGCUGGUACAGAACUACGACGGAUACUGGUAGACACGGGCAGCUCGGUUGACAUCUUGUUUAAAUCGGCCCUAGAUGAUAUGGGGAUUGCAGACUUAAAAUUGGAACGGACGAACACAUCUUUAAAGGGAUUUGGAGGGGGACGGCUAACUCCCAUAGGAAUCGUCGAACUCCCAAUUACUAUGGGGACAAAGCUGUUUGAAAGAACAAUGAUGUUGGAUUUUGUCGUGGUAGAGGAGAGAAGCCCUUACCAGAUGAUACUGGGGAGACCGUUCAUGAAGAUAAGUCAAUGCGUUGUGUCUACGCAUUAUCUGGCACUAAAAUACAGAAUAAACGGAGCGGUUGGUGUAGUAAAAGGUGACCAGAGGGUGGCAAGGAGUUGUUAUGCUACAGCGGCCAAGGAGACGCUGCAGGUUACUUCCUUAGAUAAUCGAGGAGAACCUAAAAAGGGCCGCCAAGAACCUGUUGAGAAACUGGAGGCAGUUUCGGUAAGCAAAGGCGACCUGAGCAGAGUGGUGAAGAUCGGAUCGGGGUUGGUUGGUGCAGUCAAAGGCGAACUGGUAAAUUGCCUACAGUCUCAUGCAGAUAUAUUUGCCUGGUCUCACGAGGAUAUGCCAGGAAUUGAUCGUGGGGUAGCUUGCCACAAGUUGGCAAUUAAGAAGGGGGCGAGGCCGGUGAGACAGAAGAGGAGAUGCUUUAACCAGGAAAGAUACCCAGACGGACGAGAUGUGAAGAGGUCAUGGAACGCCGAGCACUUAAAGAAGUAUUUUCAGUAAGCAAAGUGCUCUGCUAAAUCCUCAUUUUGAUAAGUUUUCUUUGUUAACUGCAUGAUGGUUUAUUACGCAUGUACAUAGUCUGUAUUUUGUAAUACAUUCAAAUCGCAAUAAAGAUGAAUUCAGCAUGAAACCCUUCUGUUAAGCAAGGCCAUUAUAAUUUAUACCAAGGCAAGUAAGUGCCUGCUUCUGCUCGGUCAACGAAAGACCAGCAGCUAAAUUAGCGAAAUUUCUACCAAGGCAAGUAAGUGUCUGCUUCUGCUCGGUCAACGAAAGACCAGCAGCUAAAUUAGCGAAAUUUCUACCAAGGCAAGUAAGUGCCUGCUUCUGCUCGGUCAACGACAGGCCAGCAGCUAAAUCUACGAAAAUUAUACUAAGGCAAGUAUGUGCCUGCUUUAGUUCGGUCCACGAAAGACCAGCAGCUAAUACUACGAGAAUUCUGCUAGGGCAAAUAAGUGCCUAGUUCUGCUCGGUCAACGAAGACUAGCAACCAAUUUUAUUAAAAUUUUACUAAGACAAGUAAAUGCAUACUCCUGCUCGGUCCACAAAGAAACCAGCAAGCAAAAUCAGAUAAGUUGUCCAAUUAUUUUGCAGAAACCAUCUAUGAGCAAAUACCAGACAAGAAAGUCAAUAGAGAACAUCUAAAAGUUUAUAAAUGUUUGAUUGUCUACAAAAUAGAUGUAAAUCUAAAGUUUACACAGAAAUAGACUUAAAGAUUAGCAGGGUCAACGGCUCCAGCAGCUGAAGAAUCAGCAACCUCAGGAGGCGGGAGAUCGGCAAUACCGGGAGGAGGGGGCAUGGACCCUUGACCCACCUCGAAAGUACGUCCCCCGGCUUCCCCCUCCUGCACCCCCUCCAAAGGAGCCUCCGCCUGAUCCUGAUGACCUUGCUCCUUAUCUGCCUGGCCGGUUUCCGCCAUAUACCGCUGCACUCCAGCCUCCAGCUUACUCAUGUCCAGCUCGGGAUAUUCUUCUUUAAGCACGGACAUGAUACACUUAUAGGAGAAAGCAACCCCAGAGUCAUACUCGGCAUCCAGCUGGUCGUCCACAUCAGCGGAUUUGCCUUUCUCCUCAGCCAGCUGUUCAUUUAGGGAUUUGAUUUCUCCCUCAAGGGCAGUCCUCAGAGUAUCUCUUUCACUUUGAGUUACCUGAAGGUCAGACUUCAGGCUGCCCAACUCACCCUCGAGUUUGGAGGCAGUGGACUCAGCAAUUGCAGUUUUCUCCUCCAGCUCCAUAAUCUGUUUGUUCAGCUCGGCCAGUUUCUCCUUGGAGCGAUCAGCAGAUUCAGCCUUCUUUUUCAACUCCUGAUUAUCAGCUUGAAGCUUCCUCUCAUGGCGUAUGGACACGUUCUUGUAACACGAAACCAUGGUGGCCAGCCUGAAGGAAACCCUUUGAACAGAGGCAGCUAACUCGGAGAGCUCCAUACUCUCGAUGUCCUUCACCAUCUUGGGCCCAACCGACCUCUUGUAAUCCUUUUGGUACGGGCUCAAAUAGUCACCCUGAUCCCGAGAUGGAAGAGGAGAAGAUCGGUCCCCAGAUUGUAAGCUGACCUCAGGGCUCUUGUCGGAAGUUUUCUCCCCACUACUCUUACGAGGUGGAGGAGGGGGCAGAGCAGGAACUGGAGCCUGAGAAGGACUGGCACUGGCCUUUUUCGGAGGAGGAGGAGGGUGGCUGGAGCUGCUCGAUGCCCGACCACGCUUUCUGCUCAUCGCGCUGAGGAUCUUGUUAUCCAUCCCAGCGGCAAUAUCUACUAAGCCCGAACCGACCAGGUUUGUUGGUGACAGGAGGUCUUGACAAGUAGACGCGCUCACCAGAGCCGUUUCCACCUGGAGUAAAGGUCGGUCCUCGAGAGUCUUAACCAAACCCCACGAUUCUGAAAAAACAGACAAGGUUAAAGAACCCAAUAAGUGGCAAUUCGAGAAAGAAUAUAGGCAAAAAAUGAACGACCUGGGGUGACAAAUUGCGUUGGAAGGUAAAUGUCACCACCCAACGACCGAACUGCUGGACACCAAUUUCCCCCAGCAAAGAAGAAUUUGUUCUUCCAAUUUUUGCACGAGGAGGGGAAACCGGUGAUUGGCUUUCUCUUCGCAGAACUGGACAUGAAGUAGUACCAGCCCGCCUCCCUUGGGCUGCUCCGCAGCUGAUACAGAUGCUUCACUUCAACAAGGGAAGGCUCCUCCGACCCACACCUCUCCCACAACACAAACAUAGCCGAGAGAACCCUCCACCUGUUUGGGUGUAGUUGACCUGGGGCCAGGUGCAUACCCCCUAAAAUCUUGGCAAAAUAGCGCUGAAGAGGCAGCCGAGCUCCUAAUUUAAAGCUCUCCAGGUGCAUGGUCACGUACUCCCGCGGAGGCCGACUAGGAACAUCACCUUUCUCAGGAACCACAAGGAGAACCUCCUUAGGAAUAUCAUAGAGGUUCCUAAGCUUGAACAGAUCAUUUUGGGUGGUGGCACAGGCUAUGUGAUCAAUGGGGUAAGAAUCUGCCUCCAUCCUAUGCCCAAGGUUUUGUUUCUUAAGAGGUCGGCUCGGCUCGGCUCGGAGCUGCUUCCCUCACUAUCACCCGCUCCUUCAGGAACCCCGACCCCACCAGAACUGUGGUUCUCGCCAGAGCCCGACGCAGGUCCCCCUCUAUUUCCUACAAGCUCUAAUUCAGAGGAGGGUGAAAUGGUCAAGGGACGUGGGUACUCAAGGAUAUCCCUACUAUGGGAUAAGCCUACACUACGAGAGGGAUUCAAAAAAUCAGUGGGUAUGGGCAAGUUAAGGUCUGAAUCCCCAGAUUCUUCAUCACCCUCGUCUGCAAUCAACUUCCUUCUUCGAUUUGACAUACCGGAGUUCCAAAAGAAAACCAAAACAAACCCAAGUACACGAAUACAAAAAGAGACAGUACAGAACCCAAUCAACAACAGCCAAAAAAGAGGUUAAAGGCUAUACCUGGAAUGGACUAACAUUGGUAGCACUGCCGUGACAGAGAAAACACCCAGCAAAUGGAUACUCCGGACGCUGGAAAUGGGAGCAAAGUCCAGAAAAGAAAUUGGUUAGUGACGGAGAAACGAAUCGCAGAAUGAUGAUGAUUUUAGUCUAGGGAUUUGGAACGAAAAGGGGGGAAACGGAAGCAUUUAAGUGAUGGGAUAUGCCAGCUCACUCACCAUAUAUCGAGGAAGGAUAGCCCGUCGUUUCAAAUUUCAAAAUAUGAAGAGUCGGGAAGCGCCACGUCACUAACCGAUACAAGAGGCCAGACUAGAGCAAGCCCAGAUAUGCAAUGGACAGGCUCAUUAAGGCCCAUGCUCAGAAGACCAGAUGAGAAGCCCCGGGCUGGUCGGCUUCAACCAUCAGUUUCUACUCUUAACUCAUUUCACUCGCAAGACCAGAAACUGGGGGACUGGUGUUAAGUAAGUAAAAGCACCAGGUCGGCCGUGCUACUAUUUCCGCCCCGGUAUGGCUCACCUCAAUCGAAUGGUACAAGCAGAGCAUGGAGACGAAUAUGGCCCGACCAGAGAUGAGUACCGACCAGAGGUGUAUGCCGAGCCGAUACCCGUCUCCUGAAAAAGCGGGAACACGAUCCCACAGAAUCGCGGGAUUUGCGUUUUUCCCAGAACCGUUGCGAGAGAUGCGAUACCUCACGUUUACCCGUAAUGUAGCAGUUAAAGUUCCGUGAAAGGCCACCACCUGAAAAAGGAGGGAUGAAGACUGAGCGGGAACGUGGGAUAACGGCUAUAAAAGAAGGAGAAAUCGAUGAAGAAGGGGACAGAAAAAUCAAAAGAGGGAAAACGCUGCCAAAUUAUUGUCAGGCUAUCUUCUUGAAAAUUCCAGAUAAAUCAAAAACUACUCUUGAAUCUAAAUUGCUCUGUUUUCCCGUAAAUACCUUGACCUAACUUAGGCAUCGAAGGGUUUACGCCGGCAAAACCACCGGCGUCUUUGAUCCGUUCUUUUGUGAGCGUAGGUCUAGAAAGAGAAAGGAGGACGAGUCCAAGCCCCGCGGUUCGAACUUGAUAACAUAAUCGUUGGUGGAAAAUUCUGAUCGGUAACAAGGCGAGCAAAUUUAAGCAUCAACAAAAUGAAAAUAAAAAUUCAUUACGAAUACGUGUUAAAGAUAUCCCAAGUAUAGAUGUGACUGAAAUAUUUGAGAUUGAAGAAGAAUUAAGACUCAAAAUCAAUUGGGAGGAAUAAAUGAGAAACCCCAAUACCAAAAAAUACACGCACAAAUCCUAAUACUAAUUGUAAUCACGGAUAAAAAGCAUAAUACGAAUAAAUUAAAUGGGCAACUAUUCCAUUGAGAAAUUAAUUAAAUCGUGUAUUAAUAUUUUGUAUACAUAUAUUUUUCUAUAUAUAACUUUCGGUAAUUUAAUUUUCCACUUAUCAUUUUUACUCCAAAAAAAUAAUUGAGAAUAUUAUUUAUAUUUUGGUGCAAAAUAUUUGAACAAUAUACAAAUUUUCAGUUUAAUAAAUCUAAACAUCUAUUAAGUUAUAAAUGAAUUUAAUGGGUUUAAUUAAUAAAAUUACUAUUAUUAUAUAAAUUGGGUUUAGUAAUGGUAUAUUGGGUGGGUUUGUUGAGUAAAUUUUAAAAUUUUGAAAUUUAAGGAUGGGUUUAUUUAGUAAAUGAGUUAAGGGAGUAGUUUGUUGGGAUUCACAUAGCCCCACCAAAUUCAAAUGUAAAAUUUGUGGAAAAAGAAGCUAUUGAGUUAUUCUUUUAAAAAAAGAAUUAAAAUGUCAAGAAUACCUUUAUUUAAUUUUAUAAUCUUAUUUUAUAGUCAUAUUUUAUUUCCACCUUAACAUAAUUUUAAAAACCUUAACUAAUAAAUUCUAUAUUUUUUUUAUAAAAGUUAUCAUUAAUAUCCAAACGGCUAAAGAUUUUUUUUUUUUUAAAAAAAAAGGAACUAUGCUUACAAAAGUUGUAUACAUUAACAAUAAAUUUAGUCCAAAGAAUAAAGUUAUUCCAAACAAGCACUCCAAUUCAUCUUGCUAAUGAAUCAAGAUGACUGAAUCCUUCUCUAAGCCAAAUCUAUUUUCACUUUUAGGUCAGAAAUUGUCAUUAAAAAAAUGUUUGAUAAAAUAUGCUCUAGGAACACUAAUUCGUCAGAUGGUUACUCCAAGUUUAUGAAAUCAAUGGGAUUUCAUCAUAUUCAUAACAUUCUUCUUUAAUGUCUAUUCUAACAAAGAAAUCAUAUACAGAGAAUAGGUUUCGUUAAAACUUUUACUAGAAAAACUAACCACAAUUCACCAUUCAUUUAUAUCUUAAGUAAGCCUAAGAUUUUAUCAUUAAAAUCCCAUCAUGAAAAAAACUCAUGGGAGAAAAACUAUAAAAAUUGAAGAAAAAAGAGUAUGGCGUGCAUGUAAAUUAUAUCGAUUUUAUCUACAUGACAAAUAAGACUCUCUUUUACAAUGGCACGGAUGCUUCAUUGAGUAAUCAUGAUUCUUGCUGGUAGUGCUUUGUUGUAUCAAUCUGCUAGCUAUUCAGCGUUCUUUCUUUCUUUCUUCUUAUUUUUUUGUUUUCAAAUAGCUUGUGGUUGUAGAAAUAUUUCAAUUAAACUAUACUUAAGUACUUAUUUGGUAUAACUUCUUUACUAACCAAAAGAAUUUUUUUUUUUGGUUUUUUAUAAUUUAAUUAUACUUUAACUAGAGUUUUUGGGAUAAAACAAGUGAUAAUUUCUCUCUAUUAAGAAAAACUCAAAGGGUAGGGCUAUCUCAAUCCACCAAACUAUUUAUUAAAAAUCCACUUAUGAAAAUAAUUUUUAAUUAUUAGAAUGCCUUUACAUUAAAUUAUAAUUAUGGACACUAAAAUAUAAUAAAUUUUUUUUUUACUCUUUAAAACUGUCUUUACAUUUGAUAUCAUAUCUUUUUCUUAAAAUCUAAAUUGAUAUUUUUAUUUUAUUUUUUAUUAAUCUUAGAACACAUAUAAAGUGAUUCAUAUUGAUUUUAUACUAACAAACUAUCACAGCACAUUCGAAAAUAAUUAACUCGUUCUUAUUUGCAUAGUGAAAAGGCAAAUAGCUCAUCCAAAUGUUAAAGAACUGGAGAGCUGCUGCUGGAGAUGAAAGAUAAAUAAUUCUCACUUAGAAGAAGGAGAAAAAAAGGAAAUACAAUUAGAAUGAGAGGUAGCCAGUAGCCACUAGCCGCCACCACCACCAGUGAAACUAUUUCACAUAAUAGAAGAUAAAGCACGCGUAAUGGAGGCAAAAAGCAAGUAAUGAUAACUCUUUUCGACACACUAAUACAUAUCAAAAUGCAAUAUCGGUCCUAACAAAAUGAAAAUAAAAAUUCAUUACGAAUAUGUGUUAAAGAUAUCCCAAGUAUUGAUGUGAUUGAAAUAUUUGAGAUUGAAGUAGAAAUAAGACUCAAAAUUAAUUGAGAGGAAUAAAUGAGAAACCCAAAUAUUAAUAAAAUACACGUGCAAAUCCUAAUGCUAAUUAAAAUCACGGAUUAAAAAUAAUAAUAAUAUGAAUGAAUUACAGGCGCAACUGUUUCAUUAAGAAAUUAAUUAAAUCGUGUAUUAAUAUUUUGUACACAUACAUUUUUCCAUAUAUAACUUUCGGUAAUUUAGUUUUCACUUAUCAUCUUUACUCCAAAAAAAAAAUUGAGAAUAUUAUUUAUGUUUUGGUGUAAAAUAUUUGAAUAAUAUACAAAUUUUCUGUUUAAUAAAUCUAAACAUUUCUCCAGUUAUAAAUGAAUUUAAUAGGUUUAAUUAGUAAAAAUAUUAUUAUUAUAUAAAUUGGGUUUGGUAAUGGUAUAUUGGGUAUUUAAAUGGGUUUGUUGAGUAAAUUUUAAAAUUUUAAAAUUCAAGGGUGGGUUUAUUUUAGUAAAUGGGUUAAGGCAGCAAUUUCCCAAACUAAAAUUUUUAGAAAAAGACGCUAUUGAGUUUUUUUUUUUUUUAAAAAAAGAAUUAAAAUGUUGAGAAUACCUUUAUUUAAUUUUAUAAUCUUAUUUUAAAAAAUUUACCCAAUAAAUUUUAUAAUUUUUAUAAAAAUUAUCAUUAACAUCCAAACAGCUAAAGAUUAAAAAAAAAAAAAAAGAAGAAGGGAACUGUACGAGCAAAAGUUACAUUAACAAUAAAUUUAGUCCAAAGAAUAAAGUUACAGCUAAAAAGUGCUCCUAUCCUAUUUUUCUCUAUUUUAACAAUAAUCUUCUUCCAAUCCGUUUUACAAUGGACUUUAACAAAUGGGCUCAAUCUCUAAACUUCAUUUUCUUUUGCUUACCCAUGGCCAUUAGCCAGAAAGCCUAAAACAAGACCAGCCCAUAUAUAUAAUUUUUUUUAAAAAAAAGUAAAAAUGUGUGAGAGCUUGUAGCAUUACAAUUUUAGGAUCACAUGUGUAAAUGGAACCCCAACAUUGAUCAAGAAUUAACAAGACAAGAUGAAGAGAUGAUCUUGUAACUAAGAAUGAAGAAAUUGAAUCAAGACAGUACUCUAGUAAAACCCAGAAAACAGAGCUUGAAGAAUCACGCACAAAGCAGUAAAUUUGUAAAACCAGAAUUGGAGCUUCACUUCUCAAGAGAGACGAAACAGGAUACAGUCUAGCUUUAGCCAAAGUGAUAAACUCGUAAUUAUUCUACAAAGGGAACAAUUUUGAACAGUGGGAAAUUCCAUAAUUAUUCUUUUCGGUGAAUUAUUUUAAAUAAAAUUAUAAAAACCAAUAUAAAAUUAUUACCCAGUAAAGACUUUAGAGAGACAAGUGCUCCCAACAGGAUCAAGUGAAUAUGCCCCACAAAGAUCAUUUCUUGUUCUUUUUCUUUUUGACAAUUUUAUCUGUGGUUUCAACUUUUAUGCUUUAUUGUCGUAUCCCGUUGAGGGCUCCGCUGCACCCAUUACAACUUACCCCUAAAUUGCCUCUUACUAACUAAACCGUUAGAUUUUAUGGAAGCACGUUCAAUGCUGAAUUUUAAUUAUGUCAUCAAAUUUCGUUUAGCUCCUUAAACUCCAUUUUAUUUGUAAUUUCUUCAUAAAAUAUUCAAAGCUUCAUCAAGCUCCUGAUGGACCAUCAUGGCUAGGGGUGCAUUAGAGCCGAACUGAAAUAUGUUAGUUCAGUUCAGUUUGGUCAGUUUAAAUCGAAUGGUUUAGAAUAUAUAAACUGAUCAAUUUUAAUUUUUAAUUGAACCGAAAAUCAAUUGGUUCAUUAUUAGUAUUUUUUUAUAAACAUGAAUUAUUAGUGAUUGUAAUUAAAUUGGACUAAAAAAAAUUCAAACUAAGGUGAAAAAUAUAAAAUCUUAGACAAUAUAAAAGAAAAAAUAUUAAAUUUUUUUAACCGAAUUAUUUUGACUCAAUUUGGUUCAUAAUUUUUUAAACCAAAUGGAACCCUCAUAACAAAAAACUAACAGAAACAAUAAGAACACGAUGUUAAAAUCUUAAAUCAAUCGCAAAAAAGCACCCAAAACAGAUCGAUUAGGAACAGUUAACAACAAAAGAUUUGAUGGUUCAAAAUCAUAAUGUGACCUACUUCCAUCCAAGAAUUAUACUAAUUUCUUUACUAGUUGUCAAAUACAAGAUCACAAGAUUAUUUAUCACUCUAUAGAGAAAAAAUUUUUAGAAGAAAUACUCCCCAAUUUUUCUCUUGAUAGUUAUGAAUCAACACCCCUAGAAAGGCUAUUGAUUUACUUUUCCUUAUUUCAUAUGAUCGGUUGCUGCAACUUAAUCCUUGCCAAGUUCCAACAUAGUCCAAACAUUUUUCAUGGUACAUGCAUAGUGCACCUUCAGAAACUUUACAGCUCUUCUUAAAACCUCAGUUCUCGUGAUGUUUCUGAUUUAUUUCUGGGACGAGUAACACUUUUGUUGAACCUAGACCAGAUUUAGUAUCCAAUCAAGAAUUUCCAGGAUCUAGCUGAACUCUCUAAUCAAGACCUAAAGAAUAGUUAAUCAAAUCCACACAAAAGAAUCACCCAAAAACAGUAUACAAAGAACAACAAAUAUAAGUGGUUUUGAGAUAAAUGUAAUUGACUUCUGAGCAUGACUUAAUUUUGAGAUCAUUACUUUUAGUUAAAUGAUCUCCUCCAGAGCUUCUACCUAUGUAGUGUUUUUAGACCUCUAUAGUUGAUAAAGCACGUUCAAGGUGAAGGCUUGUUUUCCAAUCUAUAGUCCAAUUAUAGACUGGAAAUGGUCAGGCUUAAUGCACCUUCAAAAGCUUCACAAUUUGUAUUGAAACCUUAAGCCUCAGAAUGCUACAAAUUUUAAAUCCAUAUACUUAGUGCUCUUAUGAUUUGUUUGAUUUUUACUUAGAUGAAGAGCAUUUUAGCUAUAGAAAACAUUGUAACUAAUUCAAAGCAUGCCUUAGCUACGAGAUCAUUCAUUCUAGCCAAAUGCCCCCUUUAGAGAUUCUGCUAUUGUUGUGUAUUCAGCCUCUAUAUUUGGCAAAGCAAUUACAUGUCGAAGGCUUGCUUUCCAGUUAACAGCGCAAUUACAUAGAUUAAAGGUGUAACCAGGCAAAGAACUUAGUUAUUCUGCCAAGGUCUCCAACAUACUCCAAAUCCAUAUAACCACCAGACUUCAAUCUUUAGACUCCAUAGAUCAAACCAUAACUUAGUGUGCCUUUCAAUCUCAGGUAACAUUUUACUGUUUUCCACGUCUUGCCAUGUACUUGCUGCUAACACUAACAAUUUGAGAAAUGUUAGGCAUCGUAAGCAGCCGACAACACUCUUCUUCAUUUCUUCAUUGUCAAUUUCCUUCUUGGAACAUUGCUCCAUUGAGAGUCUGCUAUCAUUGCUCCAAUUAUUAUUAUUUUUGUUUUUUUAAAAAAAAAAAUUAACCGUGCAAUAAGAGUAUAAGACUAAGCAACGGUCCUUUUUUUUUUCCCAUUCUUGAACAUGAAGUAUUUGAGUAUGCAAUAAAAAUUGUUUAUUGAUAAUUAAAAGUUAAUAGUGGGUGGCUUUAGGAUUUGUUUACAAAAUUGACAACAAAUUAAGAUUUUUCAAAUUCAUAGGUAAGAAACUUUUCAUUUAUUCAUAGAUUUUCCGGUUUAAACUUUAAAGGAAACUUAAAAGAAAAAGAUGUAUCAUUAGAUUUGUAAUUAAAAAAAUUUAAUAUUGUAUGAUCUGUUCGAUAUGCAUAAUUUAAAUAAACAUUAAUAUAGAUGUUAUAUAUCCUAAAACUUAAUUGACUUAAUUCUUACGGUGCAAGGAAGACGUUUCCAAGUUUAAAUCUAAUUUGGGGUCGGGAAAGCACUGGGAAAUAAAUGUAACAAAGGAAAAAAGAAAAGAAUGACAGUCUGAGUGGAGCCAACACGGUUUUGAAAAAAGUGCAAAAAAGGGUUUUAGGAUAUAUUCUAUUAUCGUUUGUUUGCUUGCUUGUGGAAAUAAAAGUCUCAUGUUUCUUUGAAAGGUAAGCAAGUGUGAAUGUUUCUAUCUAGAGCUGGAAAAUGCAUUUCCGUGCAACUUACUUGAUGAAUGAAGUUUUCAUCUCUGACCUUGAUGUUUCCCAGAGCUGCAUUCAUUUCAGCUGAUCUAUUUCAUUUCGUUUGCAAAGGAGUGACACAAAACCUCCUUUGUUAAGGGGAGAAUUUAGAGUGGCUUCAACGGUUAACAAAUAGCCUAAUGUAAGACUUAAUCAAUUUCCUGCCCGGUUGCUUACCACUACUUAUCACUUUAACGUAUGAAACCUAAUCAAGAUUCCUUUGAUGAUUUUUCUAUUUGCUAAUUGAUUGAUAAGCUCUUCAGUGAAGAUAUAGUGUCCGCAAGCCAUAUGUUGAUAGAGUUAGAGUUUGCAGAAGCUACUGUACCAUAUGUUGUUAGAGGCGGUAAAAACGGAGGCAGAUCAACACACAUUUAAAUUUCAAUGACAAUUUACUGGAAAUAAAUUUCCUAUGACCCUACAUGUGACUAAUUGAUGAGAACUUGACAAUGACAAAAGAAAGUGUAUGAGCUUUGCAGGCUGGCUUGCCAAUAUUGACUGUAUGGCACCAUCCGCAAGUAAGUAUCAUUACUGUUUAAUCAACUUGGUGGAGUCCACUGGGACCACCCCACAUGGUCAGUCUUAUCUCUACUCCUAAAUUUUCAAUAUUCCAUACAUCAAACCAAUUGCAGUUUUGAUAUCAAAUUCAAUUUUAUUGUUGGUGACGAUUCUGAUUCCUUUCAUUCUCACAAAACGGAACCAUGGUUGCUGUUGGAGAGAUCUUACUCAACGCCUUCCUUGAGGUGUUGUUUGACAGGUUGGCUUCUCGUAAUUUGCUCCGCUUUGUGCGUCAACUCCAAGGCGGGGUUGAUUCGGAGCUCAAGAAGUGGGAGAAAAAGCUGAAGAUGAUUCAGGCUGUGCUCUGCGAUGCAGAGGAGAAGCAACUGACCGAUGAGGCUGUGAAGAUGUGGCUGGACGAACUCCAAGACUUAGCUUUUGACGCUGAGGACAUUCUUGAUGAGUUUGCUACUCAAGCUUUGGAAAGCAAGUUGAUGGCGCAAAACCAGGAUAGCUCUGGCCAGGUUCUCAGUCUCAUCCCGGCUAGUUUGAAUCCGAAUGCUAUUAUGUUCAAUUAUAGCAUGGGGUCCAAGAUUAAAGAUAUGACUAGCCGGCUGGAGCAACUCUGCCAAGAAAGAAUUGAACUUGGACUGCAACGGCUUACUGGAGGGGCGUCAUCAACCGCUGCUGCUGCACACCGGAGGCCACCCAGUUCGAGUGUCCGAACAGAACGUGAAGUAUUUGGAAGAGAAGAAGAUAAGGCCAAAAUUCUUGAUAUGGUCAAUACCCCAAGUGAUCACGCCAACUUUGUUGUAAUACCUAUUGUUGGAAUGGGCGGGAUAGGAAAAACAACUCUUGCUCGGGAGGUCUACAAUGACAAGGCAGUUGAGGAUUCCAAGUUUGACGUAAAAGCAUGGGUUUGUGUCUCCGACAACUUUGAUGUUUUCAACAUUUCAAAGGCACUUCUCGAGUCAAUCACCUCCGCAGCUAGUGAUCUCAAGACUUUAAAUGAAGUGCAGGUUCAACUGAAAAAAGCAGUGGACGGAAAAAGAUUCUUGCUGGUCUUAGAUGAUGUUUGGAACGAGGACUACAGCUUGUGGGUAGACUUAAAAGCUCCGUUCCUGGGUGCUGCACCAAACAGUAAGAUGAUCGUCACCACACGCAAUUUAAACGUUGCAUCAACAAUGGGACCAAUUGAACAUUAUAAUCUCAAGAGUCUGUUAGAUGAUGAUUGCUGGUCCAUUUUCAUACAGCAUGCAUUUGAAGGUAGAGAUCUUAACGCAUAUCAAAUUUCAGAAUCAUUCAGCAAGAAAGUUGUUGGCAAGUGUGGGGGCUUGCCUCUGGCAGCAAAAACGCUCGGGGACUUCUGCGCACAACAAGGCAUGAUGCGUGGGACGAUAUAUUGGAUAGCAAAAUAUGGGAUUUACAUCAACAAAGCAGCAUUCUCCCUGUGUUAAGAUUGAGUUACCAUCAUCUUCCGUCUCAUUUGAAAAGAUGUUUUGCUUUUUGUGCCAUCUUUCCAAAAGAUUAUGCAUUCACUGAGAGGGAGCUGACUUUCUUAUGGAUGGCUGGAGGUAUUAUUCGACAGUCAAGAAACAAUGAGCAGCUGGAAGAUUUGGGCAGCAAGUGCUUUGGUGAUCUAGUGUCGAGGUCAAUUUUUCAGCAAACAGCAAGCUCUGAUAGUUCUAAAUUUGUAAUGCAUGACCUUAUUCAUGAUCUUGCUGAAUUGGUCUCUGGAGAAACCAUAUUCAGGUUAGAGGAGGCCAAUACUCGGUCAAGAAGAUUUGAAAGGGUUCGCCAUUCUUCCUAUGCUUGUGGUGGAUGUGAUGGUAAAAAUAUGUUCGUGGUUUUCAAUGAAAUUGAACAUCUACGAACAUUCUUGCCAUUACGCUUACGCAGAAGAGGUGGCUCUAAUGCUGGUUACAUAACUCGUACGGUUCUAUCUGAUUUGCUGCCGAAGUUCAAAAGGUUGAGAAUGCUAUCUUUACAAGGAUACUGUAUUGGUGAGUUACCAAUUCCAUUUGAAGAUUUGAGACUUUUAAGGUUUCUCAACCUUGCUGACACUGACAUAAGAAGUUUACCCGAGUCAACAUGCAAAUUGCUGAACUUGGAAAUUUUUAUAUUAAGAAAUUGUUCCCGUUUGAUAAAGCUUCCACCCAAAAUGAGGAAUUUGAUCAAUUUACGCCAUUUGGAUUUAAGAGGUGCGAAGUUGCUGAAGGAGAUGCCAUUCGGAAUGAAAGAGUUGAAGAAGCUUCAAACAUUGUCCAAUUUCAUCGUGGGCAAGGGCGAAACUGCAUCUGGUUUGGAAGAUUUAAAAUGUUUAAAC
rnacentral:lncRNA from 1 species